rnacentral:lncRNA from 1 species
UGAGAGAGCUCUCCUUCAGAAAUUCCCUGCAUGCUCGAUUGCAGCCAGGCGUCGAAUUUGUUCCACGACUACAAUACUAGAUGUGCAAGGACUGGUACUUAUUCAAGCUAUUCCCAAGUUUUGGAAUUUUUCUUGCACUGUAUUAUGCUCUGAAGCAAAAUUUACUUUUUUAGCGCUUCCAUAUUCUUAGCUGUGCAGUGUCAUGUUUAAUCACAGGGCAUGAAGAAUUUUACACCAACAGCUGCAAAUCUUGUGGCUGCCAUGUCGAAGAUUGACAACAACUACUAUCCUGAGGUACUUGAGUUUCUCAAUUCAUAUGUCAAUUAUUCUUUGCAUACAUACCGGGUUGUUGCAAGUCAUCAUAUCAUUUUGCAGACGUUGCACAGAAUGUACAUUGUAAAUGCUGGGACAGGUUUCAAAAAGAUGCUUUGGCCUGCUGCUCAGAAGUUUCUUGAUGCAAAGACCAUCGCAAAGAUACAUGUACAGCUUUCAGCCUAGUUUUUCUCUUUGGUCAACUUUUGCCAUGUGUACGUUAUCUUAUUUCUGUUGCUGCAGGUGCUAGAACCUAAAUCUUUGUCCAGAUUACACGAAGUUAUUGAUUCAAGGUAGUUUGCUUUUCCAUUCAAACCGCACCUGACAAAUUUCAAAUAUCAUUUGUAGCUAUUACUUACCAGCUCCAUCGCUCUGUGCUUUUAGUCAAUUGCCAGACUUCCUCGGAGGCUCAUGCUCUUGCUUUGGCGAUGGAGGGUGUCUUCGCUCGAAUAAAGGACCCUGGAAUGAUCCUGAAAUAAUGAAGGUAAAAAUCUACAUCCUAUUAAAUUUUGCUUUUAAAUUUUUGGGCACGCUGUUCUUUCCUUACGAACUUUUAAGUAGGAGUCAGCUUAUAGUCCGGGCUUGUUCAUGAAGAUCAUUUUAAAUCUGUGCCUUUAUUAGCUCAUCUAUCAUGGAGAGUCAUCACUCUUUAGACAAAUCACCAGGAAGCUGAGUGACCCACAGAAUUCUUCAUCCUACAUAAGUAUACAUCCAUCGAAGGUAAAUGGCUAUAUCAAGCCAAUAUCUGUUUGUUUUGGAAUUUUUGUUUUUUUUUUUGUUUUUUCCAGGUAUAUAUGACAAAUUCAAAUUUGAAUAUCAGGCUAUGCAAGCUGAGACUUCUGCAGCAGAAUGUGUAUCUUGUUCUGAUGUUCCUACUUCUCUAACUGGAAGGGUGUGCGCAGCCUCUGCUCAUGUGAAUCCAGCUUAUGAGGAAGUGAGUUCUUGUGUUGGUACAUUUUGUGUCACAGACCACACUAGUUAUCUUAUCACUGACCGGAAAAAUAUGAUCUAUGCAGGCAAGGGCAUCAGAUGUUAAUGGCUAUUAUAGUUGCGAUGACAAGUUUGCCAUACCUAACAAAGCUACUAACCGAAAAGGCCAAGAAAGGCAAUCCCACUACCAAAUGCUGGAACUCAAUCAAACAACACUCGGUUUAAAACAUGAAACAUCUCCACCAGGUUAUACUGCUAACUCAUGCUUUGCUGCUAAAAACAUAUUCCUUUGUAAUUUUCUCACCUUUUGAAUUUCAUCUUCCCUCUGGUACCUUCCAGGUGCUCCCAUCAUACGAUGGCUUCAUGAUUUAAGGGGAACAAUUGACAGCAUAAAAUCUGAGAACCUAGCCAAAAGGGUACUCUCGUUUAUGCUGAAACUAGCAGCAGUUUUCCGUUAUAUCCCGUUUGAGCUUUCGAGAAGACAAAACACCGUUACUCCUUCAAACCCAACAGAAGAUAAUAAUAGGAGAAGCCUCAUUCCAACUUCUACAGAGCUCACAAUGAAAGACCGGAUUCUUCCGUGUUUGGAGCGUAUUCAGAAGCUGGAGAAAAAGUAUGAGGAAAUCCGGAACAAACCCGUUGAAAUUCCCGUAGAGAAGGAGAGAAUGCUGUUGGAUUCUCUUGACAGAAUAAAAUCGGUUGAGUUUGAUCUUGUUAAAACAAAGAGGGUAUUAUGAUUUUCCUUUGUUUUUCUUCACAAACUUACUUAGAAUUACAGUAUGGACUUGACAUGUUCGAUGGUUGCAGGUUUUGCACGCCACAGUGAUGAAGCAGAUGGAAAUAACCGAAAUGCUGGAAAGUUUAAGAGAGUCCCAACUUCACGUAAGUCCUCGAGAUUAUGACGCUAUAGUGAACAAGAUUUGCGAUGAGCUAACACCUGCAGAUUGUUGUUUGUGCAGAGAAGAAGAUUGUUCUGUUAGAAACCAUUAGAGAACAUCUGAGUUUUGCAUAAAAUACAGCUCCAAACUUCUGCACAUACAGAGAGAGAAAAAAAAUCCAAUAAACAAACGGUGUUAGUUUCUUAAUCUCCUUCCUCCUCUAACUUCUGUUAUCUUUCUUUCCUCAUAGGUCCAUCUGCUUCCACUUUUAAAUUAAAAAAGAAGAAGAUAGGGACAGUGAAAAUCUUUGAUGUUCGAUCUUGUCGUUGAUAAUGUAGAUUGAGAUCAGAGUUGAAGUAUCAAGCUGAUUUCCAAACCCUUUUGUUGUAAUCGGUGUAGAGAAGAAACUACACUAGAAGAAAAAAAAAGAAUCGUAUGAGAUUUUGUAAAUCUUUUUUAAGGUAAUAUGAUGAGGAAAACACUACCGAGUCUCUAAUGUCUUUACUCUAUGAAGAGAAUCCAUUUGUUUAACAUGAACGCAACAAGAAACAAAAUUGUGAAUGGUUAUACUAUAAUCAUGUAGUACGAUUAUUUAGGAAUCUGGUGCAUCUUGUAGUUGUUAUAGGUAGAUUGUGUAAAAUAUUUACAUAAUUCCAAAUAUCCGAAUGCAAAUGAUAUAAAAGUCAAAUCAGCCCUCGUAAACUUGAUUGAAUACGAGAGACACCCGAAUUAUGGAAGGGUAAGAUUGUAAACAAAGGAUGAUGAAAGUGUAAGGAAUUUUAAAAUCGGGGAAAAAUCGGGACCGUCCUUUUCCACUGAUGUAAGCCUGUGAACGAAGAAGAUAAAUUUCCCUGUCUUCUCUCUCUCUCUCUCCUUCUCCGUUCUUGUUUUCUGAAUUCGCUCGAAAUCGAUCUCAACGCCAAUCCAAUGAUGUUUUAUAUUCGACCCCAAACUUAAAUUUAGAAACCACAAUUUCUCGAAGUCAAUCCGUUUUCAUUUUCACGAAUUGCAUCGCCAGGUGAAUUUGUUGAUCCUAUGUUUUGUACGCCUUUGAUUGCCAUGUUGCUGAGUUUUUGGAAUCGUGCUCCGCUUUUGUUCUUAAUUCGAUAUCACGAUUGCUUACGCAUGUGCGGGUUUUCAUUUGGUUUCGCUUUUCCCUCCGCGGCUUUGUGAAUUUGAACUUUUAGUGCGUCGUAGCCGAAUCAGGGGCUGUUUUCUUCGUUUCGUGUGGGAUGAGGCUACGAUUUUAAUAUUGAACUUGGGAAUACACUUUAAUCUUUGUCCAGAGGGCUCCUAGUACCUAAGCGCUUUGCUUGUUGGAUAUUGUUACUCUCUGGCAUAUUGUCUUGACUAUGAAUUCGCUAGAUCUUGUUUUAGAUGUUGCAGCUCAAGCAAUAUGUACAGAUAGUUAUGGUCUUUUGAAGUCUUACCUAAGAUAGUGUCUUUAUAUGUUAUUGUUCACUUUAGGUCCCUAUUUUGAGCCUCAUCCUUGUGAGUAGGAAUAUUAAGCUUCCUACUAUUGUAGCUUCUGUGGUCCCUUGCUUUGAGAGUUCAGUAAUAGAGGUACUUUUCUACAUGUUAAGGCCCUGUUUAUCAACUAAAAAAAAUGUCCAAUUACCACCAAGAGGAGGAUGCUGAUUACAUGGACGAUGUGGAUGAUGAAAUGGAUGAUGUGGUUGACGAUGAUAUAGAUGACGAGUUUCGCGGGGAUGAUAUGGUUGCAUCGGAUUCCGAUGUCGACGAGUUUGACUACUCAGUAAGUGUGCCUGUACCUGUAAGAAGUCUAUUAAUGUAAAUUUAUUUGUGCCAUUCUUGAAUGCUUUAUGUGAAUUGUAUAGCUAAUAAUAAUAUCGGUUCAUAAUUAGGAAUUCAGUUUUUUUCGAUGUUGUUGCAAUCGCUUACUCUACUGUGUGGACUCUUUGGUUUCAGAAUAAUAAAAUAGCUGACACUUCAGCUGAUCAAGCCCGGAAAGGGAAAGACAUUCAGGGGAUUCCUUGGGACAGGCUUAGUAUUACACGUGAGAAAUACAGACAAACUAGACUAGAACAGUACAAAAACUACGAAAAUGUUCCCAAUUCUGGGGAAUCCUCGGGGAAAGUAAGUCUUUCAUUCUCUGACCCUUAAGCCUUUGUCGACUUGUUUUACUAGUAUUAGUUUACAUAUCAUUCAUUCAUUUGUUUAAUGACCUCAGGAUUGCAUGGUCACGCAGAAAGGGGCCAUUUUUUAUGAUUUCUGGCGGAAUUCAAGAUCUAUCAAAUCAAGUAUUCUUCAUUUCCAGGUUACCAUCGAAGCAUAGCUAUUUUUGUUAUUCAAAGUUCUUUUUGGUAGCUCAGUCGGUAUGCCAUGUGUUUGGUUUAUAGGAUGUACAAAUUGCUACAACUGUCCACAAAAGUUGAAAGAAAUUGAUUCGUAGAACGUUUGCUGUGCUAAAAAGCAUGUACGUGGACUUCUAAUAAAAAGUCGUUUUCUUUGGUUUGUAGUUGAGGAAUUUGGUUUGGGCAACUUCUAAGCACGAUGUCUACCUUAUGUCACAAUUUUUGGUGAGCCACUAUUCUACUUUGACAUCUGGAAAGCAUGAAGUUCUCAAUGUUCAAGGUCAUGUUUCCCCAUCCGAGGUUAGUUUCUUCUGGAAUCGUGAAAGAUUCUUGUAAAUCUACAUCAGUUAAUGAUGAUUUUUUCUUUCUUUUCUUGUGUGGGUGCAGAAACACCCUGGAAGCUUGUUGGAGGGAUUUACGAAGACUCAAGUGAGUACACUUGCAGUGAGAGAUAAAUUUCUAGUUGCUGGCGGAUUUCAAGGAGAACUUAUCUGCAAGGUAAGCUCUAGAGUUUUACGAAUCAUGCAUUUCACAUACAUGCAAUCUGAUCAAGGAACUUCAUCUGUUUCCCCAUUGAUUUGAUUCAGCACCUUGAUAGACCUGGUGUGAGCUUUUGUUCACGUACAACUUAUGAUGAUAAUGCUAUCACCAAUGCAAUUGAGAUUUAUAACAAACCCAGGUAUUUACUUGUCUUUUGGUCGAUGUAGUUUUUGCCAACUUGGGCAAUUUACAGCUUCUAACUUGCCUUUUGGCGUCUGCCUGGCUUCAGUGGAGCGCUUCAUUUUACCGCAUCAAAUAAUGAUUGUGGAGUCAGAGAUUUUGAUAUGGAGAGAUAUCAGCUUGUACACUAUUUUCGCUUUCCUUGGCCAGUGAAUGUAAGUUCCUUACUUGUUUCUUGAUUCAUUGUUUCUGCUUUGUCAUAAGUCGAUCAGUCACACUUGGGACAGUAAGUUUAAGUCAUAACUACGGUAUGGAAUCUGACAUCUUUUACAUCAUGAAUCAUUUAACUAAAAAAUGGAUCAUUUUUUAUUCUUGUCAGCACACAUCUCUGAGUCCUGAUGGUAAAUUAUUGACGAUUGUGGGAGACAACCCGGAGGGCCUUCUCGUAGACCCCAACACGGGAAAGGUGCAGAUACUAUCAUCUCUAUGUUCAAUUACUAUGAAAUAAAUACGCUCUUUCUUUCUAACUCAAUUGGAUCAUUUCCGACAGACACUGGGAACGCUAGCAGGACACUUGGACUUUUCCUUUGCAUCGGCAUGGCACCCAGAUGGGGUCACAUUCUCCACAGGUAACCAAGACAAGACAUGCCGGGUUUGGGACAUACGUAACCUGUCUAAAUCUGUUGCUGUCUUGAGGGGUAACCUCGGGGCAAUCAGAUCCAUCCGCUACACAUCUGAUGGGAGAUACAUGGCCAUGGCUGAGCCGGCAGACUUUGUGCAUGUCUAUGACGUCUCAAAAGAGUAUGAAACAGAGCAAGAGAUCGAUUUCUUUGGGGAGAUCUCGGGAAUAUCCUUUAGCCCUGACACAGAAGCGCUCUUCAUCGGUGUUUGGGACCGCACUUACGGUAGUCUCCUUGAGUAUGGUCGGCGCCGUAACUACUCCUACCUUGAUUCAUUUCUUUAAUCAUUCACUCACAAUAAUAAAAGAGCGUUCCUCACUCUCCCGUGGCUGGCUUUGUUCAACCGAGAAACCCGACCAAGAGAAAACGUUAAAAAGUGUAUAACUGAAUCUCUCUAAUGGUGUAAAUGAUGUGUUGUGCAAUUACUAGUUAAGGGCCAUGGCUAUGGGUAUAGAAAAGAAACAUUUGCCUGAGCCCAUUUUUUAAUAAAAUUUUGAAGACUCCAUUUGAUUAAUUGCUAAUUUUUAAAAUUUUCAAUUGAGUUUUGUUUACAUUAGCAACUAAUUAAAAAGAUUAAUUUAAGUGGAGUGAAUAGAAAUUAGGCGCAUUUGUUUUUGCAAAUCUUGUCCCAUGGCAAGUCUGAGCGUUUGCAUCUAUAUCAAUUAGAUAUGGAUUAAAACUAACAAAAGAGAAAGUAAGGCGUUGAAAGAAAAACCGUGUAAACUACGAGGGCUUCAACAAAAACUAUAUGACUGAAAAAUCUCAUAAUCCAGAAAGAACCAACGAGAUAAUGCCACAUCAUCAACCCGAAAUCGUAUCCUCACAAACAAAAUCCUGUUUCGUCUCCUGAUGACCCAGAGAAGCCAAAACCGAUCCCUAAGAUCAUAAAUCCAAAACCACUCAUUUCUAAUUUGCACUCCAAAAGAAGAAGAAGAAGAAGAAGAAGAAACAAUGGCGACAAGUGCAUCUGCUUUGCUCUCUCCUUCAACAUUCUCCACUGCAAUCUCCCAGAAAAACCCAAACUCCAUCUCAUUCCAUGGCCUCCGUCCUCUCCGCCUCGGUGGCUCCUCCUCCGCCUUACCCAAGCUCUCCACCACCACCGCCGGAAGAAAAUCCUCCUCCGCCGUCGUGAGAGCCGAGCUAAGCCCAUCCGUCGUUAUAAGCCUCAGCACGGGUCUCUCCCUCUUCCUCGGCCGAUUCGUUUUCUUCAACUUCCAGAGAGAGAAUGUGGCCAAACAGGGCUUGCCGGAGCAGAACGGUAAAACCCACUUCGAAGCCGGCGAUGAUCGUGCCAAGGAAUACGUCAGCCUCUUGAAAUCCAACGACCCGAUUGGAUUCAACAUCGUCGAUGUUCUUGCUUGGGGCUCUAUUGGCCACAUCGUUGCUUACUACAUCUUGGCCACUUCUAGCAAUGGCUACGAUCCCAGCUUCUUUGGCUGAUAUUCAUUAUUCUCCAAUCUCUGUCUCCUAUAUGAAUGUAUAUCUUUGACUUGUAUCGCAAGCUAUCUAAUAUAUUCUCUAUCUUUGUUUCUUCUUCUUCUUCUUCCUCCCGUCGUUGUUGUGUCUUGUCCAAGGUUUCUCUCUCGCGUUGCAACUGUUGUUAUGAUUAAUUUUGCCAUUCACAAAGACUGCUUAGGUUCUUCACCUUAUGCUGGUUUAAGUCCAACAUUAGCAGCCUAGCACAAACUACAUGCAUUUCAUUACUACAAACGAUUUUAUGGGUAAUAACAUGUCUUAGAAACUUAUAAGUUGGCCAAAUGUUCAAAGAAAACAAAACUCAUGUAAUGUAAAAGUUGCCAAGAACCUAUGGCCAAGUCUACAACUUAUUGAUUAAAUUAAAGUUCUCAAACAGAAACACAAAAACAGAGAGAUCAAAAGUUACAAACAGAGAAGACAACAACAGAGAAUCACUUAGAGACCCGGCUCAGCCACAUUUUCAGCUGCAUCAGUAGCAGCUGCACUUUCCGCCGCACAAGACUCAAUGAAAGAUUUGUAUUCGGACAUCUCUGUGCGAUACCUCUCCACAUCCUCAAGCCCUUUAUCUUGAUAAACCUGUUCAAAAAAUCAUUAUAAACAGAUCCAUUUUAAUCUCAUUUAAGAUAAAAAGAAACUUGGAAUCCUCAUGGAAAAGAGAGAGUUUUGAUUUACGUUUCUGUGUUACCUUUCUAUCAGAUUCAGAGAGAUUGCUCCACAAGUUCCCAAUUUCUUUAAUGAGAAACCGCUCUCGUCCGGCGUACUCAUGUUUAAGCCUCUUGUACUGCUCGGAAAAGAAGAAGUUAUAGCCGCUCCUGUGGAACUUGGGUCGACGAGAAUCCAUCUGAGAUGAUUUUGAUUUCUUCUUGCGUCUUCGAGUUUCAACACAAGUUUCAGGAAUGUGGUAAAGCACUCCUUUAAGCUCUUCUGAGCCCAUCUUCAUGGUUACAAAAUACCCGUCCUUGAAUUUCCCAUCGAUGAUCCCGUUCACCGGGCAGCCAGGUUGCAGUUCCUCAGUGUCUGUGACAGUUUCAGAAUGCAAAAUCUCAAACACUCCAAAGCUUGAUAAAAAUGGUUAAGUAUAAAGGCAAAAUAUGAAACUCAAGAAACAUAUGGAAAAAAAAUAGCGACUUUAAUUAGCAGCUGAACUACAUUGAAAGCUUCAAGUAUUUUAGUACCUUUGUCAUGAUGUGCAGAUUUUUCGACAAGGCGCUUCACUGCUUCUUCUGAGAAAAAAAAAGGGAGAACGGUGGCUAUGUUAAUCUCGAGUCUCCAUGGAGAAUUAGAAAGAGGCAUAUAAGAAAAAACAUUAUUAUUUUUGGGUAUUUGUUCAGACCUCUCGCCGAGAAUGAAGAAAUUGGCUCUUGGAAGAAAUACACAUGCUCAAAUUCAAAGAGCAUUUUCAGAUAAUACUUCUUUAAAACAAAUGCUGCAUUUGUCAUCUUAAAAUUAAAUGUUCCAAUCACUUCUUUGCAUUUGCGAUCCUUGAUCACCUAAGAAUCAAAAAGGAUUUAAAGAAAAAUUUGUAUGUAAACAACAAAAAAAAAAAAGAAGAAAACUUCAAAAACUUUCAUGUUCAGUGGAACUAUGAACUCAGAUACCUGUUCAAUACCACCUCGACUUGUGACCUCGACGAAAAGCCGAUGCAAAUCGAGUCUGUUUCCGCCCACAAUAGGAAUCCUUUACAAAUCAUGUACAAAAGGCAAAAUCAUUGACAGUUUUCUUUUUUCCUCCAUGAAAUGAAAUAAAAUCUUCUUCAAUAAAAAAAAAAAAAAAAUAUAGAGAUCCACUGAAGCACAAACAAACAUACCCACCCAAAGAAGAUAUUCAUGAUAACCACAACAACACAUUUUAAGAACUCCUUUUCAGAGCCUACCAUUACUAGAUUCUAAUAUAAACCAAAUCCAGUCUGAUUCUAAACAGUUCAAGAACUAAAUGGAUCCAAUGUAAUAAGACAUACAUAUUCCCGAAUAUAAUUCCAUUAAUUAAACCCUGAUUAACUACUGCACCCAAAUCUAUCAUCACCCUUGCAAUCUAAACAAAAUACGAGUUUUAAACAACCACCACACGGCGGAUUACGAACAAAAAUCUCUAAUAAAUACACAGGAAAAUCAUUCAAAUUUUAAUGCAGACUAGGUUUUUCUCCAUCCACGAUUGUAGUAAACCAAUAAUUUCUUAUAGAAACGCAAAAUCCACAAAAAAAAAAUAUAUAUAUAUAUAUAUAGAAGAAUCGUCGAUCUAAAAAACUUACUUCAAAGUUCUGUCAGAAUAUCCGAGAAAAUCCCGGAGCUUGUCCCAGAAAAGAUCAGAGUUCCGGACAAGAUCCUCGUACGUAGCAGCGGGAGAGGAAACGUCGAUGCUCUUGCUGUCUGAAGAGGAAGAGCCAUAAGCGGGAACUAGUUGGAAUUGCGAAUGCUGUGAAAUUUCGGUCGACAUCAAAAAUUCUUUUUUCUUUUUUGGCGGGCGGUUAAAAGGUUGAAAUGAAAAGAUGUUGCUAGCUAAUAACCUUCAAGUUCAAUGGUAAAAAUUAACUUCAUACAUGAUUAUAUUCUACCAGUGAGAAUUUAUUAAGGGAAAGCAAUGCAAUAUUUUCUUCUUAUCUGGAAUUAGGGGCUAAUAUGUAUUAUAUAGAGUUUUUCUUUUUUUCUCCACCAAUUAUAAAUUUACUUUUCUUGAUUGAUAAAGGGUAUUCAAUUAAAAUGCAAGUAAAGAUUACACAAAUAAAUUUACUUCAUUUCUUUUUUUAAAUAGUCUAUAUACGCGUAUAAAUUUAAGUUUAUAACUAAAAAUAAGAUGUUGAAUAACGAUUUUUGGCAAUAAUUUUAAAUGUAGUCAAUCAGAUAAAUAUUUACCGAAGCCAAGUGAAUUAUUUUAUAAACUAGAGUUUGACUCCGCGCUUUGCGCGGAUUUAUUUUAUAUUCAUAUUUUUAUAUUUUAUAUGUUAUUUUUUAGAAAAUAAUUUAUUUGUUAGUUGUCUUUUCUUAGUUUAAUAUUUUUUAUGUUUGUAUUGUAUUAACAUGCAUGUGUUUUCUUAUUUCUCUUUAUUAGUGAUUAUGUAUAACAACAUAUUUCUUUUAAUUAUAAUUAUGUUAUUAACUUCUAUUUAAAUAAAUUUUCUUGUUCAAAAACUCUUCUGUUAAUAUUUUAUUUCUUUUACUUUUAUCUUUUGUCUGUUAUUAUUGUGUGAUUCUAAUUACAGUUUUAAAAUUUACUUUUAUUUUACACCAUCUCAAUUUUUUUAUAAAUUUUGUUAACUUAUGUUUAAUUUUAAUUUAUUUUUCUAUUAUAUGUUAUAUGUUACUAUUUUGUAGUUUUAAUUGAAAAUCUUUUAACAUUAAAAUUAUUGUGUGAGAAGUUUAUAUCAAAUUCUAAUUUAUUUACCACUUUUUCUUCCCAAAAUUUAGCAUAUUUUAAAUAUUUUGCUUCUUUAAAUCCAUUUUAGUAUUACAAUUUGAUGAAAAUAAUUCUCAAGCAUGUGUUUUUUAAUAAAAUAUUUUUAGUUCAGUUAGUAUUACAAUUUUCUUUAAUUUUUAAUCCAGUUAAUUUUUUUAUUUGGUUAAACUUAUACUAAAUAUACUAAUAAUAAAUAUAAAUAGAGAUGUAUUAAUUUUUUUGUUGAUGUGAACAUCUUAGAUGGAGAGAAACCUCUUUCAUUAUAUAAUAGAUUAUAAUUUGCAUUAAAAAAUAGCCAUUUUAUUUUUAUUAAAGCUAGUGUUUUUAUUAAAGCUAGUGUAUCAUUUUUAAGAAGAACAUUUUGUUAAUUUAUCUUACUCCAUUUAAGUAAUUCUUUAUUCAAACCCACGUACACCUCUUCAUAUAUGGCUUCUUCCAUAUGAUCAAAUUACUUACAGUUUUAUAUCCACAAUCACAACUUAUCUGAAUCACUUCAUUUGGGAAGUGUGCUGUAAGAUGUUUUACAUGUCAUCCACGUUAUCGCGGUUUACUGGAGUUAGAGUGGAUUUGGAUGGUUUCUAACUUUCGAUUUGAUAGAAAUUAAGAUUUAUAAACAUUCUUUUCUCGGAUUUAGUAUAUAUAAUUAGUACAUCAGAAUAUAAGUUUCCCUUGAUCCUCGCAAGGAUCAAAAAGCAUGAACAGGAGCUUCAUAGCCAUAUAUCCCUCUGCCAAAAGAGAUGAGCAGAGGUCUACAAGGAGAACAUCAAUGGCUUACAGGAUGAUACAGAAAACAUAACUAAUAAGCUUUUGAACGAUCCGAGCGUACUGAAUAACAAAAACACCAACUGAGAAUAUAUCAAGUUUAUGACUACAAUGUUCCUAUAAGAAGACUAAUAAAGACUACAAUGAGAGGAGCUGGUAUACCUUUCUUGCAGCCAGCUUUGAAAGAUGUUCACUCUUUGAUCCGGUACACACCUAAAAUUGGACGGCAUACAAAUGCUACAUUAAAACAGAACAUGGUAUAUCAAUCCAUAUGAGCAAAAGUGACCAAACAUGCUAUAAACCUGUAUAUAACAUACCAUUUUCCCACAAGCAAAAAUUGUUAAGUUGUGGUAUGCCAUACCAUAAGCUAUGGUAUUGUCAAAUUAUGGUAUAUAUGGCAUACCAGUCCAUGGCUUAACAAAUAUCAACGCUGUGGUCUUUGGCUCUCUUCUCCUCAUGAUAACAGCAGCAAAACGCUCAAACAUGAAAAAACAAAAAAGAUUAGAGCAAAUUUGAGAAUACAAAGAAAGUAGUACAAGUAGCUAUAGCCAAUCAAUAAUGAGAAAGGUAAAAUCAUCAGACCAAUUAUCUCCAUUUUUGUAACCAUAUAUGCUUACAAUGCUUUGAGAUCACUUACACUUGAAAAAGCACUGAAAAUAUAUCAAGUUUGUGACUACAAUGUCCUUAAUUAAAAGAAGAAAAUCAGACUAAAAUGAGAGGAGCUGGUAUAAUCUAGACCCUAAACCUCUUUUCUAAAACUGUUUACACCUCUUCUAAAAUUGAUAUUUAUCUAUUAUUUGUUUGUCAAUGCACGGAACUGGUGCAAAGCUCCUUCACUCUAGUAUACUGCUACUUAACAUUUAGCUGUAAUCGGGUGAAGUUGAUCAACAAAAGUUCAUACUAGGUUCCUGGGAUCUUUUUCGCUCACUCUCUUUGUCCCAGAGUUAAAGCGGCUUAUUAAUGCCUCAACUGCAUGUAAUGGUACCGAUUAGUGCUUGUACAAUUUUGUUGUGCCUACACAUACCUGAACUAUUAAUAAUGUGAAUAUUCAUACCUGAACUCAAUUUUUUUUUGCUGAAACAUACAUUGACUUUUUAAUUGUUAGUCAAUUCCGUCAAUUUGUUAAUGGAGCUGAGUCAUUUGCCACGCUGGAAUCUCCGUUAGACAGAUAUAUAUAAAACGAUGUCGUUUUGAAUUUAAAAAAAAUUUAAAAAAGGUUUAAAAUUCCAAGAAUCGAUUCUUGUAUCUCGCUCCAAGAAAAAUGCCCAGUAACCACUACACCACAUAUUGUUUUCAAAAUUAAAGCGCACCAUCAAAUAUAUGUACUAGGCGUAAAAAAAAUCUCUAGUAAAAUCUCUUUCUUUCUCUUUCGCCAGUGACUCGCGACAAUCAGGUCUGAAUCAUCCUGAGGUGUGAAUCCAUGUCAGAUGUAAAUCAAAUGAAAUCGUUGAAACCCAGAUAAAAAAUCCAAAUUUUUCAACACCCAUCUUAAUCCAACAAGAGAAAAAUUUGGAAUUUACACAGAUUGGGAGAAAGAUUCAAUCAGAAAAACCUGGAAUUUUUUCUUUGGGCUGGUUUUGUUUGUGGGUUCUAUGAUCUAAUUUUGUUUAAUUUGAAGAAUAGUUUACAUAAUUUAAAGAUUAUUUCCUUUUUUGGUUGAAUCUCGGUUCGAAAAUCACGAGAAUCUAGGUCAAAUCUAGAUCUUUUUCCUUUCUAAUAGCUAAUAGCUGUGUAAGUAUUAAAAUAUGUAAUAUUUUGCUUAAUAUUAAUAAUUGUAAGUGGCGUAUCGGUAGCGUAGCUUGAGUUGGUGGAGGACCACGGUUCAAAUCCCCUCAGAUUUGAAUAACUUUUUUUUUAAUUUCAAAACAUCAUCGUUUUAUAAAUAUAUGUCUAACAGAGAUUCCAGCAUAGCAAGUGACCCAGCUCCGUUAACAAUUUGAUGGAGUUGACUAACGAUUAAAAAGUCAAUGUAUAUUUCGGCCAAAAAAAAUUGAGUUCAGGUAUAAAUAAUCAUAUUAUUAAUAGUUCAGGUAUGUAUACACUAAUCGGUACCAUUACAUGUAGUUGAAUAAGCCGUUUUCCCGAGUUUUGUAUGUACCCUAUAGCCUAAAAAAGACUCGAAUAGACGUGGACCAUUCUACCCUUGAACUCUCACCUCCUUUGUCUCCUCUCGGCCUGCUCUUCCUUCUCGUAAUCAAUCGUCAAAUUCAGAUGGAAUUCGCAGAGAUCUAGAUCCCCACCAAGUUGCUUAAUCUUCGAUAGUUUGAUGGGUUUUUGCGAUGAUGGGAACCCGAGGCCCCUGGUGAUAUUUUCGUCUUUGGAUUUAGGUUUAUCGAGUCCGGUCAAUUUCUUUAAUGUGGCAGAGAGAUGAUGAAGAGGCGUCAAUGUUGGAUUGAGCUUAAAUAUGAACUCUGUAAUCCAUUCCGGCACAAGUGUUGUCCGUAAAGCUUCUCACUUUCUCUCAGUCUCGAGGAAAUUCUUCUGCGAUGGUAGUAGCAUCGUUGGUGAUGAAACCGAUAAUGGUAUCGAAGAGCCUUUGAAGGUAACAUGGGAAUCUUCGGAGAUGGAUUGUGGGUUUGCCGAGGAACGUAAAGAAAGCUCCGGUCUUGAGGAAACCUCUGUUAGGAGAAGGUUUUUGGAAGGUGCUAAGCUCGGUGCUUCCCAGGUUCUCAGUACUUUACAGCAAGAUUGUCCCGGAUUCAAUACGAAAUCAGCUUUAGAUGAGUUGAAUGUUCCAAUCUCAGGACUUUUGGUGAGAGAGGUUCUUGUUGGGAUUCUAAAGACUCUGAGCUUUGAUAACAAGACAAGGUGUGCUAAGCUAGCUUACAAGUUUUUUGUGUGGUGUGGUGGACAAGAUUGUUUCAGGCAUACGGCCAAUUGUUAUCAUCUACUUAUGAAGAUCUUUGCAGAGUGUGGUGAGUAUAAAGCCAUGUGCAGGCUAAUAGACGAGAUGAUCAAAGACGGUUAUCCAACAACAGCACGCACUUUCAAUCUCUUGAUUUGCACAUGCGGCGAGGCAGGCCUUGCAAGAGAAGUCGUGGAGCAGUUCAUAAAGUCGAAAGCUUUCAACUACAGGCCUUUCAAGCACUCGUACAACGCGAUUCUGCAUUCGUUGCUAGGUGUGAAACAGUACAAGCUGAUUGAUUGGGUUUACGAGCAGAUGCUAGAAGACGGGUUUUCACCUGAUGUUCUGACUUACAACAUUGUAAUGUUUGCAAGCUUUAGGUUAGGAAAAACAGAUCGGCUUUACAGGUUGCUUGAUGAGAUGGUUAAAGACGGGUUUGCUCCGGAUUUCUACACAUACAACAUCCUCCUCCACCACCUAGCCACAGGGAAUAAGCCUCUCGCAGCUCUUAACCUUCUAAAUCAUAUGGGGGAAGUAGGAGUAGAGCCCUCUGUGAUCCAUUACACUACUCUGAUAGACGGGCUUAGCCGAGCCGGGAAGUUGGAAGCUUGCAAAUACUUUAUGGACGAGAUGGUGAAAGUUGGAUGCUUGCCUGAUGUUGUUUGUUACACUGUUAUGAUUGCUGGUUAUAUAUCAGGUGGGGAGCUCGAGAAAGCCGAGGAGAUGUUCAAAGAGAUGACUGAAAAGGGGCAACUCCCAAAUGUUUUCACGUACAACUCCAUGAUCCGCGGGUUUUGUAUGGCCGGGAAAUUCAAAGAGGCAAGUUCUUUACUCAAGGAAAUGGAGUCGAGAGGGUGUAAUCCUAACUUUGUGGUGUAUAGUACGCUGGUGAACAAUCUUAGAAACGCAGGGAAGCUUUUAGAGGCUCACGAGGUAGUCAAGGACAUGGUGGAGAGAGGGCAUUAUGUUCAUCUAAUUUCCAAGCUGAAAAAAUAUAGAAGAUCCUAGUUCUCUAUAUUUUGUUUUGUUUCAAAAGGCAAUUUUGUGGUGUGGAUUAAACAAAUAUAUAGCUGUUCUCGUUUUAUCAUGUUCAGUAUCCUUUCUCAAUUCUCAAACAUGUUUAGCACAGUGUUCUAUAAUUUAACACCCAUUGUUUCAAUAGAUUGAAAUAACUAACGAAAAAAAAUAAAAGUAUCGUCGACAGCAGGGUUCGAACCUGCGCGGGCGAAGCCCAACAGAUUUCAAGUCUGUCUCCUUAACCACUCGGACAUAUCGACUUGUUUGAAUCAAACGAACAAAGCCUUAUAUAGUCUUUAAAUAUUCGUACAGAAUGACGAACUUAGCCCAAUAAAAGCCCACAAAUGCUGGCUUGGAUCCUCUAGCUCAGAGUGAGGGUACUCUUACGACGUAUGCCACGUGUUACGUUAACGAGACGGUAAAAAUAAUUCUCGGAAUCUGAAAUCCGAUCAAAUCUGAAGAAAACCGGCGAAGAAUCUCUGAGGCGUAGAGUGUAUUUCAUCCCGAAGACGAACCAAGAGAUUGGUGAUAUCGUGAACUAUCACUGCGACGGCGAGGGAUGAUAUGUUGUUGGUAACGGAGGCUAGGAAUUAGAUAUGUCAUCGGGAGGAGCCGGAGAGUACAACGAAGACAGGCAUCUGUUGCGAUCCACCGACGGCGAUGAAGUUAGCAUUGGCGCAGGAGACGAUGAUCUCGAUGUUGAAUCUCAGUCUCCGGCUAUCAGGAGUGGAAGCGGAGGAGUUAGGGAUCUGUUCAAGCAUCUGGAUCGGAGAUUUUCUCUCUCCGGGCGUCGUCUAAGCUUCAAACGGAUGGAGAAUAGCAGAGUUGAUAGGGAGCACCACCAUCCUUCUUCUUCUUCACCGUUUUCGGCCGGUGUGGUUGGUGGAGUAGAAGAUGGCGGUGGUAUCAGUAAUUUACAUAGCGUCGACGAUCGCGAUUACCGGAAUGAUGAGUUCGGUUCUGAUGAUGGCAACGACGUGCUCGGAGAUAGUGCUCCACCUGAGUGGGCUCUGCUUCUCAUCGGCUGUCUUAUCGGUGUUGCCGCUGGAAUUUGUGUCGCCGGCUUCAAUAAAGGGGUAUGUAUGGUCAUACAUUCAUACAUCAGAUCUCGAUCUAUUUGAAUCUAGAUCGAUUCGACUGAACAUCAACAGUGAAUCCUGAUAAAUGCGAAUUACGCUAAACUUUUAUGACUGCUGAUUCAAUAGAGUAGUGUUUUUGUCUAGGUUCAUGUCAUUCACGAGUGGGCAUGGGCUGGUACUCCGAACGAGGGUGCUGCUUGGCUUCGUCUACAGAGACUAGCCGACACUUGGCACCGUAUUCUUUUAAUUCCUGUCACUGGAGGUGUGAUAGUUGGAAUGAUGCAUGGUUUGCUCGAGAUCUUAGACCAAAUCAGGCAGUCCACUUCUUCUUCUCAAAGACAAGGAGUCGAUUUUCUUGCUGGUAUAUUUCCAGUGAUUAAGGCCAUCCAAGCUGCUGUGACCCUUGGUACAGGAUGUUCACUUGGUCCCGAGGGACCUAGCGUCGACAUUGGAAAGUCCUGUGCCAAUGGUUUCGCCCUCAUGAUGGAAAACAACAGAGAAAGGAGAAUAGCUCUCACUGCAGCUGGGGCGGCUUCUGGGAUUGCAUCUGGUAUAAUCUAAGACCCUACCUCUUUUCUAAAAAUGCUUACGCCUGCUCUAAAUUGAUAUUGGUUUGUUAAUGCAUGGAACAGCAGCGUAGCACCUUCACUCUAGUACUUAACAUUUAGCUCUAACCAGCUGAAUUUGAUCAGCAAAUGUCUGUACUAGGUUCCUGUGAUGUUUUUUCGCUCACUCUCUUAGUCCCAGGAUUUGUAUAGCCUACAAAUGUGUCUAUGGAUCUUAGGCUCUAGUACUAGACAAAGCAUUUUGCUGAGAGUAGUUGAUGAAAAAUAGUUCUGGUUGAAGUUAUAUUUGUGAAGUAAUGGUGUUUCUUACUAGAGAUGUGAGCACCAAAACAGGGCCUGACAUUUAGUUUUUUUUCCCAAGCAUGAACUCAGUUCGCUGCACUUUGGCUUGUUUAUGGUUAAAAAUCUGAUUUUACUUGAUCGUUAUUUCCCGUUACAGGUUUUAAUGCAGCAGUGGCGGGUUGUUUCUUUGCUAUUGAGACUGUUUUAAGACCUCUACGUGCCGAGAACUCGCCUCCAUUUACCACUGCAAUGAUAAUAUUGGCCUCUGUUAUCUCAUCGACUGUGUCAAAUGCGUUGCUUGGUACUCAGUCAGCUUUCACAGUCCCCUCGUACGACCUGAAGUCCGCUGCAGGUAUGUUUAUGAUACUUUUAGGCUCAGUUGCAAAUCUUCCAGUUAGUCUUGUGGUAUGAUUUUUUUUUAGUAGCUUAUAAUUUAGUGUCCUGAUGGAUUAUGUAAUAUAUAUAUAUAUAUAUAUAUAUCAUAAAGAAUCUUGGUAUCCUUAAAUAUCGAAGCCGAGAUUUAUCUGCUUCAACUAGUACUUUCUAAUUAAUUUUCCGAAAUAUGUUUCCACUUGUCUCCAGAGCUACCUCUGUACCUGAUAUUAGGCAUGCUGUGUGGGGCUGUCAGCGUUGUUUUUUCUCGCCUCGUCACAUGGUUUACCAAGUCAUUCGAGUUCAUCAAAGAAAAAUUUGGUCUUCCGGCUAUUGUGUGCCCUGCAUUAGGUGGUUUAGGAGCUGGGAUGAUUGCUCUCAAGUAUCCCGGAAUUUUGUACUGGGGGUUUACAAAUGUUGAGGAAAUCCUGCAUACUGGAAAGAGUGCUUCAGCUCCAGGAAUCUGGUUAUUAGCUCAGUUAGCUGCAGCCAAAGUUGUGGCUACAGCUUUGUGCAAAGGCUCUGGGCUUGUAGGCGGUCUAUAUGCACCAAGUUUGAUGAUUGGUGCUGCUGUUGGUGCUGUGUUUGGAGGUUCGGCUGCUGAGAUUAUUAACAGAGCUAUUCCUGGUAAUGCUGCUGUGGCUCAACCACAAGCUUACGCUCUGGUAUUGUAUUCCCUUUGUUGCAGGCCCUUGCUCCAAUGCAGCUUUUUCUUAUUAUAAUAUUGUCCAAUUCAGUUGUUACGAAUUCUGACUUAUCAAGAUGCCAUGUUUAUAUGUGAUGCAGGUUGGGAUGGCAGCGACACUAGCUUCCAUGUGCUCAGUUCCCUUAACAUCAGUAUUACUGCUGUUCGAACUAACAAAAGAUUAUAGAAUUUUGCUUCCUCUCAUGGUAAACAUUCGUUUUCCCUCUCACUUUUUAUGAUGCUUAUGUAAAAUGGUGUAAAACCGUUUUGGAGGGGCGAGAUUAAUGAAAAUCUUUUUCUAGUAUUCUGAUUUUGUCAUUAAUAUGCUAAACAAAUUCUGGGUUUUUCUACCCUUUUUAAAACUAGGAAAUGUACCAGUUACCAUGUUCGCUAUAGUAAUAAUAAUAUAUUUUUAACCAGAGGUCGAGAGCUAGUUUUGUACAGAGAUAGAAAUAAUUUUCUUCAUGUCUACAUCAUGUGCGUUCUUGAUCUGAUCUGUCUGUCGGUUUCUUCUAACAGGGAGCAGUUGGUUUGGCAAUAUGGGUUCCCUCUGUGGCAAACCAAGGCAAAGAAAGUGACUCAUCUGAGGGUCGCAGCACAGGAAGAGGAUACUCUUCUCUUUCGCCUAAAACUGAAGGUGUUUGGAGACACACGGAUAUUGCUGACUCCCUUGAGCUUACCGUCAUAGAGAACCCUGACCACAAAUCCUUGUUGGAUGAAGAAACUAUUCUGGAAGACUUAAAGGUUCAGCGAGUUAUGUCAAAGAAAUAUGUCAAGGUUUCUCUGGGAACAACUCUAAGAGAAGCAAGAAACAUCCUUAAAGACAGCCACCAGAACUGCCUUAUGGUGGUAGACGAUGAUGAUUUUCUAGCCGGAAUCCUAACACACGGAGACAUCAGACGAUACUUGUCCAAUAACGUACCUACAAUCUUAGAUGUAAGUAGUCAAACAAAAACAAACUCUCAAAACAAACUCUUCAAUUUACUUCUUUGUCUCUUGCAGGAGAAUACAUGUCCAGUCUCUUCGGUGUGUACACGGAAAAUAACAUACCGAGGCCAAGAACGUGGAGUGCUUACUUGUUAUCCAGACGCGACAGUUGGUGUGGCCAAAGAGUUAAUGGAGGCAAGAGGAGUGAAGCAGUUACCUGUUGUAAAACGAGGUGAAGUCAUUCACCAAGGGAAAAAAAGGAAAUUGCUUGGCCUUCUUCAUUACGACUCCAUCUGGACUUUUCUCAGGUAUUAAAUUAAAAAGUCUCUCUUUUACCUUUAAUGCCCAUAAAACCCCAUUGUUUACGUGUUCGUUUUUGGUGUAUAUUCACAAUCUUAAUCAUCACAAGCAAAAUUUGCAAAUUUGUCUGUUAAUUGUAAACGUAAAUGCAAUGUUUUCAUUUCAGAAAUAUGACCCUUUUUUGGAUGUUUCUCAUGUAAAAGCUUUUGCGUUUGAAACAAUCUUGAAUUCCGAAUCGAAGGGUUUGAUUUUUUUUUUUUUUUUUUUGCUGUGGUUAUAAUUUUUUGCCAGAGAUGAAAUGAGUCGUAGGAGAUUGAUCAACGAGCGUAGAAAAGAGAAGUACGAGGAGGUUGGUGCAGCAAAUGGGCAUUGAUUGGGUUUGUACCCAUUUGGUAUAGCUUUCUUCUUCUUCUUUUUUUUUUUUAAUUUUAUUUUUGAGGUCCAUUUGAUUAGAACGGAUGAAAAUGUGGUCGUAAAAUAAUGUUAAUACCUCUUUAUUAGUUUUGGAAAUAUAUAUAUUGUUCUCAUAAAGUAACACUCAUAUCAUAUAAUCAAAGAGAAUUCUAGUGACAUAGAUACGAUAAAUUGUUGGGUGAUCUCUACUUACAAAAUUAACAUCACUAACCUCUUAGCAAACCUUGUGAUAUUCAGAAUCGACAAUAUCAUAGUGAGAUGAGUGAGUUCUGUUGAUUUUUCUUGUGUGGUUUCUCUAAUUAAUUGUUUAUCGAGGUUUAGAUGGUAUUUAGUCACCUUUACAUAACUUUAAUAAUAUGAUCAUAUUCGAAAAUUCAUUAAAUUGCUUUUCUUUUGCAUGAAUGUGAUGUACAACUGUUAAAUUAAAGUUGUGAAUUUAAAAGGUUUUUAUCUUGAUGAAUAAAUCAUGUACAGAAGAUCCACAAAGAUAAUGUCAUGACUGAAACUGGACCCUUCCUUUAAUGAUUUUCACUAAAACAGCUUUUAAAGUAGAUUUGUUAACAAAAGAGGGACAAACCUAACAAAUAGUUGACUAAUUGAUUGGAGUGUGAUUGAAUUUUGUUGGUCAUAUAUUGGUAAGUGGGUGAAGAAUGAUAAAUCUAAUAUACGUAGCUUUUUCUUCAUUAUUAGGUCGGCCCUUAAUGUCAAACAAAACAAUCAAGAGUAAAGAGAAAUGGUUUCAAUAUUCUGAUUGUAUACCCACAAUAAAAGCGCAAUAUAGUCUACCAUCUUCCAAUCUUUUAACUGAAACAGCUAAAUAUAAAAGCGUAACUAGAAUAUCAAUUAAUUUCAAAUGAUUAUUUUUCGAUAAGUCAUUUACGAUAUGUGAACACUUUACAUUUGAAGGCUUUAAACAUGUCAAGAGAUGACAUGCAUGUACUAUUCGUCAAUUUCCUUUUACCUAAUCUGAAAAAUGAUACGUUGGACCAUUAAAAUGUCUUUUUCCGUCUUUUCUAUUUCUUCUUUUACAAGCUAUGGACUAAUAAAAAAAAGGAGAAAAUCAAUCCUUACAUGUAGAAAAGUGAUUGUAAUUUGGACAAAUAAUUUUGAAUUGACUUGGAUUUCGAUCACCAUUAGAAAAGUAGUCGUUUUCUUGAAGUCGUCAUCAUCCAUCAUUCAUUAUACCAAAAUAAAGUUAAAACAAUGACAAAUGUGGUUAAGGAUGGUUUCAUAUAUUAAGCAUGUUUACACUUGUCUUUAAAAAAAAAAAAACGUGUAACUACACAUUAGAAAAUAGUUUCAAAUAUAAUAUUUUUGAAACUAGAUGUUAUCAGAAUUAACAUUUGCUCACACAAAUUUAUUUGAAAACGUUAAGAAGUCAUAAAUUGAGGAUUUUUUCUUUUUUGCUAAAAAGGUAACACUUGUAGAAUUUUUUUCUUUCAAAGCCUAUUCUCUUUAUUUUUAAUCCUUACAUACACUAUGGUUUUGAUUGGUAACUUUGCGGAAUGGCAGAAUUGCGGAAAAAAUCUUGUAGAAUAGAUUAAGCGACUUAUAAGUCGCUUUUCUGCGGAAUGACUUUUCCUUUGUAUUUUUGUUAAGCAAAAACGCAGUCUGCGUUUUUGUGUGUAUUUUUUUAUUACGCGGAUUUUUGUUGAUUGACAAAAAAUCUGCAGAUUACCAAUCAGAGCCUAUAUUACUAAUCUGCGGAUUUUUGUGUGUAUCUUUUUAUUACGCGAAUUGUGUUUUUAAACACAAUUCUACCAUUCCGCAGAUUACCAAUCAGAGCCUAUAUAAAAAAUAAAAUAUACGUAUGCGUAAGUGGGCGUGGGAGAAUCUUUGGAGUCGAAAGAGCACAAAAUAUGCGCUCGUGCGGUAGAGUAUACUGACAAAAUUGGUACCCGGCCCAACCCUACGGCCCACACGCGUCAAAACCGUUUCCGGCUUUUCAUAAAACCUCUUUCGAUUUUGAAUUCUCUUAUUAUCUCUAAUCUAUCUAUUUAAUUUUAUUAUAUAACGUAUAAUAAUAAUAAUUUGAUUCCCUGUCUUUUCCCUCACCAUAUACUGUAGUUAUUUCAAAGUUUCCCGACCUUGUCGUCAUUAACAUCGGAUAUCACACAAGCUAAAUAAUUUAAAAUAAUACUCUACUUUGCCCAUUUUCUAUGUGUAUAAACUAUGUUAUACGUUAAUACUUCGAAUAUUUUGUUUGUCUUUGUCCCCUAAUCUUUACAUGUGAAUGUCACGGAUGUUUGGAAUGAAUGUUAUAUUGGAUGUUUUAUUUAUGUAGUACAGUAAUGAUUUCAUUUUCAAAACGUAGCGUUAUUUCGAAUGAGAUCAUGAAAAAACUUGCUCAGCUUAUUCUAAAUAGAUAAACUUGCUUAACUUAAUUUAUUCCUAAUAAUAUACCUCGAUUAAUAAAAAAAAUGUACUCUGUAAAGCACUUAAUAUAACGAUCGAAUAGCUAAUACAGCUGUACAUAUGGGCUAGGAUAGAAAUUAGAUAAAAUGCGACGGUUUGCCAAAAAGUUAAGCGGCAACUAUAUAAAUGAAGACAAAACGCGGGGCCACAAAACUAAUAUACAAAAGGAAACGAGGACCAAAGGCAAAUUAAGAACUAUAUUUGUUAAAAUUUUUGAAUUUAACAAAUAAGCUAGUGCUUCGUGCCGUGUAGGGUUAGAAAGUUGCAUUAAUGCGUAGAAACAUACGAGAACUGAGGGGAAAAGUAGGCCUUUAUCGUGAAUAUCGUCAAAUUUAUCAUACUUUAUUUUCUUGUGUAGGUUAGACCACAGACUACUAUUUAUAUGGUAACGAGAGACCUAAAUAUCUACUAUCAAACGUGCCGGGUAAUUUAUAUAACCCCAAAAAAAAGUAUGAUAAAGAGUGAUAAUAAUAUAAUCGGAACACUAAAAGAUAUCGAAUCCAAGUGUUUGACUAUAAGUCCCAUUUAAAGAUUUAUCUCCAACGGGCCAAAAAAAAUUAUUAGCAAGAAAACAUUUACAAACUUCUUAGAGUUUGUUUCUUUCCCCUAAAAUGAAAAUAAUUAAUCCAAUGUAACAUUUGAAUUUGUGGAACAUUUUAUCAAUGCAAGAAAAUUAAUAAUUAGGUAGGGAUUAUAAAGAGAUAAUUAAUCUUUAGUAUCAUGAUUAUGUUUUCUCUUCUUUUCUGGAGGAUUAUGUCUUCAUUUAUCUGCUUUUCCUUUUGUUAUUCUUUCUUUCUUUCUUUGCCAUUUUGUUUAUUACUAAAUUUUUGUUCUCUAUUGCUUUUGCAAUUUUCCCGCAAAGAGAGAGUUUUUUGUGUGUGUGUGAGAAUAAAUAAUUAAUAAAGAAAUCAUUCGCUUUUACAAUUAAACCUUUGAUAUUUCUUUCCAAACAGAAAAACCCAAUCAGCUCCCAUUUACGCAAGAUAAGAAAGGAUAAUUCUUUUUUUUUUUUUGAAACUUAAUAAUUCUUUUUCUUUCCAAUUUUUGUUUUCCGGGAGAUAUCUAGUUUUGUUCCUGGAAAAAUCACUUUUAUUCUUCUCUUUUCUGGGUGAUGGUCGUGCAAAAAAGAAAGUUUCCUCUCUAUGUAAGCAUUUCUCUCUCACUACGGAAUCUUAAACCCUCUGAUUUUGGAAAGAAAAAAAAAAUCUAACUUUGGUUGUUUUGAAUCCGACCAUCUCUGCAACAUCGUACUUGAGCAGAAACAGUAUCUAAAAAACUAUCUCUGUUGUCUUCUUCAUCAGCGAAAUCCUCUCUCUCUCUCUCUCUCUCCUUCUUCCGUCACCGUCACAGUCGUCUCUGUCAAACUUAGGUUCUACUCUUUGUUUCUUCCUCUGCAUCUUUUCGUCUUCUUCUUGAACAUGGUUUCAUAUAUAAAUCAUCUUUUUUUUUAAUUAAAAAAAAAGAUAGUAUCUUUGUUGUUUUUCUGAAAGCUUACUCUGUUUGUUUUUCUCUCCUUCUCUUUGGUUUCUCAGAGUUGCAAGAUCUCUACUUUGGAAGCUCUGGAGGAACUGAGAACAGUAAAUGAACCAGAGCAAGAAGAAAGAAGAUCUUUACUCCUUUGAAACAUUCCAUUCAGGGGCAGAAGUCCUGAGCUUGGAGGAGUAUCAAUCUCUUUAAGGCAUUUAAUCGAACACUUGGUGGGGCCAAUGAAGCAAAAAUGGCUGUUAUUGUUGAUCCUCUGUUUUUAUGCAACUUUUCUGGUGAUGGGCACUCAUGGAAAAAGGCUAAUCAGCGACGGCGACUUCAACGAAGCUGCUCUGUUGAUGUCGUUCAAGCAACUCUCUGUAAAGUCUGAUCCUAACAACUUUCUGGGUAACUGGAAAUACGGGUCGGGUCGUAGCUUAUGCUCUUGGCGAGGCGUUUCUUGCUCUGACGACGGCCGAAUCGUCGGAUUGGACCUCCGAAGCGGCGGACUCACCGGAACUCUAAACCUAGUUAACCUCACGGCGUUGCUCAAUCUCCGGAAUCUUUACCUGCAAGGAAAUGAUUUCUCUUCCUCAGGAGAAUCGUCUGCUUCUGAUUCCGGCUCCAGUUGCUAUAUUCAGAUUCUGGAUUUGUCUUCGAACUCGAUUUCUGAUUAUUCAAUGGUGGAUUACGUCUUCUCGACAUGUUCAAAUCUGGUUUCGGUAAAUUUCUCGCACAACAAGCUCGCCGGGAAAUUGGGUUCUGCUCCGUCGUCGUGUAAGAGUUUGACGACUGUUGAUCUCUCAUACAAUAUCUUAUCGGAGGAAAUCCCGGAGACUUUUAUCGCGGAUUUUCCGGCGUCGCUGAAAUAUCUCGAUUUAACUCACAACAAUUUAACUUGCGAUUUUUCCGAUCUCGGUUUCGGGAUCUGUGGGAACCUCAGCUUCAUCAGUUUAUCACAGAACAAUAUCUCCGGCGAUGGUUUCCCGAUUUCUCUAUCUAACUGUAAAUACCUCGAGAUGUUGAACAUCUCUCGGAACAAUCUCGCCGGAAAAAUCCCCGGCGGAGAGUAUUGGGGAAAUUUCCAGAAUCUGAAGCAGCUCUCUCUCGCACACAACCGUCUGACCGGCGAAAUUCCACCGGAGCUUUCUUCACUCUGCAAAACCUUAGAGAUUCUCGAUCUCUCCGGAAACGCUCUCUCCGGCGAGCUUCCUCCACCAUUCACCGCCUGCGUCUCAUUACAGAACCUUAACCUCGGAAGCAACUUCCUCUCCGGCGAUUUCUUAACCACCGUCGUGAGUAAAAUCCCCGGAAUCACAUAUCUAUACGUGGCUUACAACAACAUCUCAGGCUCUGUUCCGAUUUCACUCACCAACAUUACAAACCUCCGUGUUCUUGAUCUAAGCUCAAAUGGUUUCACCGGAAAUAUACCGUCUACCUUUUGCUCUCUGCAAGACUCGCCGGUUCUUGAAAAGAUUCUCAUAGCCAACAAUUACCUCUCAGGAACACUUCCUAUGGAGCUUAGCAAAUGCAAAAGCUUGAAGACGAUCGAUUUCAGCUUCAACGCUCUCACCGGUCCGAUCCCAAAGGAGAUAUGGACGCUGCCGAAUCUCUCGGAUUUGGUCAUGUGGGCGAACAAUCUCACCGGAAGAAUCCCAGAAGGUGUUUGUGUUAAAGGAGGAAACUUGGAAACUCUCAUCCUCAACAACAACCUCCUAACCGGUUCAAUCCCUGAGUCAAUCUCAAGAUGCACCAACAUGAUUUGGAUCUCUCUUUCAAGUAAUCGUUUAACCGGAAAAAUCCCAAGCGGCAUCGGAAAUCUUUCCAAAUUAGCAAUCUUGCAGCUUGGGAACAAUUCCUUGUCCGGAAACGUCCCACGUCAGCUCGGGAACUGCAAGAGCCUGAUCUGGCUCGACCUUAACAGCAACAAUCUAACAGGAGACCUCCCUGGUGAGCUAGCUAGCCAAGCCGGGCUUGUAAUGCCAGGGAGUGUCUCAGGUAAACAGUUUGCGUUUGUGAGGAACGAAGGAGGAACAGAUUGCAGAGGUGCAGGAGGGUUAGUCGAGUUUGAAGACAUUCGUGCAGAACGUUUGGAGCGUUUUCCAAUGGUUCAUUCGUGUCCAGCGACACGUAUAUACUCAGGCUUGGCAAUGUACACUUUCACUGCAAACGGAAGCAUGAUCUACUUUGACAUCUCUUACAACUCCGUGUCCGGUUUUAUACCGACAAGUUACGGUAACAUGGGCUAUCUCCAGGUCUUGAAUUUGGGACAUAACCGUUUAACUGGAACCAUCCCGGACAGUCUUGGAGAAUUGAAAGCCAUUGGUGUUCUUGAUCUAUCUCACAACGAUCUUCAAGGGUACUUACCUGGAUCGCUUGGAUCGCUUUCUUUCCUCAGCGAUCUUGAUGUCUCUAACAACAACCUCACAGGUCCAAUCCCAUUUGGAGGUCAGCUUACAACGUUCCCUGUCUCGAGAUAUGCAAACAACUCUGGUCUCUGUGGCGUUCCCUUGCGUCCCUGCGGCUCAGCUCCUCGGCCUCUUACCUCCCGUGUCCACGGCAAGAAGCAAACCAUUGCAACCGCUGUGAUCGCUGGAAUCGCGUUUUCUUUCAUGUGCCUUGUGAUGCUGGUCAUGGCGCUUUACAGGGUGAGGAAAGCUCAGAAGAAGGAAGAGAAGAGGGAGAAAUACAUUGAGAGCCUUCCAACUUCUGGAAGCUGCAGCUGGAAGCUCUCUAGCGUUCCUGAACCGCUUAGCAUCAACGUUGCUACGUUCGAGAAACCACUGAGAAAGCUUACUUUCGCGCAUCUUCUUGAAGCCACAAACGGGUUUAGCGCAGAGACUAUGAUCGGAUCUGGUGGGUUUGGAGAAGUCUACAAGGCUCAACUCAGAGACGGAUCUGUUGUAGCGAUCAAGAAGUUGAUCCGAGUCACGGGGCAAGGCGACAGAGAGUUCAUGGCUGAGAUGGAAACAAUCGGAAAAAUCAAACACAGAAACCUCGUUCCGCUUUUGGGAUACUGCAAGAUCGGGGAAGAGAGGCUUCUUGUCUAUGAAUACAUGAAAUGGGGAAGCUUGGAAACUGUUCUUCACGAGGUAUCCAAAAAAGGCGGAAUCUUUCUGAAUUGGGCCGCGAGGAAGAAGAUUGCCAUUGGAGCUGCAAGAGGUCUAGCGUUUCUGCACCAUAGCUGCAUUCCUCACAUAAUCCACAGAGACAUGAAGUCGAGCAAUGUUCUUCUAGACCAAGACUUGGAAGCACGUGUGUCGGAUUUCGGGAUGGCGAGGCUAGUUAGCGCUCUAGACACGCAUCUGAGCGUGAGCACGCUCGCAGGUACUCCAGGAUACGUCCCGCCGGAAUAUUACCAGAGUUUCCGGUGUACGGCCAAAGGGGAUGUUUACAGCUACGGAGUUGUGCUUCUUGAGCUUCUCUCUGGUAAGAAACCGAUAGAUCCAGGAGAGUUUGGAGAAGACAAUAACCUUGUCGGGUGGGCGAAACAGCUCUAUAGAGAGAAAAGAGGAGCUGAGAUUCUCGACCCGGAGCUUGUAACCGAGAAAUCAGGCGAUGUUGAGCUGUUUCAUUACUUGAAGAUCGCGUCUCAAUGCUUGGACGAUCGACCCUUUAAGCGGCCAACAAUGAUUCAAGUGAUGGCCAUGUUCAAAGAGCUUAAGGCUGAUACAGAGGAAGACGAAAGUCUUGAUGACUUUUCGCUUAAGGAAACUCCUUUGGUGGAAGAUUCUCGAGAUAAGGAGCCUUAAUAUCGAAGACUGAGUAUGCUCUGUUACUUGUUUCAAAUUUUUUGUGUCACUGUAUAUAACAGAAGAAGCUUGAGCGAGACGGUCAGAUUGAGCAGAAGUGGAAGUAGCCAUUGAAGAUUUAUUGUAGUUGUUAAGCUCGCUUUGAGGGUUUUUGUAUUUGGUUAACUUGUAAUACACGGUAAGAGAAGUUCUUCAUUUUGAACUUUUAUAACUUUCCAUUUAAUAAUGUGAUGUUUUCUUGCGUUCUUUCCAAACAUCUUGAGUCAGAUUUUAUUUUUAAUUUGUUAAACGAUUGUUAGAAAUUUAUCAUUUUAUCUGCUGCAAAAAGUUUCCCUUCCACCAUCUUCAUUUAACUUCUGCAAAUACUUGUAUGCUUUCCUUGUUCCUGAAAGAAUACAAUAAACAAUAUAUUCAAGUUCAACAGUAUGACGUAAUCUAACAAACCAUGAAAUAAACACACACAUAAUUUGGAACUUUUUUUUUUAACAAGACAAAUUACUACAAGUUUACAACGUGAAAAGUCAACAAAAGUUAGAUUAAAAAUAAUAUAAAGUUUGGGUUUUUAUGAAAUCAGUUUGGUUUCUGAUUCAGGAUUGAAAUAACGAGAUCCAUGGAAUAUGAAAUACUAAAACGGGCUAUUUAUGGGUCGAAUUUAAAAUCCCAGUGUAAUGUGGAUUAUGUGGGGACCAUAUGCUCAAAGUCACAUUUCACCGGAAAAUAUGAUUAUGCCAAGUGCAAUACUAGAAAAGUGGGGACCAUAUGCUCAAAGUCACAUUUCACCGGAAAAUAUGAUUAUGCCAAGUGCAAUACUAGAAAAGGAACCCAUUAACUAAGUGUUGACUAACAAAAUCUAACCAGUGAUGUAAUCUACACCCUUUUUUUCACCUGAAUGUAACAAAAAUUAAUAUAUCACUCAUGGUGAUGGUAGAUUGGUAGUAGUAGUGGAUUAGCAGUUUCUACCGGUUCAGAAGUUGUUUUGUAGAUGUAAAGAUGUAAAUUGGAGAUUAGUUCCCUUUACUCAUGAGAUUAUGAUGAAGGGCAUAUUACGAACUUGGGUUAUAUUUGAGUGACGUCUUGGGUUUGAGUUAUUUUGUUUCUUUUUACGAAAGUUAUCGUAUCAUUGUUUAGGAUUUAUUCAUAUCUUAACUACUUAGAUUUCAUAGAUUUCUUUAGAUUCUCUAUUAGUUAUAAGUACUCGACACCUCCGUUAUUGUAAGGACGUUGAAUUGAUAUUGAAGUUUUUAAGAGCUUUCGAGCACUGUGAAGAGUAUUCACAUCUUUUACUGAUUUAGUCCUCGUUGUCGACCUCUAAAUCAGUUUCUCUACAGCUUGUGAUCGAACUUCGUCGAUCCCUUGUUGUUAUAGCUUCCGCUACUCUAUCAGAUUAUCUAACAACUCUCUUUUUCUAAGAGAUGACAGGCACAAACGGUUUGGUUUUACGAUAUUCUAGAUUUCUUAACAUUCAUAUAUAUUUUUGGUCGAAUUAUAUGUAAAUGUAACAUUCAAACUUGGAAAACUACAUCGACUAAUUUGUUUUAUAUGUUUUAUAUACUGAUGCGAAAUGCAUCUUUCUGGUCAGCUCCAGACUCCAACUCUUGUGUCUUGGAUUUGGAGGUAGUUAUUAAAACUAGAAUGUAUAAAAAUUAAUAUUCACUUGAAUGUAUAAAAAUUAAUAUAUCACUUGAAUGUAUAAAAAUUAAUAUUCACUUGAAUGUAUAAAAAUUAAUAUCUCACUUGAAUGUAUAAAAAUUAAUAUAUCACUCAUGGUGAUGGUGGUAGUGGAUUAGUAGAUUCUACGUACCGGUUGAGAAGUUGUUUUGUUGAUGUAAAGAUGUAAAUUAGAGAUUAGUUCCCUUUACACGUUAAGUUAUCUAACAACUCUAGAUUAUGAUUUUACGAUAUUCUAGAUUUUUUAUAUGUAACAUUCAAACUUGGAAAACCACAUCGACUAAUUUAAUUUGUUUUAUAUACUACGUAAAAAUGUUCUUUAAAAUAUUACCUACGAAAAGGGAAAAGAAAUUUAACGAAAGUUACUGAGUGGCCGGGGUGAACACCAACGCUCACUAGAUCCAUAAUAUGAGGUUUGAUUCAUUAGAAACUGUGACAUACUCACACAGAAAAAUGUAUUGGCAAUGCCAAAUUAAUACAAAAGUUUUCUGAUUAACAUGGUGUGAAUAACUCUCUUGGCAAGAGUUUCUCGUAAGUCCACCUCGGACAAACACUGAAACACAUGAACCAAAGUUUAAUAAAUUGUUCUCAAACGCGUUUAAGCCUUUUCUAUCCCAAAAGAAAAUAAAAUCUAUUCCUAAAUCCUAAUACUAUGUAGUUCGUGGUUGUGGAUUAUAUUUUAAUUGUUAAUGGUCAAUGCAUCGACUUACCUGUUAUGGCUAUUUUGAGAUAACUAUAUAUUCCUUUUAGAAUUUGUGCACUUGCCAUAUUCCUCGGUCAACAUUUUUUUGGUUCUAUUUAUGUUAUUUCCACAUUUGUGUUAACCACUAAAACACAUACCCGUAUUUUAAAACUGAACCAAAAAUAAACCAAAAUUUUGGUUAAUUUACAAGGUCCAGAUCAAACCAGUGGAACCGCCAACCUUAAAAUUGAUAAGAAAUACAGCAACCACUUUCAAAAGUUCACAGAUAUUCUAAUAUAUAUUAUUUUAAAUUCGACCAUAAUAUAUAUUACUUCAAUAGUUUUAAGAACGUCAAAAGAUAUUGACAAUAGUCUUUAAAAAGAAAAAAAACACUAAAGACAAUUUAAAACACGCUAAAAUAUCAUAUAAGAUAUAAAACUAGUUAAUAUAUAUAAUUAAUAUAUAAUUAUUAUGGUAAUAUAUUAUUUUAUGAAAACGAUAUAACGGAUCUAAAAUUGAUUAAACUUCGAUUUUAUUAACUAAAUUAUACGUAUAAUCUCGAUUUUUUAAAAAAUAUGUUAGAUAAUAAAUAUAUAAUCGCAGUAAUAUUAUGUCUAAUUUAUAUAUGUUAUACUAAUAAUAAUUACUUGAUGGUAAAAACAGCAUAAUUUAAAAUAAAUUAAAAUAAACGUAUAAUUUUGAUAUAAAACUAGUUAAAAUAUAUGAAUAACUUAAAAAAAUUUUAAAAGAUUAGAUUCUAAAUAAAUAUAAUCAUUAUAAUAUAUUAUUUUUUUGAAAAUGAUACAACAAAUUUAAAAUUAAAUAAACUGUACGUAUAACCUUGAUUUUUUAAAAAAAUAUUAGAUAAUAAAUAUAAAAUCGCGGUGAUAUUAUAUCUAGUUUAUAUAUGUUAUAUUUAUAAUGAUUACUUGAUGGCAAAAACGGCAUAAUUUAAAAUAAAUUAAAAUGUAUAUAUGUACUUUUUAACUGAGUUAUUAAUAAAUAUUAAAUCAUAGUGAUAGUCUAUUUAAUUUAACUUUGUGAUAUUAAUAAUCACUUAUCAGAAUGCUGUUUUUGAGUUUAAUAUUUUAAAUUUUUUGAUAUAUCUUGGUUACGUAAAUUAUGAAUUUAAAAAAAAAUUAAAUUAGUUUUUGUUUAUUAUUCUACAAGAAAGUAAAAAGUCGAAUUUCUUUUAUUUACAUCAUGCUUUCGGUAUUGUUUUGAUAAACCCAAACCGAAGUAAACCCCUCGCAUAAAAACCAAAAAUCGAAAAAAAAAAGAAGUAAUAAAAACUUCUUUAGGCAUUGUUGACACUUGGAUGACGAUGUUUGACCAUUUAAAAUUGUUACCAAAGUAAAUGGUGACGAAUUUUGUUAUAUAAGAACACCAUCUUCCUCCUAGCUAAGUGCACACAUCUCUUUUUUCUUCUUCUUUUUUCUUUUUUUCUUCUUCUUCUUCUUCGUUCGGCUAAAUUCCUCUCAAGAAAGAGGUCUCUCCUUUACAUAUAUAAUGCUUUUUAUUAAAUAACCUAAUCAUUCGAAUUCUCCCAAAUUAUAUCACUUUUACACAAUAUUCCAAACUGAUAUAUUUCGUCUUCUAACUCUCUUUUGUUUUCGUUGUGUGUGUUUCUUGACAUCCAAGUGUUCUCUAAAAAAAAAAACAAAAAAAUGAUCGAUCAUGAUGGAAAUUUCAUGGAAACGAUAUCGUUUUGGGCUCCACCGUCCAGUCCUAGCCCAAGAACGAUUCUAGAGAUGCUGAAUCAAACCGAUAAUGGUAUAAAUCCAAUCAGCGAGAUCUUCCCUCAAACCAACUUAUCAACUUAUCAUCAUCAUCAGUCUGAACAAAGAUCUGGUCUCGGCGAGAGAGUAGCUGCAAGAAUAGGAUUUAAUCUUCCUCCACUAGACGCAGAGAACAUCAGUCCAAUUUCUGCAUUUUUCAGGAACUCGACGACUGUUCCUUCUCCUGUCGUCGAAAUCUCUCCAGGAUUCAGCCCAUCUGCUCUGUUGCUAUCUCCAGAUAUGUUCUCUAAUUCCUCACAGGUAAAUAACAAUGUCUUUUAUGUAUGUUUUUACGAUUGUUUUAUUUUAUAAUUCGUGUUUAAAUUUAUAUUAAUUAUGAUUUAACAUUUAGCCCAAAAAAAAUUAUAAUCAUAUGAUAAAUUAAAAAGGUUGAAUAAACAAAUGAUUAAACAAAUAUUUGGGAAUGUAAUUAAUUACGUAUGUUAUUUUAAAAUGAUUAGGUGGAAAAAAUAUAAGUAGUAACAUUAUCUAUCGGUAAACACAGAAUCUGUAAUUUCCUUUUUGUUCACGUUUGACAUUUAUUAUACCUAUUUGAGUUUUUUUUUUUUUUGGGGUCAAAUACCUAUAUGAGUUUACUAUUUACAAAUGAUGUCUUCAUAAUAAAACAUUUUACCUUUAUAUUUCAUUUCACCGCCGAAUAAAAUUUUACGCAAAAAUUUACAAAUUUUACAAAUGAUGUCUCCAUAGUACUAGUAUUAUGUUUGGUAAUGUAUUUUUCAGAUUAUCCCUUCGUCUCCGAUGGCCAACGGCGAGACGGUGGAAAGUUGCGGUGACAACGACGAAACGACGAUGAUAUUCAACAACGAUCUUCCUCAUCAGCCGCUGCACGUUGAUCUGCCUCCUGAAGAAGGUAAUAGAGUUGCUUGUGUCUCAAGUUUGCUUCUAUUUUGUAUUUUUCGAAUCUUUUUAUCGGUUCUUUUUUUUUUUUUACAUGUGAAACAGGCUCUGAUGGUAUUCCAACGGAAGAGUCCGUUAAUAUCCCAUCUCAUGAAUCUCUUGCUGAUCCCAUUGGUGCUCCUUUAAACGCAUCUUUUGAAUUUGAAAUUGUUGACCAGACCGAUAUCAUCAACAGGGGCGGAGGUAGUGAAAGAGUAAUGGGAUCACGUGCCCUUACUCUUUUUUUUAUUUAUUUAAAUAUUUAAAUAAAUUUAUUUAAAUUACUUUUAAUUUAGUGAUAGAAAAAAAAUUGUCUCCAACUAAUUUUGUUUAUCAUACUUAUAAACUUAUGCUCCCAACUAUUUUUUUUUAGAUCCACCACUGAUCAUCAACAUCAAUAGCGAAAGCGAGGACGAGGACGAGGAUGAGAACGAGGGCGAGGACGAAGAAUACAACGAAGAUGAAGAUGUAGACGAAGAAGAAGACGACGACAUUGUUGCUGAACUAGAAGUCGAACCUUCAUCUCCAAAGAGAAGGUCCAAACAGAAUUAGUUUAACAUAUCAUAAUCGAUAAUACUAAUUAAAGAACAUCUCAAUUUUAAUUAAACCAAAGUUAAUGACCGAAUUCUCUUGCAGGAAAUUUGAGGUAUCAAACAUGAUUGGAGCGACAAGAACAAGCAAGAACGAAAGGGUCAUAAUUCAGAUGGAAUGCGAAGAAGACCUUCCUGACGAUGGUUUUCGCUGGAGGAAAUACGGUCAGAAAGUUGUCAAAGGGAAUCCAAAUCCGAGGUUGUCAUUUCACCAUGUUCCUAGCUCUUUUUUUUUUUAAUAACCAAUUCGAUGCUAAAUCUUAAAAAAAAAAGAUAUUUUUUGUGUUUUGGUAUAAAUUAAUGGUAAUGGCAGGAGUUACUACAAAUGCACGUACAACGAGUGCCAAGUGAAGAAGCAUGUGGAGAGAGGAGCAGACAAUGCGAAGUUAGUGGUGACCACAUACGAUGGGAAACACGAGCACGCUGCACCAGCUGCACGCAUUAGCCAUUCUGGUCCAAGGAGUCGGUCCGGUUCAUCAUCAGUGACUCAAGAUUCUACCAAUCGAACCGCUCGGUUAGGCAGGCCGCCUUCUUCGUCUCAAGCCAUGAUGAGGCCGCUCUCUUCUUCUUCGGCCCCACAAAUUGAUAUGACACAGUUCUAUAUGUCCGGACUCUCUAGGCUGCCCACUUUACCGGUUAACCAGAAUACUGGUUCUACGUACCGAAAUGAUGAACCGAAUGUGAUACCGGACGGCUCAGAGGUCUACAAGGGGAUCAUGCAUCGGCUAUCUCUUGAGUUUGGUCUCCAAUUUUAGGUGCAAACCGUUUUCAACAACAACUAAAAAGAGUUGAUUUUUUUAUUUUUUUUUAAAUCCGUAUCCGCAUUGAUAUCAUCCCUUAUACAAUAAUAUACAAGAUAUACAAAAACUUGUACUCAUCAGAGCUUAUUUUAUGAUUUUUAAUGAAUGUUACUCUUUGUGCUGAACGGUUUAAUUUCUAAUAAUUUGAGUUAGAAAUGCCUAAUUAAAAAAUCGAAAAUCGGAUCAAGGAGUUUUCUUUAAACCGAUCGGUAAUGACUCGGACAAGUCGGUAAGGAUACGACUAGCCUUGCGUCCAAACACCGCUCGUCUUUUUAUUCGUGUCAACGGCUCAAAAGGGGAAGAACAUGAACAAAUUUGAGAUUCUGGAAUUGAAUUGAAUUGAAGUGGGAGAAGAGAUAGAGAGAUAAUUCACCAUGGAGGAAGUGACGAGAUCUGUGUUAGCAGAGGAAAUACUGAAGCGUUUAGAUCUCGAGAAUCUCUGUUCCGUCGCCUGUGUUUCCACCACGCUCCGCUCCGCCGUUGUCUCCGGCGUUCUCCCUUCUCUUACCUCUCUCGAUCUCUCUGUAAGUCUCCGAUCCUCUAUAAUUCCGCGUUUUUUCUCUCUUGGAAAUUGAUGAAAUUUAUCGACUUUCGUUCCCUUGUGUUGUUAGGUUUUCUCUCCCGACGAGGAAACUCUGAAUUACAUGCUGCGUGGUUGCAUCGGACUCAGGAGCCUAACUCUGAACUGUCUCCGCCUCAGCGUUGCUGCUGUGCGUGGGGUUCUCGGGCCACACCUCCGGGAACUUCACUUGCUCAGGUGUUCACUUCUUAACUCCACCGUCCUCAAUUCCAUCGGGAGCCUCUGCCCAAAUCUCCGGUACAAUUUCCGUUUUCCCCAUGAUAGUGCGAUAGGUGACUCAAUGAAUUCUCGUGCUUGUGGGCUAUAUUUAUUUCUGCGAUUUAGUAGUUUGAUAGACUGAAAAAAAAUGGAAAAUUUGAUCCCUUUUUCUUUGACUUAGGGACUAUCGAUCAAUUCCAUAUAUAGAGAGAGCUAUGAUCCGGUAGAUGAUAGGACGUCUUUUUAGUUUCUGGUUCUCAUAUUAGACUUUCACUAAAAGAAUCGAAACCCACCUGCUGAUAAUUUGUCUUUCCUUGAAGGCAAGCGUUUACGUGUUUGAGAUUAGCUAUGGCUUUUUGUCAAUCAUACAGAAUUGAGUUUCUUUCUAUAGAGCAUUGAAGGUAUGAAAGUCAGCUAAUUUGGUUUUAUAAUUACAGGGUUCUUACGCUGGAAAUGACAGACCUGGAUUCACCCGUUGUUUUUCAAUCAAACCUGACACAAAUGCUUAAUGGGUGCCCGUAUCUGGAGGUAAUUUCUUAAAGCUUGCUGAGGGAUUGGUCCGAAGAAGCGAGAAAGUGUGAAAUUGAAUUGGGUUUUUAUAUUCUUGUGAUGCUUGCAGUCUCUGCAACUAAAUAUCCGAGGUAUCCUAGUAGAUGCCACCCCUUUCCAGUCUGUUAGAUUCUCCUUGCCUGAAACCCUCAAAGUUCUAAGGUUACAGCCAUUGCUCGAGUCCGAGGCAAUUCUUCUCAUGAACAGAUUCAAAGUCUCCGGAAGUUGUUUAUCUAAGGCUGAUUAUAGUGCCUUGCUUUCUCCUUCACCUUCUUUGACUUUGCAAAGUCUGUCUCUUGUACUGGACUUGAUUUCUGACAGGCUAAUCAUAGCUAUCACAGGUUCUCUUCCUCAACUUGUCAAACUGGACCUUGAAGACCGUCCUGAAAAAGAGCCAUUUCCUGACAGUGACUUGACUUACACUGGGCUUCAGUCUCUGGGUUAUUGUCAGCAACUCACAAGCCUCUCUCUAGUUCGAAGUUGUUACAACCGCAAGAUAUCAUUCAAGAGAAUUAAUGACAUGGGUAUAUUUCUCCUUUCCGAGGCUUGCAAAGGUUUAGAGUCAGUGAGACUUGGCGGGUUCCCAAAAGUCAGCGAUGCUGGUUUCGCAUCGCUCCUUCACUCGUGCCGGAACCUGAAAAGGUUUGAAGUUCGAGGCGCCUUCCUGUUGUCUGAUUUGGCAUUCCAUGAUGUCACAGGAUCUUCUUGUUCUCUCCAAGAGGUCAGGCUCUCCACGUGCCCUCUCAUAACCAGCGAAGCCGUGAAGAAACUGGGGUUGUGUAGCAAUCUUGAGCUGCUCGACUUAGGAAGCUGCAAAAGUAUAUCAGAUUCUUGCCUAAAUACUGUUUCAGCCCUCAGAAAGUUAACUUCUCUGAAUCUCGCAGGAGCUGAUAUAACAGACAGUGGCAUGCUUGCACUUGGUAAGUCGGAUGUUCCCAUCACGCAACUCUCCCUCCGCGGCUGUAAGAGAGUCAGUGACAGAGGAAUUUCCUAUCUGUUGAACAGUGAAGGAACAAUCAGCAGAACAUUGUCAACACUUGAUCUCGGUCACAUGCCAGGAAUCUCAGACAGAGCUGUACACACAAUCACGCGCUAUUGCAAGGCUUUAACAGAGCUAAGUCUUAGGAGUUGCUUUCACGUGACAGAUUCUUCGAUAGAGUGGCUUGCUACAAGGGAAAGACAAGCAGAGGGAGGAAGCAAACAGUUGAGGAAGCUCAACGUCCAUAACUGUGUGAGGUUGACGACUGGAGCACUGAGAUGGCUGAGCAAGCCGUCAUUUGCAGGUCUCCAUUGGUUCGGAUUGGGACAGACACGGUUCGCUGGUCGUAAGGAGACAGCUAGGUUCCGCGAGCAGAGACCCUGGCUCACGUUGUGUUUUGAUGGGUGUGAGCUUGGAUGCUAUGAUGGUUGGGAAUUCCACACGCCUCAACGCCAUUGAGGAAGCUCGUCGUCUAACUAGUUUAUGUAUUGUAUAAAUUCUAAAAAUCGUUCAGAAAAAUGAUUCAAUGUACAAGAAUGUGUAAUUUAUUUGAAACUUUUUAUUUUCUUUAAAUUAUAUUGUAACUAAAUUUAAGUGUCGUGGGUUAUAGUUGAAAUUAAUUCCAAAAAUGCACAAAAAAAGUGACAAAACGAUUGCAUAAAACUAAAAAAAAACAAUUGGAAAGGCAAAAGGAUUCAAGUGCCUAUAUGUUAGCCUUAGCAGAUGGCAACAUAUACUUAAAAUCUGGAGCCAAGCCAACUACUAAAGAUUUGACUUAUAUGAUUGAUUAAGUAGUUAUAGGCUAAUUAAGAAAAACAAGCUAGAUACCCAUAUUUCUGAAUUAAUUAAUUGAAGAGGCAUUCACAUAUCUACAGACUACACAUUAACGACAAAUGUAACCUGAAUCAACAUCACGUGUCGGUCUCACAAACCGAACACCCGAAAACCAGAGUGUUGUCUUCCCCUUUACAAUUCGUUUUUUGGAUUCUUUUUUAGUUCAUUACAAUAUUCUCAUCUGUAUAUAUUUCUAGUUAGUCAUAUUUUCUAUUAAUAUAUAUAGAUUUACAUAGAAUCCAAAAAUACAUCAAAAAUCUUUAUAUAUGUAAUUUAGUCAUAGUUUACAUCAGAUAUUUAUUUCAACAUAAGUAAUAUGAAGAACUAACUAACCAGCUGAAAUACUUGGUAAGGAAAAUUAUUUGACCAGCCAAUAGAUUAUAAAACUUUGGAAAAUGUAUAUGAAAAAAGAAAAAGUAAAAAAGUCAAGACAAAAAUAGAUUGAGAUUGAUGGAUGGAAGUAAAAAGAGAGUGGGUGUGUGUACAAGAGCAUGAGGGAUUGCUUCUGUCAGUAAGCAUAUGAAAUAUAUAGAUUUCAACUCAAACCCUAAAUCCUUUUUCUCUUCUUUCUUUUUCCUUUUCAUCACUACAAUUUUUUUUUUCAUAUUCAUAUAUAUAUAUAUAUAUAUAUAUAUAUAUAACUUAAUUUGGUGGGUGAGGUUUAGGUUUCUAUCCACACGCAAAAAUCGCCUUUCAGCUCAUGACGACGUACGUCAUCUUCUUCCCGUCUUUGUUACAUAUUAAUUUCACCGUCUUGUCAUAAGUAAUUAUUUGAUGUUUGAUCUCUGAGAAAAAAGAAGUGUAGGGCUACAAAUGUUUUCGUUAAAAAAAGUAUAGGGCUAUGCAUAUAUUAUCCAUUUCCGAUCAUAUUAUGUGUAUACUUAUAACAUAUUAUAGGGCUAUGAUCACUAAUGUUUUCUCCUAUGUUAGCAUAUAGUUGGCUUUAUGAUGAAAUAGUCAGUGUAUUUUUCUCAAUGAAAUAGUAAUUUGUAACGUAGAUAUAUUACCUUGGAAUACUAAUCAAUGUAUUUGCUACAUUUAUAUAUUAAAUCACUUAUAUACAGGAAAUGCCGGUAAAAAUAAAAUAAUCAAUCAAGUUCGCAAUUGUUAAUAUAUGUUUAUGUAUGCAUAUAAAUGUAUCAUAGUGCAUGGACUCGUGUUCCUGUAUAUGGUUUGAUCAGAAAGAUCCGAUCUAAAUUUGAUCAUUACAUUUAGAAUUCAGACCCAACUAGACGCGUGUGCGUGUAGGUGUAUAGAUAUGUGUGCAAUGUUUUAGUCUUAUUUUUAAAUAAGAUAGUAAAUGUGUUAGGGCAAAGAGUGAACAAAAGGGUAUGAAAAAAAGGGAAGAGAAGGGAGGCAACGAGACACGCGAGACGAGAGAGAUACCUAUGAACCACGACUUGUGUGUUUGUGUUUCAUUAAUUAAAAUUAUAGCAUGAUUAACUAUGAAAUCAAAACAGCCUUUCAUUUCAAUUUAAAUCUACCGUAUAACAUAACUAUAAAAAAACACACCCAUUUGUUUUAUUUUUGACAACUUUGAUGCUUUUGUUUCACCCGACAAAUCGGCACCUUUUAGGGUUUUCAUUACCUGUUUCUUCCCCAAAGACAAAUCCCUUUUUUCACCCCAUUAUUUUACUAUCUCUGGAUAUAAUAUUAAUUACUUUGAAUGGAGUAUAAAUAAUCGAUAAGUACCUUUCUCGGAAAUAACGAAAACGCAUCAUUUUAAAACUCGACAAAGAAAAAAGAAUUUUCGGGAAACAAGAGGAACCCAGUGGUUGUUUGAUUAUUCCUCUAAGAUCUCUUCUGUCGACAUUAACCCUAAUAAUUAAUUAAACAAAGGGUUUCUCUUUUGGCAUCCAAAUGGUGGUUUCUUAGUAGUCUAAGUAAGAAUUAUGGUACUCAUGGUAGAUAUUAAUUAGUUUUAUUACUUCAAUUUUUUUUAACCUUGACUUCUUCAAUUUGUUGGAUAGGUGGCUUUCGUCGACGUAAAAAGAGAAUUGGCUUCAGUCUUUCACAGGAAUAUACAGCUAAAUAUUAUAUAUACUAUAAUUUGUUUGUUAAGUAUCAGAAAAGACUAGCUUCUUCCAUUUGAAAAUAACUGAUGUUUAAUAUUUUUGCAUACAGAUUAAAAAAAAGCUUAUUAUUAGUUUUCCCUAUAUAAAAAGCAUCUUUUAUUAUCCACCUAGAUACAAUUUAACCACUGAUAAAACAAACUGUAUGAUAUAAAUGAUCAUAAAACAUAGAAAAUAAAUUGCAAUGAAAUUUAAAAACAUCAUAUAAUCUGAGAUAAUUUUUAUCUAUAAAACAUCGAAUAUUUUGAAACGAAAUAAAUAUAUAUAUAUAUAUAUAUAUAAGAUGUAAUAUGGGUUUUCAACUUAUUAAGAAGCUGCUAAUUCCGAAAAGGAAACAUAAAAAUGUUCUUAAUAGUUUUGUAAAUAUGUGAAAAUGAAAAUUAAAACGAUAUGUAUUGUGAAACCUCUGUUAGCGCACUAGUAUAUAAAAUCCCACACACAAAAGUUUGGGGACUAGAAAGAGAUCUUCUAAAUGAUUUCAAAUUGAGUGCUCCUCCCUUAACACAAACUAAAUAAAAACUCCUAUAUUGCUAAAUUGUCAUUUAUAAAGUUUAGCCAUGAACGAAUAAUUAACGUCUUAGAGUUAUCUACACUUCGAUACGGCUCAGUAUUUUUUCAGAGUGUAAUUGUUGGACCCUGAAAUUAGAUAUUCUUUGAAUGGACAUAUUUGACUCUUGAUUGAGGAGUUGUUUUAUGAAGAUCUUGGUGUUAAACCCAUAAAGUCAACUCGGAGCUGAUCAGCUGCUUCAAAUUCGGUUUAGAGUUAGUUUUGGAACGCAUGAUGGAUUAAUGAUGUUUUUUUUUCUUGUAUCAUUUGAUAGUUCGGAUUGACUAAUGAAGGGCUUGUAGGCUUAGAAAAAAAAACUAAACAAAAAACUAAAGUAUAGAAUUGUGAUACAAGAGGGCGGUACUCUCAUUCUCAUAUAUAUAUUAUCAUCACGACUACAUAUAAACAUAAUACUAAAAUAAAUAGAAAACAAAUUAAAAAGCAUGAGAAAGUGGAAUCUCUUAAAAGAUCGAAGAGACAGAUUAACUACUCUCUCGUGCUGAUUAUAUUAUUAAACUGGUUGAGUCCAAAUAAGGCCAUUUCCACGAAUUUAAAGGUCUCUUUAAAUUUAUAACUAUGACGUGACUAAUUUAAAUCAGACGAUUUCAACCAAUUAGUUAUUUAAAACUCUCACCUACUAUUAAAAUUUACCAUAAUCAUAUAUAAAUAUAAUAUAGAAAUUUAAAAUACAUUUGAAUCAUCAGUGGAUACAUAUAAUAAAUCUUAAAAAUGCAUCCAAUAUACUAGUGGAUCGACUAAUUAAUCAAAUUAAAUUAAAAGAAAAUAGAUAAAAUGGGAAUAUAUAUGUCAAAACGAUACACCUAAGAUUUGAGUUUGAAGAAAAAAAAAUCUUAGUAGGUUAAACACAAAAGAUUAGGUUGUCUCUUUGUCUGAGCUUCCCAAGAAAGUAAAAGUCACACGUCCCAAGAUUCCUUCGCCGGAGCCACCGUCCUCCGUCGUCAUCUACAAAAUGAUCUUUCUUGCCCUAACAGCAAAAAUGAUCGAUAUUCUUUUUCUCUAUUAAACCUAACUCUUAGGUUUUCUUCUUCCGAUCAUUUCCACGAUGAAACAAAGAAGAGAGGACGAUUUUGCCAUCCAAGAAACAAAGAAUUGUUAAGAAACUGAAGAUUAUAACCUUCUGAAGGAUAAUGGAGUCUAAGAAGAAGCUUAGCUUGAGAGAAAGCAAAGCUUCCUAUGGGAACGUUAACGAAGCCAAAUCUCUUCAUAAUCUCUUCCCAGAUCUCAAACCUCCGAUGUCUUUGCUUUCUCUCCUCCGCUUUCGCCGCCACAACAUCCAAAAUCUCUUUUCCGAACCACCGUUGCUCUAGGGUUAGCCUCUCUCGGCUAUUCGGCGGCAAAGUGGCUUCCAGCGAAUCAAAGAUCGCCACGUAAUGAUCCACAGCUUCUGCGAAUCUGUUCAAGAACGAAUGAUCUCCGUGGUUGGCUUCUCUCUCUGCCAUUGUCACGAUUCUAGGGUUUAAGCUCUUGAUCGCCGACAAAAAGUGACCGAUCAUAUCUCCGUCGUCGUUAGAGAAUCUGUGGAGGAAGUGAACGCAGUUUACUGCGAUGGUCUCUCCUUGUACGGCGGAGAGAGCUAACAAUCGGAUCUGUAGCAAAAGUCCGGCGAGAUCUUCUUCAACGAUCACAAGCGUGUGAAACUGAAACUGAAGACCUAGAGAGUUAGCAAACCGAGUUAAACGGUCUCCGGUUCGGUUUAACCCGGUAACGUCUCGACCACAACCGGUUAUGCGGAGAGAUGGAGGUGGACUGUUAGGGUUUGAUGAUCUCUCAGCUAGGGCUUGCAUCAGUGGAGGCCAUUGAAGCCCUUGUGAGAUAUCUAAAUCAAGUAUAUGUAAAGCUCCGUCACCGUUUGUCUCCGUCGCGUCGAGGAUCGCUUGGUUCGCCGUCAAAUGACCGAACCGAAUAAAAGGCGUUAGUUGGUUCAGCCAAAGAUAGUAACAAGACUCGAAUUCGGAGUUGUUGUUGUUCUUGGUUCGAAACAAGAACUGUUCUUUGCAUACACUACUUGUAAACACCGUGGAGCUAGUCAUUUCGUUCGUUGUCCACGUGGCAACGUUUUCAGCCGUUGGAUCUUGUUGUUGACGGUUGAUCCGUAUGGACAAGGCUUUUGAGAAGAGGUGGACGAGCCGCUCGGUGGAAUCGCCGUAAGGAGAAGAGUUUGCGGAGAGGAUCGAGAGCAAGUUCUGAGCGGCGGAGAAGUUUGACUGAGAGACGAAAUCCGCGGCGGUGAAAAGGAGACGACGGAGGUGAUGUGAGGCGGAGGAGGAGGCGGAGGAGGAGGCGAGGCAUAACGGAGGAGGAGGAUUCUCGGUGGUGGUGGUGGCAUCUUCGGAGGAGGAGCUAGAGGAUUUGAAGGAAGCAAGCAUUUGAAAAGAUUGAAAGAUGCUUUUGGUUCAUAUGAUAGAUUCGUUUUCUCUCUCGAUCAAAUGAGUCCUUUUCAAUGGGUAAUAAUAAAUAUUAUUUUUCUUUACCUGAAGGUAUAUUGCUUGCAUUAUUAUAAAUAAAUUCCACAUUAGCUAUAGCAUGUGUGUACACGCAUAUAUAUAUAUAUAUAUAUAUAUAUCUAUACACAUAACACAAAUCUAUGGAUAGAGUUGAAGAUGGACCGACCAAACCAUUCAAGGGUCCAUGAGAAUCCUCAAGCCGGUUUUAUGAUUAAUUAAAAAUUUACUUUGUUUAUAUAUCUCACGUAGCUUGAAACAAUAGUUGAGUAAAAAACUAUACAAAGUACAAUCAUUAAAUUCUUGUGUUUGAAGUUUAGUUUGAAACAUAUAUAUACAUUUAACAUUUUCUCAUCUUGUGUUUCAAUUUUACACACUAAAUUCUAAGACCAAAUUUGUUUCAGUUCGGUUUAUUAGAAUUUAGCACACUCUUGAAUCCUUUUCUAUCUUUGCAGCCAAGGAAUCUUUCAUUUAUUUAUCGACGUGCACUAAAUAUAAUAAAGCAAUUGCUGUAUUAGUAUAUUUCCCCACAACAAUAGAUACUAAUUAAAUAAAAACACAAAUAAAAAAUAUAAACUAAAACAGUUCAACAUCAGUCGUAUACAUAAUAUUUUCUGCAUUCACACGCCUUCGUCGACAGGAUAAUAUAUACUUAUGUGAGUAUAUUUGUGCGGUGGAUGGAUCGUGAAGGUGGCCCACUGUGUUAAUUGAUUAUAUGGCGUUUGCAGGAAUUAUGCUUAUAGGUUCCAAUAUUAGAUGCGUAAAAUAGGAAUUCUCGCUGAGAUUCUGAUGCCGAGGAUGCCAAUUUACGAGAUCUAGCUAAAAGAAAUAAUUUUGUUUACAAAUAAAAUAAAACAAUCAUAUAAGAUGAAGGAAUCUGAUAAUCUUGGGAUGUACAAAAAGAAAGAAAUAGCUUUGCUUGCAAAAUCGAAAAGGUAACCCCAAAUUGCUAAUUAUUACACUUUCUCAUUUAUUGGAUUUACCAAAAUGGAAAUGCUGCGACCCUUCAAGUGAAAAGGAUUCUCUCUCUCAGACUCUCACUACAUUAUGUAUGUAUAUAAUUAGAGCAUCUAUAAUUGGAUUGGCGACUUUAUUGCUCAUGUCAUCAUAUCAUCUUGUACUAUAUAUACGAAGCAUCUUAUCGAAUGAUAAAUGCAUUUACAUACACUUUUUAAUAUAAAAUCUUACAUACAUAGUUCCACCAAGGAGAAAGAUGCUUUCAAAGUUCAUGACUUAAAUCGUUUGGUGUAUGCAUCACAGUGGCUCGUAAGUAUUCCUGAAUUAUUCAUUCUUCUUGCUAUAAACGAUAUUUUCUUAUCCUCGAACCGGUAAUUCAUUCACGUAAUUAUAUUUUUGUGUAUGUGGUGGAUUUUCAGAGAAAAUUAUUAUAUAUGGGAAAUCAUAGUAUUUCAAAUUGGAUCCUAGUCAAAUCAACUUAAUACAAAAACUAAAAUAUAAGUAAGUGAUAUAAAUAAAUAGUGUCUGCAUUAAAUGAAUAAUAAUUAGGAGCUGGUAGAAAGAGUAGUAGUCGUCAAUGAGGACAAAGGAGAUGGAUGUGCUUUUUAGUCUGGAAAACACAUAGCGAUCCCAUAGGUUUUUUUUUUUUUUGGCACUAAACUUUCUUUUGACAAGUCUUUUCAGAUGAUAUUUCUAAUUUGACUAAACAUUACCAUCAAUCAUCCACGUAAAUCGAUUUCUUAAACCUCAAUACAAAAAAGGUAACUGUUUAACAUGAAUCCAACUAUUAUUAAUAUCCAUAGAUGCUUUACAUUUUAUGUUCUUUUGGGUUAAAUAUUUUAAUCAAAAUGUAGAUUAAUUUUUUAUAUUUUCAGUUGUUAAUUAAAAAUGUAGUUACAAAAAAUACAUUUUAUGAUCUAAUGUUGUGUUUGGAUGAAUGUGAUAGUAAAAAAACUCAGAUAACGCCGUUAACACACUAUAAAUUGAAUAAGGAGUUAGAAGUAAAAAAAGACAUAAAAAAACAUAGCGUGUUGUGAAUCAGUUAUCAAGAAAGAAAGGAAAUUGGUGUGUCUUAUUCCGGAGAUAAUGAAGAGUAUAUAUAGUGUUACAAAGACUUAGCUAUCACCACAAGUUUCCGAUGUGGGACAAAUACAAUAUUAGUAAUGGGUCUUAUAAUGGGCAUCCAUAUAUUAAUAUUCAUAAUACUCCCCCUGAUGACCAUUAUAACGAUAUUGUAGUAAAGCGCGUAAGAUGUUGCCUCAUUAAAAACCUUACUAGAAAAAUCCUGUGGGAAAAACCAUAGUUAAGGGAAAAAGAGUGCAGCACGCAUUUACUCCCCCUCAUGUGUACCUCCGUCUAGGUCCUUGAGACGUUGUAAUCCAAUAAGCUGAACCAAAUUCUUGAAAGUAGCAGUUGGAAGCGCCUUGGUAAAUAAAUCCACCAAAUUAUCGCUUGAACGGAUCUGUAGAACACGAAUAUCCUCAUUCUUCUGCAAGUCAUGUAUAAAGAAAGAAUUUCGGUAGAAUAUGCUUUGUUCUAUCUUCUUUGAUGUAUCCUUCCUUAAAUUGAGCGAUGCAAGCAGCAUUGUCUUCAUACAUAAUUGUUGGAGCUUCUUUUCCUUUUGAUAAACCACAAUCUUCUCGAAUAUGUUGAAUGACAGACCUUAACCAUACACACUCUCGACCGGCUUCAUAAAUAGCUAAAAUCUCAGCAUGGUUAGAAGAAGUAGCUAUAAUGGUUUGCUUCAUAGAACACCAAGCAAUAGUUGUACCACCAUAUCUGAAUACAUAUCCUCUCUGUGAUCUGGCAUUAUGUGGAUCAGAUAAAUAUCCAGCAUCUGCAAAACCAAUCAAAUCUUCUUUGGAUGGAUUAAAAAAUAAUAAAUCCAUAUAAUUUGUUCCUUUGAGUUAACAAAAUAUAUGUUUAAUCUCAUUUCAAUGUCUUCGAGUUGAACAUGAGCUAAACCUUGUAAAUAAAUUUACUGCAAAAGAUAUGUCAGGUUUUGUAUGAUUAGCAAGGUACAUCAAUGCCUUUAUUAUAUUUAAAUAUGGUACUUCAGGACCAAGUACUUUUUCAUCGUCUUCUCGAGGAAGAGAGGGGUCUUUUAACACAUCAAUUGAUAUUACGACCAUAGGGCUACUUAAGGGAUGUGCAUCAUCCAUAUUAAUUCUUUUAAGCACCUUUUCUGUAUAUGUCGUUAAAUGCACUAGGGUUCCAUCCUUUAGAUGCUCAAUUUGCAAUCUCAAGCAAAAUUUUAUUUUCCCGAGAUCUUUCAUCUCAAAUUAUUUAUUCAGAUAUUCCACUAUCUGAGAAAUCUCUACAUGAGUUCCAAUGAUGUUUAAAUCAUCAACAUACAUUGCAAUUAUCGAGUGUCCUGGAUGAUCCAUCUUAAUAUUUCUCUUUGCUUUUGAUGAUCUUAAUAAUCUCUUUAGUCGUGAUACACUUUCAUAUUUACAUUCCUUUUAGGUUACUAUCAUUUGCGUGUUCUUGUUGCCUCGCUAAAACCUUUUCAUGGAAAAACCCAGUGAGAUAAAAACAUGAGAAAGAAAAAGAGUACAACCACGCAGAUCAUCAUAUUUCUCCCUCUGUAAGCAUCUUCUUCAAGAGAUGCAUUCUAAUCAUAUAUCAUCUUUUAGGGAAUUGAUAUAAGCACAACCUUAGUUAAUACACUCAUAUGCUUAUCAAACUUUCUCAGGUUAGUGGAUUUCUAGUCCAUAACAUCCUUUCUCAUAGAAGAUAUUUUCUUCUUCCAUUUGGACUUUAUGCCAAAUUUUUUUUUACAUACAAUCUUCUACAUAUUCAUAUUGUACAUAUUUGUACAUACGACUUAUUCAUGCUCUUCUUGUAACAUCUAUCAUGUUGGAUUUCUUUCUUGCCAUACCAAAGCACAUCUUUCAAUCAUGAAAGAGAUCAACAACUUUCUCAAAUAUCAUUUUAAGUGUGGUACUCCAAGACCAACUAUGUAUGAGCAUUUUGUAUAUAAAAUAAUAUGAGGAUCUUUGAGACAAUAUCUCUUUCUUUAGUUUACAAUUUGGAGAACCUCAAGACAAACUUGUCAUUCCAAAGUUUAUUCUUCCAAAUUUCGACUUCCGGUAACUCUUCAGGAGUUUUUAUUAUAUCCAAACCAAAGAUUCCAUUGAUCCAUAAUCUUUUGAUACAUACACAUGAGUAUAUUGAUUAUCAUAUAAUAUCCGCAUGAAGCAUAUUUGCUUUAACUCAAUAAUCUAAUAGCCAAUGUUCUUGAGAACCUCAUUUUGAAAUCAUUAAUCCUUCUAAUUGCUUCUGGCAAUUUGAUUUCCUUUUAGGACUAAAUCAAGUACUUUUCUCAUUCUUAGACUGAUAAAGGAUCUGUAAAAUAGUUGCAUCCACCACAAGAAAGUAUAUCUUUUCAUGUAUCACUUUCAUUCAUCUUUCGUAUAAAGAUCCACUUAUGUCUCAUAAUUUUUACACUUUCAAGUAGACGGACUACUGGUCCAAAUUCUUCUUUACAAGAUAUUUAAUCUUUGCCUUUACGGCCUCUAUCAUGAUUGGCCAAUCAUCGGUUUACGUGUUUUUCAAUACAUCUUUUGUACCGCGGUUUUUGAUCCUCAUUUCUCAUCAUCAAUUGCUUCAUUACAUGCAAAAAUAUUAUCAACGUUGAUUUGCUUUUGAUUCCAUUCAUUCCAGACAUGACUCAGUUAGUUGAAAUCUCUUAUCAUUAAUAGGUACCUAGAUUUCUUUCUUUCUCAUGUCUAUAUCUCAUCUAGAGAAUACUUCCUCAACCUUGCCAUUUUAUAUUAUGCUCUUUUUUCUUUCGAGGAUCUUAUCUUUGGAAUCAGUAGGUCUAUCACGCUUCAUGCGAUCUUUAGCCUCUAUAGCAGUUGAUAUUGUCCCCCCGGGACAUCAAUAUUAAUUGGAGCACAGCUGGUAUAACUUAAUCAGGGCCAGAUACUGCUUCUAGCAUCAAAUUUGCUUAACUUUGCAAAUAAAUUAUCUUUCAAACUUUUAGUGCACAUUCUUUCAGAGGAUCAAGAUAAUUUCUUUUACUGAUUUUCUAGCUGUUUAUUUUCUCUCCCUUCCUUAAUUGUUGGAAAGACUGACUCACUGAAAUUACAGUCUGUAAUUCUAAUCUUAUCCCUUAUUUGAUGGCUUAAUACAUUUACUCAUCAAGGGAGAUCCAUAUCCAACAUAUAUUCCUCUUUUGAGGUCCCAUCAUAGAUCAAUGUGGUGGAGCAAAAUUAUCCAAAACUUUUAGAUGGGAAACAUCAGGUUCCUGACCAAAACCAACCAUGGGGAGAACUCAAAAUAUUCGUUGGCAUAAUGCGAAUCAAUGUGGUUUCACUCUUAAUCAAUUAACCAAAUACUUUCACAAAGAUACAUAGUGGGUGAUCAGUCCAAAAUAUCUCUUUGUGUAUGUACCAGAAAAUUAACAUAUCCAAAUUUAUUGGAGAGUGAAAACCAAACACAUAAGAAUCUUCUGGAUCUUUUGCGCAUUGUUAUUUAACUGGAAUGGCUUAACCAGUUAUGCCAAAACAGUGAGAUUUUCUGUGAACUUCUUGUUUACUAGAUCCAUUUAUAUCUCAUAUACUAGUGUAGUACAAUUCAAUAGAGAAUACAAGUAGUUUCUCUAAAUUACUUUUACUGUCUUGGAUAAUACUCAUGAUGUGAAGAUGUUAAUCAUUUCCUUCACUCAUUGUCUCAACUUGAUAAAUCUUAAAAUCUUUUAGAUUUUCUGUACACAUGAUUUAUCGAACAUGAGUGUGAACAUGAUCUUCUGGAUGUUCCACUUACUAAGAAUUGUGGGAUUCUACAAUUCUCCCUCUCGAGAUGAUGAUGACACUUCAGUUCCAUUCAUCUCGAAUCGAAUCCCACUCUAGGAUCAACAACAUACCCAACUUGGGUUUUAUAUUAUAUCUUAGAUCCUUUUGACCUUUGAGACUUAAGAAAGUAUAAUCCAUUAAUGAUUCCAAAUCCUUUCAUAGGCAAUCAUAUCUGCUCUUCUGGAGCUUCUAAUAUUUUAUACAAUCUCAUCUUGUACUCACACUAGUUUAUUUUAUCAUCAUAUGAUAUACAUAUCUCUUGUAUGUUACCAUCUUUAUUCUCUCAGUUCUAGUGAAUAUCAGAAUUCUUAAAAGAAACUCUUUGGCCUCAACCUUGACCUUGACCAUAUCCAUAUCCAUAUCCACAUUUAUGUCUGCAACCACUUUCAUAGCCAUAUUUGGCCUAUAUCAAUCAUGUGGUAUUUUCUUUCUCAAUAUAGGGUGUCACAUUCACUUCAGGGAAUGGACUAUCUCAAAUCAGAAGUAUAUCCUGAUUUUUCUCUUUUUAACUCAUUAUGUUGCUCAGCCUCUUUUAGACCCAUAUACAAGUUUAUAACACUUCUCAAAGUGUAUUGUGUCUACAAGACAACAUCUCAUUCUCUAAAUGGUAGAGUAUGUCUUUUAACAUCUUUGGAUCAACGAUAUUAUCUUCACAUAAUAUCUGAACAUAACCGAGCCAAACUCACUGCAGACUUUAAAUCACAUUAUUUUAGAUUCAACCAAUCAUAAUGAGUGUAAUAUCACAUUUUGGUGAUUCAAAAUUUUGUGGAUCUUUUUGGUCAAGUACUCGAUCUUAAGAUCAACAAAGAGGCAUUAUCACAUAAAUAUAAUCACGAAAAUUUGUUCAAAUUUCAAAAAAUAUGAUAAUCAACCCAGAUGCAAUUAUCUUAUGAACGUUAAAUGUUCUAUCACUUAAAGCAUGCAUCGAUUUGAACAAAUAUCACAAAGCAAAUGAUUUUGACUAACACAAUUUAAUUGUACUCAAUCAAUUAUGAUAUCCAACCAGCACAAAACUUAUGUAAUAAAAUAUUUUGAUUGUCGUAUUCUAUCACCAUAAUUAAUAACAAUAGUACGAUUACUAAUAAGGAUUUAAUCUAAUUUAAUAUUACUCACAUAAAUGAUUAAUUAUGGACUUAUAUGAAGAUUAAUAAUAAUUUAACAUAGUUUAUAUAAAGCAAUUAUAUUAUAAACUCUGGCAACAUCUCUAUGUGCUAAGUUAUAUUAAUUGAAAAAUCAUAAAUCAGGAUAUAAUCACAUAUAAUAUUUCAAUCAUUCAUUAAUUCAUUAAUAUUUUACCUUUAACCUAGUUUUUAAAUCAAUCAAUCAAUUCAUCAAACAAUUUCAUAUAAUAUGAAUGUGUAAAUUUCGUGAUAAAGCAUGAUAUAAUUUGUUUCGUUUUAGAAAACCUUAUCAAAUAAAACAGAAAAAAUUCAGCCGUGCACAGAUAGGACAUAUAUUUAUAUUAUGCUGUUAUAAUCUCACCGUGCAUAAAUAGAGCAUAUAUUAUGCUCAUAUAACCUCGCCGCCGUGCAUAGAUAGGGCAUAUCUUGUGCUCUUAUAAUCUCGCCGUGCAUAAAUCGUGUAUAAAACGAUUUAUGAUAAAAUCCAGGUGUGCACAGAUUGGGCAUAUAUGAUGUUCUUGUGCAAAAACGGAUCAUAAAUAGUGUAGAUUAUAAAAUCGUGCAGAUUUAGGGUAAACCCUAAGCAUGGAGGAGGCAUAGUCUUCAUUCUUCGGGGAAAGAAAAACUUCUCGUCCCAAAAUAAAAUUUUGAACUAACUUUCACUUUUUCGGUUUGAGAGAAAAAAAAAAUUUAAACUAACUCUCACCUUUUCGGUGUGAGAAUAGAUCGAGAGACGAUCGCGCUAAUAACGUGUUGUGAAUCAGUUAUCAAGAGAAAAAAGAAAUUGGUGUGUCUUAUUCCGGAGAUAAUGAGGAGUAUAUAUAGUGUUACAAAGACUUAGGUAUCACCACAAAUUUCCAAUGUGAGACAAAUACAAUAUUAGUAAUGGGCCUUAUAGUGGACAUCCAUAUAUUAAUAUUCAUAAUAUAGCGCUAUUAUAUGAGCAUUAAAUUUUUUUAUUGAUUUAUUGUGCUAUAAUAGUUAAAAACUAGCGUUAUUGGCUUUUAUGUUUGGAUUAAUCAUUUUAGUUGAACUAUUUUUUCGUGGUUUUUUCUAUCUUCGGUUUUUUUUUUCGUUUAAAGUUGUAAAUCCCCUGAUCAGCGUUCUUUUGAGUUAUGUAGUUUCGCUAUUGUACUCUUCCAACUUUUCUAUGUUUCGAGAAUUUUACUUUUGACUUUAGUAUCUUAUUAUAUGUAUCCCAUGUAUCGGAUUUAGUUUUUGGAGAAUUCCUGUUUUCCGCUGGUUUUGUGUAUCAAAAUUGUGUUCUACUUUUGUAUUCUAUCUUUGAAUUAUAUAAGAAAAAAAAAAUUUCAGUGAAAAAAAAAUAAGUUAGAAAGUAGGACAAACAAAUAAAUAAAUAAAAAAAAAACAAAGAAGAACAAGAAGAAGCACGCAAUGAAAUAAAUGAGGGAAGGGAGAGGCAGGAAGUUUAACCCAAAAGAUUGGACGAAAGGCUGACACUUUUGCCUUUCUCACUUUUUUUAUUUUCUUUCUUUCCUUCAAUUAAUAAAAGUAAAAUUUGUUAUUUUAUUUUGUGUAUCUUUGGCUGCCACGUUGGAUGGGACAUAUUGGAAUGAGGUAUUUCCUUCCUACCCUCCACUGCCAUUCCUAUAAUUAAAAUACGAACAUUCUUUCUGUUCCUAAUUAAUGAUUUUUUGGACUUAAACAAUUAGAUUUGAUGCGUUUAGAAGAUACGUUCCUUUCCCAACAAACCAUCGCUAACAAUUACAUGCGCUAACUUACGUGAAGACCUUGAACACACGUGUAUCAAAUUCACAAUAUUAUCAAGAAAUUAGAAAAAAUGGUAAAAAAGUAGUGAAGCUUUUUGUGUUAGCUUUUCAAUUGCUUGAAGUUGAGAGAUAUAUGUCUCCUUAUGGUUGAAGAUCAAAACGAGCAGAAGAAAGCUUUUUUAACGUUUCACCUCAUCUGUGUCGCACGCGACAAGCACGUGCACGUCAAGAUCCUUGUCAGCUCCACUCUCAAUAACUCACAUAGAUAUCAAUAUAUGUCCCUAAUCUAUUUAGCUAUCUGCAUAUACAAUUUCCCGACAAAAGUUUGAUUUGUUUUUUCUUUCUUUUUAUAGCCUAUCACGCUAUUAUAUUUCUAUCCAUUUAUUUACUACACGAUAAUCUCAUGCAGUUCUCGUGUAUCUGAAUAUGAUUGAAUAACAUCGCAGUGUGAAUGUAUGAUAUUUUGUGUUAUGAUACUCUCUAGGCCUCAUCACAGCCCUAGUCAUUCGGCCCGAUAUCAAUGUGGUGUCAACGUGAUCAUUCAUUUAUUACAAAAAAAAAACAUAUAUAGAUAUAUCCUAUCAUUCUGACAAGUUACAAUCGGAUUACAACUGUAAUUCAUUUUAAGUAUUGUUAUUUUGGAUCCUAAUAGAGUUAAUCAUGCCUGCCUUAUUGCCUUUUAUGUUUUGGUUUUUGGUUAAUUUGUUUUAUGUUUAGUUUGUAGUUGUUUGUUUUUUUUUUUUGGGGGGGGGGGGAGCUAUUCGCUCCAGAAGAAUUUCUAACUUUACCGGUUUUGUGACUAUUGUUCAAAGGUUAAAUUUUCGGGUUAAAUUAUGGUUUAUUCGACGUGGUAACAUCGCUUGAUAUUAUAAUAUACUCUUUCAGAUGUGAAAAAAAAAAUCAUUAGGUAGCAAAAGCUACAUCAUUAUCUCUACUCAUAUCGUUAAUUAGUUCAAGGUUUAGCUAUAUAUGAUUAAAUAAAACAAUAAACAGAAGGACGCCAAAUUAAAGUUAAUAAUGAUUCCCUUAAUUAAUUCAUUUGUUUAGAAGAAGAAGUCUUACCGUUUAAUUAAUUCAUUGUUUAGAUGAAGAAGUCUUACUCAAGGAAUAAAACAUACAUACAUUUCACAAUUCAUGCAUAUGUAUAAAAAAUAUUGUCUUAUGGCAAAUUAAUAAUAACUUGAAUUAAAUAAUCAAAAGAUCCGAAAAUCAUAAUAUAAUCCGUUCGAUUCCAAAUUGGUCUCAACAAAACAAAAACAAACUCUUUUUUCUGUUAAAUAAAAGUCUUAAACAAAAAUUAGGCUCCGGCAUAAGGGUUAAUCUUAGGUUUGUCCUUGACUAGACCACAUUGGAGGCUUGACUCCGGCAUAUUGUAUUCGUCCCGGAGAGAUUUUUCCGGCGACAAAACGCUUGCGUAGAGUUGCUGUCCCAAGUAACGUCUUUCGGAAUUCUCUGACCUAAUGUUCCACAUUCCACAGUUGUCAAAUGUGAGCAAGAUUGCAGCCCAACACUUGGGGUAGACUUGGACUGUGUGUCGGCUCACUGCGUCUAAAAGGUUGUAGUUCUUCCUCUUCUCUGGUGUCCAUGUCCCUGGCUCAACUCUGUUUAAUACAAUGAAAGACGCUUUAAUUAGAAUUUAUAGUUUUUUUUACUCGUAUAGUGCACGAAAAGGGAUGUAGAGUGUUACUUACGCUACAGCGAAGAAGGAAUAGCCAUCCAAGUGCCAAGACUGAACGCUCCUCUCAUGGUUCUCAAACACAAUUUCGAUGAAGUUGCGGUGAGUGAUGUUAAGAACAUUGGGUUCGAUCUUGAUGUUCUUGAUCUGAUCCGAGGUAGGGUUAUCGGAGAUGCUGUCAUACUUGAAAACCUUAUCGACAACGCCAAAGUACUCAGCAAGCUUCAAGGGUGUCUCUGGGUCUGUGUGUGAGACACCACUCAAUGCGUACCUGAGCUUGCCAUCGAUCUUGCCCUGAGUAUUCACGAGCUUGAUGGUGCGAGUGAUAUUAAUCUUUCCGUAGUGGUACGAUCCCUGUGGGUUAGGUCUAGCUGCACUGGCUGUCAAGUUCCAUCUAAAAGAGCGGAACUGGUUCAAAGACCAAGCCCAACCAACAGGAGCCGCAGGUAGCUGAGAAGAGGCGGGGCCUUUUCCUCCCUCGUAGCGGAGGAGCCCUGUGGUGGUCAAAGCGUUUUUCAAGAACCUUGUGGAAGCUACCAUGUAGUAAUCUUUAGGUUCUUGGUUCGCGGUGACGAGAACACCAAAGCAUUGACCGACGUGGACGUCAAGCGAGUCAUAAUCAUUCUGGAGAACGUGUGAGCCUUCCAUCUCAACAAGUUUCAUCUUGUGGUUCUGAAUUCUGAAGUUGAGAGAUGCCUUGAGACCCACGUUACAAAUACGGACUCUGUAGGUUUUUCCUUGCUUCAAGGUGAAAAGAGGCUGGUCGGAGCCGUCACCUUUCCCGGCCUUACCAUUGAUGAGAAUGCCGUCUGGACGGCCAAUAGUACGGCCACUAUCGAGGAACUUUUUGAGCUGAGUGUGGCUUUUCGUAUACCAGUCGUUGAUAAGGAUAGUGUAGUCAUCUUCAGGAUCAGCGUACGGGACGGGGAUUAGGAGACGGCUGUUCACACGGAGACCACCAAAGGCACCCGCGGCACGAUGCAUAGCUGUGGUCGGGUAGUAGAAAUAGCUACCGAUCUGAUCCUUAGGCUGGAAAUGGUAUGUGAAGUUCUUACCCGGUGGAAUGGGACACAUUGUUCCGGCUGUACCAUCUUGCCAUGAGUUCUUCCUAUGCUGAAUUCCAUUCCUAUUUAUAAAUUUGCCAAAAUAAAACCCGAAUCAGAAGGUAUUGGCAGCAUUGACUAUUAAUAAAAUCGAAAUGUAUUAAAUAGAGAAAAAACAGUAUGUAAUAAUAUUUACAUUUUUUGUAUAUUUUGACAACUUUAUGCUAAUUUUUUUUUUUUUUUACCAUCUUCUCCAUCAAAUUUUUCAGUUUCAAAAUUUUCUAUUGAAAUGUUAAAAAGUAUAUAUAUUAUUAGAAAUAAAAAUCUGUGAUCAUUGAUCUACUUUGUUUAUUUUAGCGUUUUAUUAACAUUUUACAGAAACUAUGUUCGAUUGUUCAUCUAACAUUUGACUAUUUUACGAUUUAAUUAUUCAUUUAAUAUACAAUUCAAACUGAUAAAAUAUUGAUUUUUAGAUAACCAAACAAUAAAACCGAAUUAUAUAUAUCCAAAUAUAAUGACCAUUCGUAGCGCCCUAUAUAUGAAGAAAAACGUACCAAGUAAGGAGGAAAGGCUCGUCGAGGUUGUUGAAGACAUUAACGAUGAUGUUGUUGUUAGAAGUUGAGUUGAUGUUAGGACCAGGGAACUGACCGUUGAUGAGAAUGACUUGUUGUGGAACUCCGAGAGGAGAUGCGGUUCCGUACGUCACGUUCCACACGUAGUGAAAGUAAGGAUCCUCCGCUACGACGACGGUCGCCACCGCAAGGCAUAGGCACACGGCCAACAGUUUAACCCCUCCCUUCAUUAAUUACCAAUAUUAAACUUUACUAGAUAAUAAACUUUUUGAUUUUCUUUUUCAAGUGUUAGAAAGAAAAAAAGUGAUAUUUUUUUGGUUUUGUAAUGUUUUUUUUUUUUUGAGGGGUUUGAAUUUAGUUUUUUUUUUCUCCUUCAAAUGUUAGACGACGUUUUUAUAGUUUAAUCGAAUUUACAGUUUCCUUAUUUUUCUCGUUUCUUCAGGUCCUCUCGUCACGCUCUCCCUGUCGUCCAUAUUAGGAAUAUUCAGUUUGACCUCUCGCUAUUUUUGGUGUAACUUUUUUUUUUUCUAGAAUAUUUUUCCCACAGUGUCUUCGCGUAUUUUGCUCAUUUUGAAGAAUAUAUUUGUGAGUCUGUUCAUAUACGUGUGGUCUAGUAAUAACGCAUAUGACUAAACUUUAUUUCCUAGACAAAUCAAUUUGGGUUGGCUAUGAUGAUUUAAUGUCAUUUGGCAAUAAGAUUGUACAAAUAUUCAGUUAUGCUCGAUUGAAAAUAGUUAUACAAACUAAUUAAUGAGCUAGUGAUGACUAGUAAUUGAUUUGACGUGAGAAAUCGAGAACAUAGUGAAACAAGUUGAUGGGGUGAACAAAUAUGGUUUAACAUGGAACAUGCAAAUCGGAUGGAUCAAGCAGUACAUAUUCAAAUUAAGUAAAUCAAUCAAGCUCCAAAUCGUCGAUGGUUCCUUCUUCAUAGCUAGCAUAUCAGUUUUGAUUCAAAUUUUGCUAAAAUUAUUAUUAUUAUUCUUUUUAUAAACUACAAAGUUCUGUUUUCAUAGCUUCAUCUAAUAGUAUUUUCACAUUUAACCCAAAAAAGCAAUAAAAAACAAACAAAACAAAUUUUGAAUAAGAACUUAAUAAAUUUGUUUUGUCAACAAUAAAGAACAGUAAUCGUGCAGUGGGGAUAAAAUAGUUAUCAAACUUUAAUUAGUUGACUAUUUUCUAACAUUUUAUAUGUCUAAAAAUAAUGUUUUCAAAUUUGAUUGUAUUGAUAGUUAAAUAUACAUUAAAUAAUUUUUUAAAAAGCAAAUAUGAGAUUUUCAACUUAAAGAAAAAGGUAUUUGAACCAACCUAUUUUUGAAUGAUGGGUCAGUGAUUGAAGUACAGUUCACAUUACAUGACUACAAAGCACAGUCACUACAAGGAAAUCAAUUAAGCUUUUGAGACGAAAAAAUAGUCUCAUAAAUAAAAUACCCGGUCGCAAAUUCUGAAAACCACAAAUAAUUAUAACUCGGGUUAUUUAUUCAACGCUAAUUCAUUCCUCACAAGUUCAUAAAAAGUUAACUCAAACGAUUAUAUUUGUUUAGUCACGAAUUUUGUCUUGACAACAUUUUUCGGGUAACAAUUCAUUUGACGUGUGAACCAGUUAUUGACAUCGUUAGGGACAUUUCCAAUAUUAGAAUACAAUCCGAGUUGUAAUAAUUCAAAAAGUUCUGGAACCUUAAAAACCAGAAAGAGAAAGAGAGAGAAAACUGUUUGUUGCAUCACCAUUUUCACAUAUAGAAAAUUGAAUUAGAGAUGAAGCGUAAAAUAUGGUGACGAUAACUUGCGAAAGAAGUUAUGUUUACCCUUCAUAAAUACUUCAAAUCACCCAAGUUACAAGAGGAUUCCUCAAAGGAAAGGGUUAAUUAUACGUAACACAGAAAGUAAAAUUAAUCUCUUUUUCUAGAAGAAAAAGAGAAAAAAUAAAAAAUAAUAAUAUGGAGGGGAGGUUAUUGACGGUGUUGGUCUGCCUCGUCUCUACGGUGGCGAUAGUGAACGCCGGCGAUCCUUACUUCUUCUAUACAUGGAAUGUAACCUACGGAACCGCCUCACCUCUCGGUGUUCCUCAAAAGGUGAUUCUCAUCAACGGCCAGUUUCCUGGUCCUAACCUAAACUCAACCUCUAACAACAACAUCGUCAUCAAUGUCUUCAACAACCUAGACGAGCCUUUCCUCUUGACCUGGUACGUAUCCAUAUAUCCCCAUUCUUUAGCUAGUUUCUGAUUAUAUGUUAUUAGGGUUGUUUUCAAGGACCGGAUCAUUUUCAGUUUAGACAGUUUUAGUCCACUCCUCGUUCUAAAGCUUGAGCCACAGUACCCAUUAUUUGAUCUCGAGGGAACAGACCGGUUCAUGAUUUACCUUAGGAAAAAAGAAAAAGAAAUGAGUAUUAAUGAUGGGAUUGUGACUGCAGGAGUGGGAUUCAGCACAGGAAGAACUGCUGGCAAGAUGGUGUGGCUGGGACUUCAUGCCCCAUCCCAGCAGGACAGAACUUUACUUAUCACUUCCAGCCCAAGGACCAGAUCGGUUCCUACUUCUACUACCCGACCACUUCUCUCCACCGGUUUGCUGGUGGUUUUGGUGGUCUCCGUGUAAACAGCCGUCUCCUUAUUCCUGUUCCUUAUGCUGACCCUGAGGAUGAUUACACUGUCCUUCUCGGUGACUGGUACACAAGUGGCCACACCGCUCUCAAGAACUUCCUUGACAGUGGACGCACCCUUGGUUUGCCUAACGGUGUUUUGAUCAAUGGAAAGUCCGGAAAGGUGGGAGGAAACAACGAGCCUUUGUUCACGAUGAAGCCCGGAAAGACCUACAAGUACAGGCUAUGCAAUGUUGGAUUCAAGUCUACUCUUAACUUUAGGAUCCAGAACCACAAGAUGAAGCUUGUGGAGAUGGAAGGCUCUCAUGUUCUUCAGAACGACUAUGACUCACUCGAUGUCCAUGUUGGCCAGUGCUUUUCAGUUCUUGUGACUGCUGACCAGGCAGCUAAGGACUACUACAUGGUUGCAUCAACUAGGUUCCUAAAGAAGGAAUUGAGCACCGUUGGUGUGAUCCGGUACGCAGGAAGCAACGUCCAGGCUUCAGCUGAGCUCCCCAAGGCUCCCGUUGGUUGGGCUUGGUCUUUGAACCAGUUCAGAUCCUUCAGGUGGAACCUCACCGCUAGUGCUGCAAGGCCCAACCCGCAGGGCUCGUACCAUUAUGGAAAGAUCAACAUCACCCGUAGCAUCAAGCUUGUCAGCUCUAAGAACAUGGUGAACGGUAAAGUCAGGUUUGGCUUCAACAGUGUAUCACACGUUGACACCGAGACUCCUUUAAAGCUGGCAGAGUACUUCCAAAUGGCAGAGAAGGUGUUCAAGUACAACGUGAUCAAGGACGAGCCAGCAGCCAAAAUCACAGCAUUGACAGUAGAACCGAAUGUGCUCAACAUCACUUUCCGUACCUUUGUAGAAAUCAUUUUCGAGAACCACGAGAAGAGUAUGCAAUCAUUCCAUCUGGAUGGUUACUCCUUCUUUGCAGUCGCGUAAGGCUCUUUUUUGUGAUCCCUUUUGCUUUGUCUUUCUUUCUUUCUUUUAACUCUCUCUUUCUAACUAACUUUUUGCUGUUCUUGUUUCCUAGUUCUGAGCCAGGGAGGUGGACACCUGAAAAGAGAAAGAACUACAACUUGCUGGAUGCUGUUAGCAGACACACGGUGCAAGUAUACCCCAAGUCUUGGUCAGCUAUUCUACUGACAUUCGACAACGCAGGUAUGUGGAACAUCAGGUCUGAGAACUGGGAGAGGAGAUACCUUGGUCAACAGUUAUAUGCGAGCGUUCUGUCACCUGAGAAAUCGCUAAGGGACGAAUACAACAUCCCCCUCAACACUAACCUCUGUGGCAUCGUCAAGGGCUUGCCAAUGCCUGCAAUCUACACUUAAAAUAAUUAACCACUCACUCCACAAGUGGGGUGCAUACUAAUGAUUUGCUAAUUAACCCUUUCCUAAUUUGAAGUGUGUAAUUUGUAAACUACAGUCUACAGUUCAACUAUACUAUCAUUAACCACAAAUCACAAUUAUAGACCAAGUUUUGUCCUCAGUUGAAACAAGUUUCGUAUUGAGCACCACAACUAGUUUGUACUAUAAAAAAGGAAAGAAUCCCAAGAUGUAAAGUUAGUCCAGAUUCACGACAAAACAAGGCUUGGAUUGAAACAAAAUAGAAUACCAGAUAAUGAGCAGUGACCACCACUUAUUGAUGAACAACCUCAUGGAAAUGCCUAACACCUCUUAUUGAAAUACCUAUAAUUCUAUUGUGGUUUGGUGAAAUCUGAAGAAUGAGAGAGAGCGAGAGAGGAAGAAAGAAUGAGAGAGGGAGAAAAAUGGUUCAGUGGCGUUAGCCAAAAAGCUCUGAUACCAUGAAAUCUGAAUAAUUUCCCUGAAGUUUAUUCACCACCAAUUACAUCAAUAUAUACAGAGGUCAAGAGACUUAAUUAACGGGAUUCUCCUUUGAUUGACAAGCCUAUAAUCUAAUCAUAUCAAUCAAAUUAAUUACAAUAUUUGACUAGUAUCUAUCAUUUGGUUCCGAUUCGGUUCAGGAUAUUUUGCCCAUGCCUAUCUGCGACUUUACAAUUAUUUGAAAUGCCAAUUAUAACUUUGAUUUUUUUUUAGUUGACGUUACUUUCUUUGAACUAUUGAAGUCCACAACGAAAGAAAAGUUGAUUAACAUAACAUAUAAUUUUCUGUUAGAUGUAAAUCAGACCAAACGUUUAUAUUAUUUAGGCUUCUUCAGUUUUGAGCUAAAUAUAAUGUUAUCCAUAUUUCGGAGUAGUAAUUUUUUUUUGUUACGUAAGUUGAUGAAAACGGUCGCUAGAAACAAAAGAGAGAAAAAGGAAAACCCUCUCAUUUCAUUUUAAUUUAAAAUUCAAAAAAGCGGUCUAUACUCUUCUAAUUUCCUCUCCUUGAAAAAACGGCUAUAUUUAUUUUUAACAAUAAUAAAUAACACUCCUAUAAUUUUCUCUGUUUUUUCUCUCCUAAAUAAACGCUCCUCGAUUAGACCUAAUUUUCUCCUCAAUAUUCAGUUUUUCUCAAUUCUACCGAAAAAAAACUUUGUGUUUUUUACGCCAAGGGUAAAGGCGUAUGCUUAAAGAGAGAUUUGGGUGCUUUCAGCCAUGCCCACGUCGUCACUGCCACAUCCACCACUGCAAAGAAAAUUUUUGAGAUAUAUCGGCGAUGACAUGGAAGCCGAUAGAAUUCAAUGAACCUUUAAUUUCUUAUAUGAGAAAAAAAAGUUAUUUGCAGAAGAAUUAAUCAGCAGUGCAAUCAGUUAUUUUUGAAGCUUGCUAUGGCAAUUAGUGAAGAUGAGAAAAGGUUUGUGUUUUGUGUUUCAAGCUUAGAGGGUUUACGUUUUUUCUUUUGAUUUACAUAGAGCCGUACCUAUACUAAUGAAGAUCCUAAGUAGAGGCAGUCAUAAGUUUUAAAAAAUUAAAAACAAAACAAAAUGAUUGUGCAAGAAUUGGUCUGAGAUUUUAAUCAUUUGUCUAAUUUUACUAAACUAUAUAAAACAGUAAGUAUGUGAACAUAUUGGCCUUCGAAAAUAUUAUAAAUUCAAAUACUCAAACAUAUGUGAAAUGAAUUUGUAUCCACAUCAACACACAAAAUAGUGUAAUAUGUGAAUAUUGGUUUAGUUUAUCCAAUUUUAGUUUAGGCAUGUGAGAAGAAUAUUCAUCUAUAAAUGAACUUAAUAAGUCUUUGUAGUAAAUCAAUUUCGAUGUUCAUUGGAUGAAAAACUUAAUAACUCUUCAAAGUUUCACAAAUGUAUUUUAUGAACUAUUUUUUUUAGUUUCGUCCUAUGCUUAACAAAAUUUAUUGAAUAUUAAUUAUUAGCAAAAUAACAAAUACUAUAAACCGGCCAAAAAUUCACUUUGAUUAAAUAUACUUUUUGAUUAUAUUAAAUUAGUCCAAAACUAGCUUAACUUUAAAUUUUUGAUAUGAACUAGUCAAUAUAAAGGUGAUCUCAAAUUGUAAUUUAGAAUUUAUAAUUUUCAUUUAUUUUGAAUAAAUUUGGUAGAAGACUUUAGAUGAUGUAGUUUUUGCUUUGUUUGAUUUUUUAGCUUAUUCGUUUAAAAACAAAUCUAGUUUUAUAAUAUAAUGUCUGAUUAAAAAAAAUUAAAAAUACGAUCAUAAUCACCACAAAUAACAACAUACAAAUUCGCUAUAAACAUCUUAUCCAAUUAAUCUUAAUAUUGACCACUAAAUCAGAAAUUGCAAAUCAAUUUGUUGAAAGAUAAUUUGUAUAACAAUUUAUAAAUUUACAAGCAAUAUUAAUUAGAUUUUUUUUAAUGCUUUUAUGAAUGAACAAAAAUUAAACGUGAAAUUAUAAUAUAAUAGAUUUUGUAAAAAAAUAAACUUUUAUAGAUAUUUUAUUUAAAUUAGGCCAUAGGCCAAUGUUUCCCAAUGCAUAAGACACGCGCCCUGGAUUUACAUCUCAAAGAACUCAUGUGGUAUGCUUUUUCCUUUUCUAUAAUACCAGACUUGUGCCAUGAAAGAGGCGAGUACUUCUCUUGCGAGUACUUCUCUUGUCCCCAAAAAAGAAAGAGGAUGAGAUCAGAGAAGAGAUUCAAGUUACCCCAAAGAUACCAAAAAAACAAAUCAAGACGUGCUUCAGAUGUUUUUCCUAGCUUCAUGAGACCAACAGCUAGUAGCAACAGAAGAUUAUCAGGGACAGAUUUUAGCGUAAUCUCCAAUGGUCGUCCAGGCUUUAAGUCUAGAAGAAACUCAAUGAUAUCUGUCCGAGCUGAAUCUGUGUGUCUUCCGGUGAAGAAGAACGGAUUUGAUCCCGCGUGUGACUCACCAGAGAGGAGCGUUUCGAAGUCGACUUGCGUUAUGCGUCCGAAUACAGCGGAUGAUGCAGCAACGGUUUAUAGUCAGGACAUAUCUGAAUGUGAUAUUAAGUUGGUCGUGUCGGAGCACAAACCAAAGGUACUGCAGAUGGGCCCCGGAUCUGCAAACAAAUCCCGCUCCAAGAUCGGUUUCUUGAGAAAAACGUUAACCAGAAAGAGGGUGGAACAGAGUUCUCAAGGAUUAAACAGUUGGCUUCAUUUGCAAUCCGAAAACAGGAGUUACGUGAAAUAGGUAGGAUCGAAGAAACAUUUAUGCAUGUGUUUUUCUUUGCUGGUUAAUUAAAUGUAUAAUCCCUUGAAGCAAUAUAUAACAAACAAGCAAUAACUUGAAGAGUUGAAAUCUUGGACAAGGACAUAGUUUUGAUGGAAGAAACAAAGGUUACAUUAACCAAAUUUAUGAAAUAGAGAUUAAACUCUGGAAAUAACAAACAGAAUAUCCAGUGGAUUCAGCAUCAAAAACAACAAGAUCAUUCUCGGUUUCAGGGUCAUGGGUCAUCAGUGUUUUCAUUUGCACAAGAUCAUAAAACAGCAACUCCUUUUUCUUCUUCUUCUUAUUAGUAUUAUUCUUCCCAUCCAAAAGUGCUAGUGGAUGGAACGCGCAUAAUGUUGGGCUACCAUAAAUAAUAGAAAUUACAAGCAGAUUUAUGGAACAAAUUUUGUCCCAUGUAUUGUUGCUGGAAUUGAACGACCAUAUCACUUGGAUGUCGAGGUUGCUAUUCUUCUCGGAUACACAUGACGAUAUCGUAAGGAGUACGCUCUGGAUUGGCUGCAAAAGAAGCUUUAGAUACGACUUGAAAAGCUUCCGUGUGAAGAUCAAAAAAUAGAACUUUGGUUUCUUGGCAUUCCGUGAACCAAUGAAGCGACCCAUGUACAAAAACGGGAUCGGCACAACCAGCAAUCCGAUAAGGAGAAGCAGGAGUGACAUACCUCCAAGCGUUGGUGCUAAAGUCGAAAACUUCACAUGUAGUAGCGUUUUCAAGGCCUAUUUCUAAAGAGUUGUAUAGCCAAAUGAGCUUGUAUGUGCCUCUGGAUAUGUCUUUACCGAAUCCAAGCUUAAAGAAUGAGUGUCCAAGUUCGAAGUAACUUUCUCGUAAGUCGAUCAUGAGUUGCUGAAAUUGGCAUAGAGGAAGAGGGCGAAACCAUCUAGUGGUGGGGUUGACCACAAACCCUGAUUGUUUGUGAUGAUAAAGACAAACCAGACCGUCACAGCUAUCAAAGGAGACGAAGUACUGCGUGUUGUUUUCCUUCUCCCAAGGAGUAGGGAUCUUGACCGAUGAGGAUGAACCCAACACCAGUGUUCUUAGAGAUUCUAUGUCCGGCGGGUGAGGACAUCCUGACACCAAGAGUACAUCUGGAUCUCCUGAUUGCUGUCGCUUCUUCAACUGUCUUUCUUCAAAGACUGGUGAUUCGAUCGUUGAUUUCCAUUGCUUCGACACAGCCUUGAAUCUCAGCAGAGAAUUCACCGCAAGUCUCUCCAAGAUAAGCUCUACGACAUCGUGUGGCACCGCAUUCCAUCAUCAAGCGACGUCUUUUCCACAUUCUUGCCUUGUCUCCGUAGCCAUUGAUGAGAUACAGAGGCUUAUUAUAUAUACUGCAAGUAAUAACAAAUACAUAGGAGAAUUUCAACAUUUUCCUUUCCUUCAAUCUAGAAUUUCAAUAAGGAGAAUUUUCAUCAGAUCAAGGAAAAGGAUAUUCUCUCUCACCACAACACAGAUCUUCUCCUAGCUAAUACUCAAAAACCUCGACACUUUCCUUUUCAUAAUAAAAAUCUAAAAUGUCAAUAAGAAAUUUCUAGGAUUUUCCAUCAGAUUUUCUCUCUCCAAACGACACAGACAGAUCUUCUCCCAUUUACUCAGAAACCUCUUGGAACCGAACCCUAUCUCUUUCUUUUUUUUCUGGGCUUUGAAUUUUCUUUGGGCUCAGAACCCAUAUAUGAUUUAAACCAACGUCUUUCGUCCGUUAUUUGCAUUUUUUCGUACUUUGAAUGAAUCUAUUUUUUGUCGGCAAUAUUUUUUUAUGAAAAUCUGAUACGUGCCCGUGAGCGUUAGACAAUCAUUAACGGGGUCGUUUAAUGGGUCUCUUCAAAUAUUUUAAUAACUAGGGAUUAAUUUGCGCCGGAGAUAUAUUUUUAAUUUUUAAUUAAUUUAAAUAAUUUGAUGAAAACAGUUAUUUUGUAAAAACAGUUAUUGUUAUAAAGUUUACAAUAAUAUAGUACAUAUUUUUGUGAAUUUUAAAUAAUGAAUUGAUCUAUAUAUAUAUAUAUAUUUUUGAAUUAUAAAAAAUGAGUUAAUCCGUAUAUGAAGUUAUUUUAUAAGAGUGUAAAGCAAAAUAAGUUGUUUUAAACCCGUUGGCACUAAACUAAAAUAUUAUCUAAGCUAUUAUAUAAAAAUUAUAAUAUUAUAAUCAUCAACUCUAAUUUGCAUAGUUUAAUAAUUGACAUUUAUAAUCUGUUCACUAACUAUAAAAAUUUAAUUUUAUCUUUUUAACUAUAUAUGAAAAUAAUAUAAUAUUCUUUACACUUAGGUUUGAUUUAUAAUAAAUAAAUAUACAACAAAUUAUAUUUAAUUUAAAAUAUAUAUAAUUUAGUAGAUUGAAUAUAUUACUUAUUUUAAAAAUUAAUAUUUUGAAUUUUGAGAUUUUUUGUGGGUAUUAAAAAAUUAAAAUUAUAAUCUGUUCAUAUCGAACUAACCCGUUUACUUAACAUAUUUGUAUUGGAUUAAAAUUUAAUAAUUAAUUAUAAUAUUCACCGUUUUUUUUAUUUAAACUUUAUAAUAUUCACCGUUUAAUAACUCUUAUUUCACCACAAACUUUUUUUAUUUAAAAAUCAAUUUUUCAUAUCAAAUUUUUAGUAAAAUAACUAAAAAGGUAUUUUUGUAUAUAAUCAAUCAAAUGUAGCAAAUUAUUGAAAAAAACACUUCACCACUUUUUUUAAUAUCAUAACUUUUAAUUUUGACUUUUAUAAUAUUUCUAAAUUCAAAAUUUUAUUUUCACGGUUUUAAUUAAAUAUACUUUAUAAUAUCAUUUGAAAAUAGAAAUAAUAAAAACUAUCAGAUUUUUGAAUUUAGAAAUUAAAUAAUAAAUAUACUCUAUUAAGUGAGAAAUAAAGACUUUCCAUAUUUUUAGCAAUAGAGUUGAAAGACAACUAUAUCCUUUCCUAUUUUAAUUAUUUUUUGUUAUUUGUAAUGACAUAUCAUGUAAUAUUUUACAAAAUAAAGGUUAUAUUUUAAAAUGUUUUACUCAAAUAAUAAUAUAGAGAUAAAAGUUGAGAAAGUUGGGCUUAAAUUGUAAAAACGUCUUUAUCUGGCGACGGGGAGAGACGUCUCUUGGGCCAGAUGUCACGUGUCUAGAGGUCAAAAAAUAUGGGGAAAAUAUAAUUAUUUUGCUUGGGCUUUUUUUUUCAAUCCUUCGAUGAGUUUCUACAUUGCACCAUGCAAAUUAUAUAAGUCUCACAAGAAAAUCUCUAAUUCAAUUAUAAUAUUAAAAUAUUGAAUAAGAGAUCCAUGAAAGUCUUUGGGUUGCUGAUGCUAUGAAUUUAACGGAGCCCAACAAUCUGUGCUUGUACAUAAAUAGAAAAAUUGAAGCCUGGAAUAGAACAUGGUUUGGAGGGUGUAUUUUUCACUGACCAACAGACCAAGGAUCUUAUAUAUGUUAUGGCCGUGAACCAUAUUCUUGUUAAGGAUUGCUUUAGGUUCCUUAUAGCAUUGUUAUGUUUGAUCCAGAACCAAUGCUUUUUGUGAGAAUUUGCAUUGUUUCCCUUGAUCACCAAGUCCACUUCUUCACAAUUCUCUAUGAUAAUAUGCUUCUUCCACAAUGUUUCUCUUAUUCAAAGACCACACUUAAUUAGACUUAAUUAGCUUCACUGGAAGUGGCCUCAAGAAGAGCAACAGAAAUAUCUGUGCACAUGCAACCAUUGAAGAAGAAGAGCCUUGCAUGCCUAUGUUUACGCCAAUUGUUCACAAUCUGUACUCUCGUUCUUGUCUCUCUGCACCUUAUCAUCAUCCGCCAAGUUGCUAAUUAGCUCAGCUUCUCUUCUCGUUGUAGGAUGAACUUGUGACGACAGAUUUCUUGCUGAUAUCAAUCAGUAGACUGUUCAAAAUCGUUGCAAAAGGUGACCCAGAUAUGUUGUAGCUCUAUGUUAGAACAACAAUUCCAAACAGAGAUCUCGAACCCUAAAAAAUUAUCCGGAAUGUAACACCAUCAGCUGUGCCGGAAUUAAAAUCGGCGGCAGGUUUUGACCAGAACAAUUAUUAAGAGCGACUAUUUUCCGUCAGAUCAGUUACCAUCUUAAGCUUUAUUUCCUUUUUGUUGAUUUAGAGAUGUUUAAUAUAUAUAUCUAUUAUAUAAAGACUCAGUUGAGUCUCACAAACUUGACACAUCAGCACUCCUUUGAAUGACACAUCAACUCAUUUAUUUGUUAUUUAAAAACUUUAGUAAAACUCUAAUUAAUUUAAGCUAAUUACUUUUAUGUUCAUAUUUCUGUGCACUGAUUUAUUUACCAUCAUGGGCCUCAUGGCUUUUUGACUCCCAUUUUUGAUGCUUCCUAUUUUUAAUGAUGCUUCAAACGUUGUCUUAAAUAUUGGUUACUCAUGUUUCAACGCAUAAAAAAUAAUCAGCAAAUAUAGAGGAGAAGACAUGGAAAAAAGUAAAUAUUAUCUAAGAUUUUUUAAUAAAUCUCUAAUCUACAGCUUGCACGUUGUAACUUAUGCAAAUUUCUAUAUAGAAGCUUACUAAAGUGAAUGUUGUUCACAAAUCCACGGUCUAAGAUUUAUUUCUUGGUCAUGGGCAGAGACAUCUACAUUUAAUACCAUCGUUUGUGUUCAUUUAAAGGAAAAGAAGAAUUUUGCUUUUAAAAAGAAGAUUUUGUAUGAUAGUUUCGAGAAUUCUGUGAAGAGUAAAUAGCAAGACAAAGUUAUAAUAAUAAUUUCUAAAAUAAUAAUAAUUCGGCGACGAAGCUAUAAUAAUAAUUUCUAAAAACUUUGUUUUAAGUUAAGCUGGUGUAAGUUAUAUAUUCUAUUUAUUUUUGUUUUAGAGAAAAUUUUAAGGGAGAAAAAUAAUACUCCGAAAAACUUAUUACAUCCAUUAGUAAAUUUUUUAAUAUCUAUGUUUUUACAAGAAAUGAUAAAAAUCUCGUCUUAAUGAAUAAUAAUUAAAGAAAUCUUUGUGGAGAAAAGAUAAAUAUAAUUUAUAUCAUUUUAUGUGCAUGAAAUGUAGCUUGUUUUAUCUCCAUCAGAUCUUGGAGUUGGAGUAUUGGUUCUCCCAAGUACUGCAAUAAAAAGCCACUGGAGCGGCAAGAGCCAAAUCCGAUGGUGAAAAUGGAGAAAGACGUAUUUGGUAAGCUUUUACGAUAGCUGGUCAUGCUUAUCUAAAGUUCUAAACUCUACCUGUGAUGCAAAAGAUAAUAUAUAGUAUGAAAUAUCACAGAUUUUCAUGCUAUAUUCAUUUCCUAACUUUUCUAAUUUUAGUGGAUAUUGUGACGGUUUUGCCAAUGAGAAUAUGAAAAUUUUAUGGAAUAAAGUUAUCCAUUUAUUUUGAGAAUAUACCUCUUAGGUUCCUAAUCAUAAUAUUUAGUAUUUGCUGGAUUCUCAUAUCUUUGUUUAUAAUGUUCAAGAUAAUUUUUCACGUUUAAUUGAAGACAACGUUUCUUAAUAGAGAAAAUUUCUCAUAAGAUUUCAUAAAACCAAAAAAAAAGUCAAGAAAAAAACUAAUUAAAACAAAAUCACUUUAACAAAACAAGUUAACAACUAAUCUCUCUAAACAUAUAUAUGGCCAGUCCAAAAAAACCAAAAAUCUAAAUUUUUUUUUUAACAUCAUCAAAAAUCUAAAUUUAAUUUCAGUUUCUUUUGGUUUUUGAUCGACAGUCUAGAUACCUAGAACGGUUUGGUUACCCAAACCGAAGAUAUCGAAUUUAUGUAAAUAAUAAUUUGUAGGUGGACACAAGCGCUUUUUUGCUAGAAUGUUUGCCUUCGAAUUCUUCAUGCGUGAAAUGUGUGAUAUAGUGAAGGAAUUGUAAACUGAAAUUUAAGGAUAAAACUAAACUUCAGUUUUAAACAUUAUAAAAAUAUUAAAAAGAAAACCCACGCAUAUGCGUGGGUACUCAUCUAGUUAUAUAUAAAAAUUGCUCAACUUUUUCCAUAUGAGUGACAUAUCAUCAUUUGAGAAUUGAUAUGGGAAUGACAUGUGUCAUUUUUUAUUUAAAAUUAUAGUUUUUAAAGAAAAUUAAUUAAUAAAUUUUAAUAUUAAGUGUUCAACCACUCAAAAAAAUGAAAAGUAUUUUUGUUAAUUGAUUCUUAAAUAACAUUUAUGUAAAUAUUAAACAAAAAUUUAUGUUAUAAUUAAUUAAAAAUUAGUAUUUUUUAAUCAUUUUUUGUUUUUUAAUAAUAUUAUAUUUUAAAUUAAUUGAUUUAUAAUAAUAUACUAACAAAUAACAAAUGAUGAUCAUACUUAAAAAAAUACAAAUAUAUAAAUUUGAAAUAGUUGAAGAAAAAAGCUAUUUAAAAUUACAGUUUAAAGAGAAAAAUUAAUUAAUAAAUUUUAAUAUUAAAUUUAAACUACUCAAAAAUAAGAAAAAAUCUAUUAAUUGAUUUUUAAAUAACAUUUAUGUAAAUAUUAAACACGGAAUUUAUGUUAUAAACUUUUGAUUUUUAAUGAUAUUAUAUUUAAAAUUGAUGGAUUUAUAAUAAUAUACUAACACAUAAUAAAUAAUGAUUAUAUUUUUUUAAGAAAAUACAAAAUAUAUAUAUUUGAAAUAGUUGAUGAAAAAAAUCCGCACGUUACAUGCGGGUAUUCACAUACUUAUAACAAAAAGGAAACAAUUUUUCUGAAAUAUGCCAUUACCAAAAAAAUUAAGAUAUGACAGGUUUUUCCUAAGCAUUGAACAACAAAACUAUAACUGGCAUCUCCUCCAAAAAAAUUAAAAACAAAAACUGAAUCAUUAAACACUAAACAAAACUCUCUUUUAUUCAACAAAAAAAAUUGGGGGAUCAAGACUGCCUGCUGUUCUUUGUCUUUACUUCGUUAACCCGUUGAAGAAGUCGUUACCAUAGCCCACAUCAAUAAACCCUAAUCCCAGAAGAAUACGGAAGCAUAAAGCCUGAAGUUUCCGCAUAAACCUAUGAGCUUUUCCUGCAACCAAAAUACGGAAUCUCAGAAGCAAAAAAACACAAGAUAAGAUCUACACGAAACACACAAACGUCGGUCCAAAUUGUUUACCUCUCCCGCCCAUGAUUUCUUGUGGUCUACGCAAUGGUGGAGCUACAUCCUCCGUGAAUCCCAAAACUCUCUCAGAUUUCGGUUUGUGCGAUUGAUCCAAACCCGUUUCCGGUAAGAGCUGUUUGAGAUCAGAUUUUCCUUCUGACAGCAAGAUCGAGGCCGGUGAAUCUUGCUCCCAAUCCGAGCUGUGAUCAACUCCAAACCAUACAUUGUCUAUGUGUUGGCUAAGUCCAUCAUAUACUAAGCUUGGAGGAUAAAGAGAUUCUUCGUCGUCAGGAUUUAAGUAUCUGGACAGAAUCUGAUCUUCUGUUUCAGAAGAACAUAGACAUUGCAGCUCAAACAGAUCUUUAAGCAUCGGUGUAGGUUUAAUCCCUGUUUCCUCUGUUUUGAACUCUUCAACGAUUUCAGUGCCAGUGAUUUUCUCCGUUGUAAACCUCUUUGUAGAUGACUGAUCCAGCGACCUGUCUCUGCUUAGUCUGCCCGGUUUAGCCGGGAAAGGAGUUGCAGGAAGUCGUUUCUUGUCAAGCACGUAACUCCUGUUUUCGGAUUGCGAAUGAAGCCAACUGUUAAUCCUUGAGAACUCUGUUCCACCCUCUUUCUGGUUAACGUUUUUCUCAAAGAAACCGAUCUUGGAGCGAGAUUUGUUUGCAGAUCCGGGGCCCAUCUGCAGUACCUUUGGUUUGUGCUCCGACACAACCAACUUAAUAUCACAUUCAGAUAUGUCCUGACUAUAAACCGUUGCUGCAUCAUCCGCUGUAUUCGGACGCAUAAAGCAAAUGGACUUCGAAACGCUCCUCUCUGAUGAGCCACACGCGGAAUCAAAUCCGUUCUUCUUCACCGGAAGACACACAGAUUCAGCUCGGACAGAUAUCAUUGAGUUUCUUCUAGACUUAAAGCCUGGACCAUUGGAGAUUACGCUGAAAUCUGUCCCUGAUAAUCUUCUGUUGCUACUAGCUGUUGGUCUCAUGAAGCUAGGAAAAACAUCUGAAGCACGUCUUGAUUUGUUUUUUGGUAUCUUCGGGGUAAUUUGAAUCUCUUCUCUUAUCUCAUCCUCUUCUUCUUCCUCAGUAAAAUGAGGCUUCCCAGAGAGUUUCUCUAAUCUCUCGUUUAGAUAUCUGAUCUCUUUUAACGUUGUCUCACGCUCUUGCUCGAUCUUUUCCAUCAUAUUCUGCAGAUUCAUCAACACAGCCUCCUUUUUCUCUUGUUCUUCCUACGCAUCAAAAGAAUCCUAAACCCAUCAGAGAUUGUUACACUCUAGGGUAAGUUGAUGUGUUAUGCAAGUUAAUGUUUCCAUUACCUUUGAUUCGUCCUGUCCUAAAUGGAUGUUAUUUGCCCUCGUUGCGAAGUUCAGAGAGCAUAUGGUUUCACACAGAUCAUCUUCUUUCGGGCUGAUAUGAACAAGCAUCAAUGUUUUAGAGUCUUGCCCUGCAAAACUAGGAAAGAAACUCAGAGAAGAGAGCAAAUAACUUCAGUUAAGAUCAAGAUCUUUCGGAAGAUCUUAGUUACCGAGGGAGUCUUUCAGGACCUGUGUGAGCUUGCUGUUCCUGAAAUACAAAGAACAAAAAACUCAAAAGUUUCAGAGAUUAAUGUAGUAAGGGUUACAUAAAAAAGAGAGGAUAUGUUUACCUGUAAGGAAUGUGACCAUUCUUGCGUUGAAGAGAGUUGAUGACAUCUCCAAGAGCAGAUAAAGAGAGAUUAAUGGCUUUGCCUUCAUCAAAACGACGACCAGUGGCUCUAGUUUUCAACACGCGCUCGCUUCCUCCAAGAUCCACUAGCCAAAUCUUGUUUGUUUCACGCCGCCUCUCAGGAGCUCCAAGACAAGUGAUCGAUACUCGGAUCAUACUGUUCCAUGAUUUUCAUCCAUAUAUGAGAGAUCAAAUAACAUAGGGUAAGAGGAAAAAAAAAUCAAAAAUCAAAAUUUUGAGGUCUUACCAGUGUGAUCUGCUGGAUGCAGAGUUAGAGUUAGUGGAGGCAGUUGCUCUGUUUCGACAACCUAAUUUGUAUAACUUGAAGACUUGAUUAAAGUCUUUCACUUUAAUAGUCACCAAGUUCUCGAUGUCUACCUCUCCCUUUGCGUCUGUGUGAAUCAGAAGACUGAAACAGAGAAACAAAACUCAUUGAGUUGCAUUCCAAACCCGAUCCUUCAAUGGAUAUUCUCUGCACAUGUUAUUAUGAGUAUUAUUACCUUGGAGGUAUUGGAUCAAUGGGUUUAGUUGCUUGAGAAACAAGCAAGUCUCUGAGAUUUCCCAUGUAAAUCUCAAGCAUACUAAAGUUGAUCACAAACUUAUGAUUGCUUUCCUCGACUUGUUUGAAUAAUCCCUUUAUCGCUCUAGGAACAAUACCUGGAGAUUUCGGAAGACCCUCCUGCAUAAAUAUUCAUCCCAAUAUUUAAAUAUCAACUUUAAGAGAUGGAAACAACAUGGUAAUCAAAGAGAUGUUUUUGAUUGAUCCUUCUUACCAUUGUAUAAGUUUUCCCAGUACCGGUUUGUCCGUACGCAAAAAUGCAGGCGUUGUAUCCAUCGAUAACCGAUUUUAUUACUGGUUCGAUCUCUAAGAAAACAUCAUCUGCAAAAAAUUUGUAUACUAUAUAUCUUCAAGAACACUUUAAUGUAUGCGUAAUCAAUUGUAAAUGACGUUGUAAUGAACUUCCACUAAACGACGUCGUGAUUAUAGUGUACGCCACUAUGAAGCUUGUAAGAAACUUACCUUGUGAUGAAUCAGGUUGGAAAACUCUGUCGAAGUUGUAGGUUUUCCUCUUGGUUUCUGUUAACUUUAGGACAACGUUUCUUGUAUCCGAAGCAACUGGUGCUCUCAAGUUUUGGGAGUCCAAGGGUUUUACUCGACAAAACACACGAAUGUUUCCUGACCAAUUUUCCAAAUCGAAAUCGAUGAAACUAGACUCUUAAACUUGGAAUUUACAGUAUAAAUCGUAGUUUAAAAAAAAAAUCGAAUACUGACCUUUAAGGUCCAAAAACUCGUUAAGAAUCCGUCUUCUUUGUUUGCUCUGAUCAUUUACUUGAACUGUUAGUGCAUAGAGUUUAUCUGUAACACAAAAACAGAGGACACAGAGUGAAACCCAUAAGUAAAAAUUGAAACUUUGUUGGAAUUUUUGAUAUAGUAUCACUAUCUGAAUUAAAUAUACAUUCUCAAAUUAAUUCUACAUAAUAUAAUACCAAAAAAAUAAAAAUCUACAUAAUAAAACCCGGAGUUGACAAAUCUUAUCUUGACUUUAAGUAUUUAUUAUCCGGUAGAAAUCUUGACUACAGAAAUAUUGAACCCACUUAAAUUGUAAAAUGAAAAAAAUGUGAAAACGAAUGAUCAAAGAGCCGUUAGAUGACUGCCACGUCACUUUAAUACAGUACAAGAACAUGUGAUCCAACGGUUCAGAUGCUUUGCAUGUAGUAGGUAAUCUCCACCAAAGGAUUUUAAUUUUUCACAAGAAAACAAGAAUUUGAUUCAGAAGAGAAUACCAAAAAAAAAUUGAAGAACAAAAAACCAGAAAGAGAAAAAAAUCUUUAACAAAUGGGGAAAUGGGGAAAUGGGGAAUCCGAGAGAAGUACCUCUAAGGCUCUGUACUUCGAUGAAAGCAGAGUCGUCUUCUUCCUUUGACGAUGAAGAAAUCUCAGAAGAUGAAACAUUCUUGACGAUGUUGCAGACAGAUUUAACCCAAGCUGAAGUCAAAUGAGAUUUCAAACCGAGUAAUGAAUGGAUUGUCUCCGGCAAAUCCCGAACUGGUUUCGGCCUUCUUCCCUCCAUUACACCAAAUCUUGAUCUUGAUUAGAAAACAGAGCAAUUCGCAGGAAUCAGAUUUUGAUUUCACUGAACUUUUGCCGAGAAAGUUAGAGGAAAGAGAGGGAAGUAGUGAAAUUUGGGUCAGAGCUCAUCAAUGGCGGAAUCUGGAGAAUAGUUUUUUUUUUUAAGAGGACAAAGAUGUGGAGAGAAUGUUCUUCAUAAGCAAAAAUCUCUGCAGGUGCCAUGUAUAUAUAUAAUUACAGGCCCUUAUAAUACAAAAUAUAUAUUGUUUUUGUUAGUUUUACCUUGGGGAGAGAAAAUUUUAGCUGAACUUAACACUUGUCUAUCACUAAAUGGAGAAUUAAAAAAUUUGUAUAACUAUUAUUCAAAGAAAUUAAUUACUAUUCCCCCUUUUUGGCUGGAACAAUAUUGAUGAAAAUGCUACUUAGAGAUAUUUUUAUCUAAUCAGCUUAACGGCUGUGGAUGAGUUCAUCCAAGCUAUCAAUUAUUUUUACAGCUUUGUUUUUUAUUUGUCUAAAGUAACUAUUUGAACCAAAUUUAGUGUUUAUGCUUUAUUUUAUACUAUUAAAUUUAAAGUCAUAGUCUAAAUUUAUAUAAAUAACCAAAUAGAAUAAUAUAACUAAAAUAACCAAAAUAACCAAAAUUAGUAUUUGUAUAUAUGAAUUUCCUUUUUAUAUUUUAUUUUACCUUAACAAGAUGUUGUUUAUAAAGAAAAACGGACAAUCGGUCUAUAAUAUAAUCUAAUCUAAUUUGUAUUAAAAAAUACUAUAAUUAGAAAAAACAGCGUGUCAAUUCUCAUAAAUAUAAGACACGUGGCUACAAUGUUUUAACUAUUUUUCUUAUUCAAAACGCGGCAUACUGAAUUCUAUUAACGUUAUAAUGAUGAUUUCACGCGGAGUUUGUAUUGGGCCUGACUUUAAAAGUAAGAGUAUUGAUCUGCAUUUUCUAAAGAAGAGCAUCAUUCUUACAAAAAAAAUAAUAAAAAUGAUGAGUUUAUUCGCAUAAAACCCUUUUUUAUGCAUUUUUAUAAUUUAAAACAGUUAGCAUGUUCUUUGUUUUUUUUUUUGAAUUUCGCUUUCGAAUUUAGUACUAUACAUUUUUCUAAAUAGUUUUAGCUUCCAAUACAUUUUUAUAAUCUACUUUUGUCAUUUGCAAUGACUAACAUUUCAUCCAAAAUGUAAAUAACUCUAUUAGUUAAAUACAAUACUUUUGGUUUUAUUUUAGUUUUGUUUCACAUGUUUUUUUCUUCAGAGUAAUAUCUAAUAGUUUUUUUUUUUACAUUUUGAAAAAUAUUUGUUUUUAUUAUUUAGGGGUAGUACUGAAAUUUUAAUAUUAUCAAUACUAAUUGGACAAUGUUGAGUGAAAAAGUAUCAAAUGGACAAUAGGUGAGUUUUUUGUCCUAUAAUUCUAAUUUUCUCAUAAAUAAUUAAAUUCUCUUUCCCAAAAAAAAAAUUAAUGUUAUUAGAUUCAAAUAAAAUAAGUUGUACUAUGUAGUCGUCUAAAAAAAUUAUCGACGCAAUCAAAUAACAUCACAACAAAUUUCAAAUUCUUCAAAACUAACUCAAGUAAUUAAAUAUUUUGCAGCUUAGAUAGUGCAACGAAAUAGUUCACCUGCCACGAUGGAUCCAUCAAUGGAUAACGCAAUCUCACUUGUUAUAGUCUAUGGUUAGAGUAAAAGUCUCGUCAAUGUCUCUUUCUUACGAGUUACGAUCUACUGUAUUAAUUUUUCCUUAGCUAAAUCAAUAUCCGUUGCCUUGUUUUUUAUUUCUUUUCGCCAAGGUAACAUGUAUAGGGGAUUUGCUUUUGUAAUAUCCAACUUUCAUUUUUUAUGAUAUUUACAAGUUAGCAAAAAAGAAAAAGAAAAAAUAGAAAGAACUAUUUUUAGCAAGAACAAAAAGUAGAAAGAAUAGAUAAUAAUCUUUAAUACUGUAGUAUUAUCACGUUUUGGAAAAAACGCCAACAUAGACCAAUGGUCGAUGAACAGAAGAUUUGUUAUUUUUUCCCAAUAUAGGUUGACCCAAACAUCUAUGCAACUUAGUAAUGUCAAAUAACCUUUAUUUCCCAUGAAUGGUUAUGUUAUGCAUGAAUAAUUGAAUACGACCUUUUCCCAUAAUUAUACAUAGAUAAUGUAGUAAGAAAAUAGAGUUUGUAAUAUUUUAUCCAAGGAAUAAGCAUCUCGGUCCAAAAGAGAUUUCAUAUACUGUCGUCCGAGCACCAUUGAGAGCAUUGAAUGAUAUUGCAUAGAGAGAGAGACAUGACUGUCGUAAUUCGGCCAUGCCUCACACGCUCUCUCUCUCUCGACAUAUGUGAUCACAUGCCAUAUAACCUAAUCAACCGGACCGAUAUAUAUGGCAUCUCAUCCACCAAACCUAUAUAUAUAGUGAUUAUAUACAUUGCAGUCGAUCGCCUAUUAGUCUAGACUCUAGAGUUAAGUUAAGCGUGACCUAAUCCGAUCACAUAUGGUCUUCUAAUGCAAGUCACUAACUAAAUUUAUGCAAAAUACUUUUUUACUUCACACAAUGAGAAAGAAAUGAUCCAUGAUAAUUCUCAAUGAAGUCGAUCGAACCUUACCCUUGACAUCAAUCUAUAGUUUUCAUUUUUUUUUUUUUUUUGAAUUUUCAUUUCUAAAAUCGAACUAAUUUAUCCUUCAUUUACUACUGGUCCUGUUUUUUUUUUUUUUUUUCCAAGGAGUCGUAUCAUAUUGGUCCUCUCCUUCAUUCAAAGAAAAGGUGCAUGGUGUUAUUUGUAUUUCACUGCCUGUGUGGGUUAAUGGCUCCCAACUCGCAAGACAUAUAUAGGCCCUUCGUAGUUAAUACUCUGCACCAAUUAUAUACAUUUCUCGUGGGAUCCAUCAUUAUAUGCAUAUACAGUAGACCGUGUAUGUAUCUACACGCAUGAUUUAAUUACCAAACAAACAGUAAUGUUUAAAGUAAAAAACCCACUAGGCUUCAAGAUCUGGUAAAACUCUGUGUUUUAUUCAACGUUCUCGACCCAAAAAAAAAAAAAAAAUUCAAAGUUCUCAAUUAUUACAAGUAGUACAAGCCUUUUCGAUAAAGCCAACAUACAAACAUGUGUAUACACCUUAUAAUAUACAAAACAUUUGAAAACCCUCACAACGCAAAAAAAUCAGCACAUGAAGGCAAAGACAGAGAGAUGUAAUUGCUUAAUCUUGAGGAGUCUCGAAUCUAGUCGGUGUGUCGAUGCCCGCCAUACAACAAAGUCCACUUAUCAAGAUGGUAAGCAGGACGAUUCCCUGAAAAGAGGCAAGAGACCUUAUCACAAAGACUUCUUAUGGAAACACAAGCUUCCAGCUCGAGACAAUUAAAGAAUGUGCAUUAGAAGAAAUUUGCUUUAAAAGUGGGUAGCUUUACCACUAAGAUUCCCUCUAAGAGUGAUGACUUGAAUUUGCAGAGUUCAUCACAGGUUGUAGAAGCUUCAGCUGUAGUGUUUCCUGUGGCUGUUUCAGCCAAAAACCUUUGGAGAGUUUGGUAAGGAGUGUACCAAUAAGGAUCAGAGACAUAUAGGGUUGCGUAUUUAGUUCCAGAAUGCUCUACUGAACCAACAAGCUCAGAGAUGAUUUCACCUGCAGAUAAUGGUUCAAAGAAAACUUAGUUAACUUAAAACGAGUAUCUAAAUGCAUGCUAUGACUUCUUUUGUAACCAUGAUCUGUCCACUUACGAUCUGAAGGUGACUGGUAAGAUUGAGUCGAUGAUUCAGAUCCCUCAGAGCAGACCACAACCAAGUCGGUUUCCCCUUCUUUUCUUGUUUCUUUUCUAGCAACCAGAUGAUCCUGUCGAUCGAUAAUUUAUAGGUAAAUCAGAAGGUUCAAGAGUAAGGGUGCAUGGGACUCUGGAAAACAUAAACGUCAGAACAAUCAGAUGACUUUGAAAGACUGCACUUUCGAUAGUUUCUGAGUUGUUCCAUCCUCAACGAAACACGAGUCUGAGAACACGAUAUUGCUGACUCCAACAUUAUGAGAACAAGCUUCUUUAAGCCCUGAAACAACAAAUUUUCCAUCCUUUCCUCCUCUGGUGCAGAUAUAUAUGGGAAUGCCAACGAGAAACUAGAAGCUGUAAACAGAUUCUGGUAAAAAUACGAAGAACUGAAUGUUAAUUAUUGUUAAGGCUUCAGAGAGUAUCAAUGUAUAAAAAUUGUAUGUAUGUUCUAUUGUUCUAGAAGUUAAGUAAAACUAGCUUACCUUCAAUGUGUUAAGAAGGGCAGGAAAGGAGUAGAGGUAAACGAAGAACUAACAAGAAGACAGCUUCAUCUCCGGUCCUCAAAUCUGGUCUGUGUUGGUAAGGAGUAGCGGAAAACGACGCCGUUUUGUAGUUAUUUAACCGAAUCUGGUUUAGCGACGAGAAAUCGGUCUGAAUUUAACGGUACACAGGAGAUAAACGGCUACGUUUUGGUAACUGUCGGGUAAGGGCCAUUCACAUUCCGACCCGGCCCAAUUUGAAAUAAAUAAGACGAAACUUGAACAGAGUCAUCGACUCACCGGACCAAGUAGCGCCGGUACUUGUAAAAUCAGAGAUACUCAAACUCUCGAGUCUCCUACGAGCCCUCCUGGUUCGUUCUCUUCUCUCAUUCCCGCCUAAAAACCUUUAACUCUCUCGAUUCGGCCAUUGAAGCAGCCGCAACAGCUUGAGGAGAUUUCAAAAAAUGGGUAAAGUUGAGAUUAAAGAAGAAGUAGAAGGAGAUCGCGUCGGAACUACCGAUUACUACUUCGAUAGAAUCGGCGAACCUAUCUGUAUCAAAGAGGAAGACGCUCUAUACGAUCUCGAAAACCCUCCCUCACAGCCUCUAGCUAUCUCCGAACGCCACGGCGUCGUUUUCGUCGCACAUUCCUCCGGUUAGUAUUCUUAAUCGGUGAUGAUUGUCCAGGUUUUUGCUCGUGCUGUUUAAUGUAUGUGGCCGUUUUUGUGUGAAAAUUAGGGUUUCUUGUUGCAAAGACCAAGGAUGUAAUUUCUGCUUUGAAGAAUAGUAACGGGAAAGGUACCAGGGUUUAUCUCCAGAAUUUGAGCCUCGUGGAUGUUCCCGUUGGCAACGUUCGUAUACUGUCUCUCUCUGCGGAUGAUUCCAUUCUCGCUGUCUCCGUCGCUGCUGAUUUUCAUUUCUUCUCUGUGGAUUCACUUCUUAAUAAGGUAUAUGGCUCUUAAGCCUUUAGUCUUUAUGGCAUAUUCUCUGCCUGUAACUGUAAGCUUGGUUUCCCGGGUUCUUCCGUAAAUUGACUUCUACUUUAUACUACUUCUUGCUAAUGCGAUUUUUUUUUUAAAUGUUAUGCCGGUUCUGUAUGCUUUUUCCUUGUGAAUGGCGUUUGAAAGCACACAACUAGUAGUAGCACACUAUCCAGCCCUUUGCUAGGAAUGAGAAUCUAUGUUGAUUGAUAGUUUAUUUUCUUUAUCUGUCCUUUGAUGCAGGAUGCAGAACCUUCAUUUUCUUAUUCACCUGAUGAGUCAGACUUUGUUAAGGAUUUCCGGUGGACACGGAAAGAUAAACAUUCGUAUCUUGUUCUUUCAAACCAUGGGAAUCUCUUUCAUGGAAUUGAUAAUGCACCCCCUAGACAUGUUAUGGAUGGUGUUGACGCCGGUUUGUAUCAUUUACUUUUGCUACUUCUUCAGCAACACAAUAAACCAUGUUUUUUGGAAUUUCAUUGUGUACUAUGUUCUUUUUUCCAGUUGAAUGGAGUUCAAAAGGGAGUUAUAUUGCUGUGGCUCAAGAUAAUAGCCUGCGGAUUUUGUCGUCAAAGUUUAACGAGAAGCAGUGCAUAGCGUUAUCAUUUGACGCCUGGAAUGGUGAUUCCAAUGAAAACUGUGUUGUGAAAGGUAUGUUGUAUGUUUUAGCCUAUCAAAUCAGUAUUUUCCAUUUUGGUUCAAAUAGCAUAGUUGUUGUAUGGUAUAUGAGGUGUUUUCGUAUGGACUGAGUCGUCCUCUAUUCCGAUGCUUGGACAUAGAAUAUUUACAAAAUGAUCCUGUUGAAAGUUCUUAUUUCGUGCUAUCUCCCAUCUAAAUCUUGGUAACAUUCCUAUAGAUCUGUAUUUCUUGAAAUGGUGUUCAAAUUUCCCUGGUUCUAUGCAUACUUCCGUUGAAAAGUUUCAUGGAUCGCUCUGAAGUCAAACCCGCUCAAUGACUGACUGUUUACCAACAACACUUUGCAACAGUUGAUUCUAUUCGAUGGGUACGUCACAACUGUAUUCUUCUCGGAUGCUUCCAGCUGAUUGAUGGCAUGGAAGAAAAUUACUUUGUUCAGGUUAUUAAGAGUCCGGACGGGAAGAUAACUGAUGUGAGUGACCGUUUUUAUGGGAUAGAAAGAAACAAUAGGAUCUGUAACUUGUACUUAUAUAUUUAUCUGAUAUGUGGUUUUUGAGCUUCUUCUUUGCAGGGUUCGUCCAAUCUGGUUGCUGUAUCCUUCUCUGAUUUGUUUCCAUGUUCGAUGGAUGAUCUUGUUCCGGCUGGUGUUGGACCUCAUUUGCUCUUUAGCUACAUAGACAAAUGGUACUUUAGGCUAAUUUUAUGUUCUUUUUAUUUUUUUUCUUUGCUUUAUCUUUUCAUGAAUGCUGGAAUUUACCUUCGCCCUGCAAGCCGUUUGUCAAUCUUUCUAACUCUUGAUUUAUUCGGAUCUUAAGAUAUUUUUUCAUACGUAACCAACUAGGAUGAGCUGUAAAUAAUUAAGUUCGCUAAUGAGAAUUGUUUUAAAUUCAACUAUCAUAUAAUACUGGAAGUAAAUCUGAGCUAAUUCGUAUUUACAAUUCUCGUCUUGAAGCGCAAUAGAGUCAGUUUAGUUAUUCUUGAUUUCCUCUUAAUCGCAAUAAGGAACAUGGACAAAGUAAACUACCACUUAAUUCAAUGUUGAAGAUAGUAAAAUUUUGCUUACUCCUCUAUAUUGUCAACUUUACAGCAAACUGGCAAUCAUAGCAAACAGGAAGAGCAUAGAUGAGCAUAUUGUUUUGCUAAAUUGGCCACUUGGUGAUGAUAAAAGUGCAGUUGCCGUUGUUGAUAUUGAUCGAGAGACCUUUUUGCCAAGGAUUGGACUCCAAGGUAUGUGGUCCAGAGUUGCUGCAUUCCAAUGUGCUUUUUCAUACAUUACACGUUCGAUAUAAAAAUGAUCAUUCUUUUUCCAGAAAAUGGAGACGACAAUAUGAUCAUGGGACUCUGUAUCGAUAGGGUUUCUGUUGAAGGGACCGUUAAUCUCCGUUCGGGAGAUGAUGAAAUGAAAGAACUCCCGCCGUAUUGUGUUCUUGUGUGCCUCACUUUGGAAGGAAAAAUGGUCAUGUUUAAUGUUGCUAGGUAGGCUUUGUCUCUCAUAAUGGUUAUAAGUUUCUCCUUUUCUUUAACUACAUUACAUGAAACAGUAACGUUGUGUUCCUCUACAGUGUUGCAGGACUCCCAGCUUCAGAUAAUGUUGAUUUGGCUUCUUCUUCUGAUAUAGAAGAUGCUAAUGCCCCUUCAAUUAGAGAUGAUCUUUCUGAACAAUCUUCUGAAGAGCCUGAACAACAACGAAAUGUGAAUGUUUCGGUACAAAAUGAACUGAAACCCCUCAACUCAGAUCAUUUAACUUUUCUGUUACCUACCGAACAAAGGUUCCCAAAUGAAACAAUUUCUAGUAAGGAAAUUGGUUCUGUAAAAAAUUCAGCGUCUGGGGACAACAACGGGAAGCAAGAAUUCUAUGCUGAAAAACCAUUACAAGCUGCAGAUGGUCAACAAAGCAUGAUUCCUAGGCAGUUCGGAACAAGUUUUGGGGUAACUCCUUCGUCUUUAGGAUAUGACACCAACAAAUUUGCAGGACUGGGUCCUAUCCUCCCUGUUUCUGAUAAGUUUCAAAAAGACUUAUCUGAGCAGUCUAAGUCUCUGCAUUUUCAGACCAGUUUUGGGUCAAAGAGUACACCAGCUUUAUUUGCAUUUUCUGGCCCGCAGAACGCUACUGUUCCUUCACCACAAAAUACACCAGCUCAGCCAUGGUCAAGUGGGAAAGGUAUCUCACCUCCAAAUUUUGCCUCUGGUCGUUUUACUUCUGUGAAAGAUACUCAGCAUAAGCAAUCAGAACAGACGGGAGCUGGUUAUGUAAAUCCUCCUACGUGCAUCAAAGAGAAGCCUGUACAAGUUAUUGAGACUGCUAAAGCAUCGGCUCUGAUUAAUUUAACUCCUCCGCUAGGCCAAAAUCAAGACGCUGAUGAAGGGGUAGAAAAAAUCGAGCCAAUUCCGUCUAUCCGUGCCUCUCAAUUGUCACUACAGGUGAAAUCUUCGUUCGAAAAGUCCUCUAGUCUUCAGCAGCACAAAACUCCGUCCAGUCCUGGACCUCUGAGACUCGAGAAUACCAUGUCAAAGCAACCCAGUAAUGUAAAGUUUUCACACAAUAUUUAUUUCGUAAGAUUUAAUAAUGUGGUUAUGUAUUAUAGGAAAAGGGUGUUCCGAACUCUCAUGCUGUGCUCUAGUAUUUAUCUUACUGGACUUAUGUCAUUGGCGUACCUUACUCUUCCUUUCAUUUGCCAGAUAAAUGAGAUGGCCAGAGAAAUGGAUGCGCUUUUACAGUCCAUUGAAGGACCAGGUGGUUUCAAGGAUUGUUGCACCUCAUUACUCAAAAGUCAUAUUGAAGAAUUGGAGCAAGGACUUCAAAGUCUUGCUGGCAAGUGCCAAACGUGGAAGGUGUCUUUAAAAGUUCAUUAUUGUUUCGUAUUAACUUUCGAUUAACUUUUUAAUAUUUGAUCAAACCACCCUCCUGCAAUAUACAAAUACUGUCAUUGAUCCUGGCCUUCUUUGUAUUGUUAACUAAUAUGGUUUGAUGGUCUUCAGAGCAUAACUCACGAGCAGCAAGCAGAGAUCCAACAUCUUCUGGACAAAACAAUUCAAGGUGAUCUAUCUAUUUUAUCAUCCCAGUAUGUAGCGCGAAAAAAAUUUGAUAGCGGGUUAUUGUUUCUUUCUGAAAAGGUGUCUUAUCAUGCAAUAGGCGAACUAGGAAUAUAGUGAAUGUACAUUGCUUCUAAGCACUAUCAGUGAUGUCUAGAAAGGAUUGACUAAAGAGGCAAGUUGAACUCUUAUCCUAUCUCAUUUUCUGCCCCACCAGACUUCAAAUCUCAACUUAAUCGAGAAGUGGGGAACAAAUCAGGAUAAAAUCAUAUUUAUAUAUGAUGUAUCCUUUUACGGGGAUACGUGGUGAUAAGUACAUUAUUCUCACAUAUGUUAAGUACAUUAUUCUCACAUAUGUUAAGUACAUUAUUCUCACAUAUGUUAAGUACAUUAUUCUCACAUAUAAUAUUAGCAUAAGCUUGCGCUUUAAAUGAGGUCAUUUUUACAUAUGUUGCUCUGGAAGUCCCUAGGAAUUUUGUUCUUUUGUCUCUAGAUAUAUUUAAUACCGUUUCAUAUUUUACACUGGAAUUUAGGCUGCAAAUUAUCAGGCUGUUAUUUGUUGUCUUAUUAUUCUUUCAUGUGGGGAUUUCAGUUUUGGCCAAAAAGACAUACAUGGAAGGGUUGUAUAAGCAAACUUCUGAUAACCAGUACUGGCAACUUUGGAACCGCCGGAGGUUGAAUCCUGAGCUUGAGGCCAAGCGGCAGCAUAUUGUGAAACUAAACAAGGUUGUUUAUGGGUUGAUAUAUCUCACUCAUUUAUCUGUUACUGCCCUCUAAGCUUGCUUUUUAAUUUAUCCACUACUUUUCCCGUUCAGGAUUUGACUCAUCAACUGAUUGAAUUAGAGAGAUAUUUUAAUCGGCUUGAACUCGAUCGCUACCAAGAGGAUGGAGGACUUUCUGUGGCCCGGAGAGGUUUGCCAAAUAGGUCUGCCCCUUCAAGGUAUAUUUUGUGGUUAGUUGUGAAAUUUAAAUAAAAACCCAUCAUUAUAAAUUGGUUAAGUUGGCCAUAAACUCCCCAUUUCCACCACUGAAAUUGGGUUGAUUCUCUCUGCAGACGUGUGCAAUUCCUUCAUAGCCUUCAUAACACAAUGAGUUCCCAAUUGGCAGCUGCUGAGCAACUCUCUGACUGUCUCUCAAAACAAAUGACAUUUCUGAAAAUCGAUUCACCUGUCAAAAAAAAUGUGAAGCAGGAGUUGUUUGAGACAAUUGGGAUCCCUUAUGAUGCUUCUUUCAGCUCGCCAGAUGCUGUAAAAGCUAACAAUGCAUCUUCAGCGAAAAAUCUAUUACUCUCUUCUAUUCCUGCAAGUAUAAAUGCACAGUCCAGACAACGUCAGUCAUCUGGUAUGAAAAGUUCUGACCCUGAAACGGCUAGGAGGAGGAGAGAAUCAUUAGACAGGGUAAUUUCAUGGGAAAUCUUUGACUCAGUACUAGACCACACAAUAUAUGUAAUUUAUGGUGUAUCCUCACGCUUUGCUCUACUUUUUGCAGAAUUGGGCUGCUUUUGAGCCUCCAAAAACAACUGUCAAAAGGAUGCUUCUGCAGGAGCAACAGAAGACGGGUAUGAACCAACAGACUGUGUCGAAUGAGAGAAUACGGUCAACGAUUAAUACACAGGAGCAAUCACUGCUUCGCCUGAAGGAUCAUGCAUCACCUGUAGUCUCCUCGAAUAAGGGUGAGCUAAGAUUUACUGUGUAGUGCAAUAAUUUGAUUUUACAGUGUUUCAUUAGUAUUCUUUAUCGUUUCUCUGGUUUGACUGUACAAAAUAGGAAAAAUGGAAUUAUUCCAACAAGACACAUCUGAAGCGCAAUCAACCCCGUUCAGAUCAAGGCCACCUAUGCCACAAUCUAACAGUCCCUUUACCUUCUCUCCAAUAUCUGCGUCGAAGGCAAGUUUCGAUUGGUCUGGAAAUAUGUCGAACAAUAAAGCUUCUUAUGCUGAGGAAUCAGCCCCGUCGCAGAGUAAGGAUCCGAAGACAGUUUCACAAUUAGGAGGACCAAAUUUGCUUCUGAAACGACCAGUGGCAUCGACUGUAUUUGAACAGACAGAAAAGAAGGCUGGAGAAGUUAAACUUUCUGAAGGCAAAGCAAAUGUGUUUCCUGAUAGAGCUGCUGGAAAUGUGCAGCGGCUUGGUACCACAUCGUCAAGAUCCGAUUCUGAACCUAGCAAAGGUUUUGGCAUUCAACUGUCGUCGGUGCCUACUGGUGAACCAGCAUCUAGUUUCCCUGUAAAAUCGCUGUUUGAUUUCAAUACCAGUAGCAGUAUCCCUGGUGACAAAGUAACUUUUCCUGCUGCAACGGUGUCAGUUUCAUCUUCACCUUUGUCUAGCACGUCACUUGAUUCCGUUUCCACGUUAUCUACACCAUUAUCACGUCCAGUGCCAUCCUCUACACAAGAUUCAGGUAUAAUUACGUUGACCUCUGUCUGUUUCUUUUGAUUCAACAUAAUUUUAUAGUCAACUAUGGCAACUUUAAUAUCUGGUCAAUGACACCGCUGUUAUCAAUUUCAGUUCCAACAUCUAUUCCCAUCAGCUUAGCAUCAGUCCCUCAAAAGUUUUCAGUCACAUCGACAUCUGCAGUUUCAGGUUCAGCUACGGGGUUCAGUGUUCCAUUUGGUAAAUCGUUGACCAGUGCCAAUUUUGAUCUCAAUCAAGAAGCUACGUCAACACCUUCUCAAUCACCUGGCCCCACAACUGGCUUCUCUUUUAAGUUACCAGCUUUGUCUCCAUCAUCCCCUGAAAUUGUCACAUCUUCAGCUGGCCAAUCUUCAUUUCUUCCACCAACUUCCACAGCAUCACAAGUGUCAUCUAGUCUGGUCUCUGCAACCAGUUCCCUAACAGAUAAUAAUCGUUUGUUUUCAUCAGCCUCCUCAUCGUUGACUGCUCCUGACGCGUCUCAGUCUCCUCAAGUUUCCACCCCGUCUUCUGCUGAGUCCAUUACAGAGCCAGUCUCAGAGCCUAAAAAACCAGAUGCUCAUAGUUCGCCAAUUCCAAGUAUGGGAAGUACUGUAGAUUCUGUAGCAAAUGCGACAAAAGUACAAACUGAGCUGCUGCCAGUGAAAAGUGAGAUUCCAAACCCAGAGACUACAGUAACCCCUGUCAGUUCAUCUGGGUUCCUGUCUGGGUUUUCAUCCGGAGCUCAGUCUAGUCCUUUAAGCAUGGCGCCGCCUUCAUUCAGUUGGCCAGGUAGUUCUCAGCCGCAACAGCUAUCGUCGACACCUGUCUCUUUCCCUGCAUCUUUAUCAACUUCUGCAAGUCCAUUUGGUGAGAAAAAAGACACUGUAGAUACACAAGAAGAUGAAAUGGACGAAGAAGCUUCAGAGGCUAGCCAGACGACUGAACUUAGUAUGGGUGGUUUUGGAGGUUUUGGGCUUGGGUCAACUCCAAACCCGGCUGCUCCCAAAGCAUAUCCAUUUGGGGGUCCCUUUGGUAAUGCUACAACAACAACAAGUAAUCCGUUCAAUAUGGCAGUCCCCAGCGGCGAGCUAUUCCGACCAGCAUCAUUCAAUUUUCAAAAUCCUCAACCAUCUCAACCGGCAGGGUUUGGUGGAUUUUCUACAACACCUUCUCAGACACCACCUACUCAGAGCGGGUUUGGCCAACCGUCACAGAUUGGUGGAGGACAGCAAGCUCUAGGAUCGGUUCUUGGUUCAUUUGGGCAGUCGAGGCAGAUUGGUGCUGGUCUCCCUGGAGCUACGUUUGGUGGUCCAAGUGGAUUUGGUGGCUCUAACCCAGGGAAUGGCCUCCCAAAUGCACCAGCGUCUGGGGGUUUUGCAGCUGCUGGUUCUAGUGCUACUGGUGGCUUUGCGGCCAUGGCUUCAGCUGGUAGGGGAUUCGCUGGAGCUUCUUCUAGUCCAACUGGUGGUUUCGCAGCUUUAGCCUCAGCUAGUGGAGGCUUUGCCGGUGCUGCUCCAGGAGGAGCCGCCAGUGGAUUUGGUGGACUUGGUUCAGGCUCCGGAGGUUUUGGAGGCUUUGCUCCUCCUAGUGGUGGAGGUUUCGUGGGAGCAGCAGGAGGUAAAGCAUCUUAACAUUGAUCUAUACAUACGCAUGCUCAAACAUUUUGACCAUUUUGUCUGUCGUUGACAGGUGGUGGUUUUGGAGGUUUUGGCAGCCAAGGACAAGGCCAAGCCGGUGGUGGUGGGUUCGCAGGCUUUGGUGGCAACCCCGGAGCAACAGGAAAGCCAUCGGAACUCUUCACACAGAUGAGAAAAUGAGACAAUUUGUUCAAAUCAGUAUGCAAAUGCAAGCGAGUCUCUCAUCUUUUACGUAGACCUAAGCUAGCUUGUCUCAAGAAAUUUUGGUCUAGCUCUCAAGUCUCGACUUACAGUCAAGUCGUAUAUUUUUUUCUAUAAAUAUUGUGUGUUUGUCUACUCCUUUUUUUUGUUAAUGUUGAAAUGUAGUUACGUCAUCAACUAACCUUGAAAAUGUUAUAAAUUGCUGACUUAACACUCACGUGGCUCAUGCCUUAAUGGCCAUACAGUUAAAGCUUUUUCAUCAUCUUUUGAAAGCUGGUUUGGCUUCUUUAUUUUUUAUAACAGCAGAAGAGAUAUUUCCCUUUCUUAAUUAUAAAUCCAGAAACUUUCUUGCUAAUUAAAAAGUGAUUUUAAAUCUGGAGAACUAUAAACAAACUGAGGAAGGUAAUAAUAAAAAAAAAAAAAAAAGAGAGAAAGAAGUAGUGGGCCUAGUGGGGAACUGGGAAGGAAAGGAGCAGAGAGGGCGUUAUUCGCAGUCUUUGAUUUUAAUUAAAUUUGGUAAGAGAGAGAUUUAAUUUCUCGGGAGAAUAUAUUUUCUGUUUUCCUCUUCUUCGAUUCGAUGUGAUCCCGCCAAACAAACUCUUUACUCUCUCCUCCUCCUCACGAUAUUCUCCACCGUCGAUUCUUCAGCCCUUCUCUCUCUCUCUCUCCGUUGAUCUGUGCUUUGUCGCCGGAAAAGUUCUCUGAAUUUUCGACAUUAGAAGCUUCUUCGUGAUAUUGUCUUUUAUGAAGGGACAUCGGAGUAGCGACGAGAUUUAUGAUGCUUUGUGGUUCUUUGCGAGAUCGAAUACAGCCUUGGCUUCGCGACUAUGUUAGGCUCCAAUCUCUCGCCGUCAUCCUUAUUUACACUCAGGUUAUCUCCCUCUCUCUCCCCGUGGUUGAUUCAAAUCUGUUUUCGGUCUAGGGUUCAUCGAUUCGAGAAAUUGUGUCAUCGUUGUGAGAAUCGCGUUUUUUUUUUUCUGAAUUGUUGUUGUUUCCGGUGGUUUCAGAUUGGGUGUGCGCUGAUUGGAUCACUAGGAGCAUUAUACAAUGGAGUUUUGCUAAUAAACUUGGCGAUUGCGUUGUUUGCGCUUGUGGCAAUCGAGAGCAAUAGCCAAAGUCUCGGCAGGACCUACGCUGUUCUUCUUUUCUGCGCUAUUCUUCUUGAUGUCUCGUGGUUCAUUCUUUUCACCCAUGAGAUAUGGUAUCGCUCUCAAACUAAAACCUUGUUUGUGAAUCUGAACUAAGCAGCAUUGCUUUUGAGAGAUUUUACACACAUAUUCGACUAAAAAUUGGAUAUCAGUUUCACAACUUUUGUUUAGGCACUCUAUUCAUUUUGAAAUGAUUGAUCAUUAGCAUAUUUCCCUUCCGAUUUCUAAAGCAUUUCGAUAUAAGGAAAUAUUGUUCAUAUGAUGCCCUUUUGAUUGACAAAACAUCUCCUUUGUCGACCCCAGGAGCAUUUCAGCUGAGACGUAUGGAACCUUCUUCAUAUUUUCAGUGAAGCUGACCAUGGCUAUGGAAAUGAUUGGCUUCUUUGUGAGGCUGUCGUCGUCACUCUUAUGGUUUCAGAUUUAUAGGCUGGGGGCUUCUAUUGUGGACAAUUCACUUCCUCGUGAAACAGAUUCAGAUUUACGAAAUAGCUUCUUGAACCCACCAACUCCUGCUAUAGCUAGACAAUGUUCAGGUGCAGAAGAAAUCUUGGGAGGUUCUAUGUACGACCCAGCCUACUACACCUCUCUUUUUGAAGAGGGCCAAACCAAUAUGAAUUCACCCAAGGCAACACAGGUUUUUCUGCUUUCUACUCUCUUCCCCUGUUGACUUGUUUAUGUGCACUCUUUGUAGUCGAGCUUUCCGCUAUUUUUUCUAUUUCGAGUUUUUGUAAUUUAUCUAGUACGGUCUCUCUGACUGUAUUUCUUCCUGCCUGGUUACCUUUAUCAAGCCUCCCAUCUAAGAUGAGUUUCCUGGUUCGCGUUCGAAUCCGUUUGAGCUGUCGUGGAUGCAAUGCAAUAUACCGAAUCUGGGAUAAACUAAUAAGCUAGAUGAUUCUUUAUCUUCUUUUAGCUCUUUGUCCUUAACAAGAUAGGUCUCUGAGUAAUGAUAUUUCCCGUUUUAGGAUGUACGUACACACACUACAUAGUGAUAAUGAUGGGAAGUUUUAUCUAACAGCAGUAAAGAAAGAUGCUACUCAGCCAAUUUAAAGUUUUUCAUCUUUGUGUCCUUUGUAGGUGAAUCAUUAUUUAGCUGGGAACAAUGGAUCACCAUCUGCUGCAGAAGCCUCUCAGAUUAAGUCUCCCACAUCCAGAUCACUACAUGCAAUUGAUGUUAGUCUUUAUUGAUUUGACAUUUUCAUGGUUCUUGGUCGUAUUGCACUAUGUCGUGUUUUUGUUGCGUUUCCUUAUCACCCAUCAGAUAUCAUAAGGAAAUUCUCGUCUCAACUUCUUGUAGGAAGAGAAGGGUUUGAAGCAACCGGGGAUGUCUUCAUUAUGAGAACCCCAUUCAAGAACGGUGGUGCUGUUUUACAUUCUAAACAAGCAACUUGCCUGCUGUGCAUUAGCUAAUGUUUAGGAUAUGAAGCAGACGCAACUAUUAUUGGGCUAGCGAGGGAAUCAUGAAAUCUUCAUGUCCAUACAGAGGGCAGCAAGAUUAUAUACCACCUAUCAGGAGAUGAGAUUCUAUAUGUUAGACGCCAAGUAAGCACCGUUUCUACUUUUGCUUUUUUCAUCAUUUAUUUUGUAUGAAAAUAUUUAUUUUUUCGGGAUCUCUUGUUAGAUUGGAGUCAGAAUCUACUUGAUGCAUCAUGAUUCUUUCCGGGUUUUUUCUUGUGUGUAAAUGGAGAUACUUUUGGUUUUUGUUGCAAUGGAGAUAGUAUAAGAUUCCGGCGUUGAUAUGUUUCGUCUGUUUGUGUUUGAUAUGAAAUUUUAGGGAAAUGAUCUUGAGUUCUGAAAAUAUUGAUAAACUAGCUUGAAUCUUGUGGGUUGCUCAUGCGUUGGUGAGCAUGAAGACUGUAGUGACAUUUUGCAGAGAGAUGAUAUGAGACUUUGAGAGAUUGUUGGACGGUCUGGUUUGGACACGGCUUGAAACCGGUCCAAACGCUCUUUGGACAUGGUUGAUAACGUCAGAAUAAGCGGUUUAGACCCGGUUUGAUACGUUCUACUCGGUUAAUACGGAAGUUGGACACGUCUAAAGGGGGAAAAUCAUAAUCCUUAACUUCGAGUUGGCUCCAACUUCAAUCUAAACCUCCAAUUUUUUUAAUUCCUACUACAAACUCUACUAAUCUCAUUGAUACACCUGAAAGAAAUGACUCAUCGUGUCCGAAUUUGCAGCGUUAGCUUCACUAACGAUUUGUUCAUUUCUCUUAGUUGGCUUUUAGUGAAACAUUAAAAGCCCAUAAAUUAUUAAAAGAGCCCACGAGUAAGUCGAGCUAAAAAGGAUAAAAGCCGAUAAAAUAAAUAAAAAACCCAAAAUCCAUGUGUUGCUGUUUCGAGAAAAGUCCACUGAUAAUUAAUCAGCUGAUUCUAAUUAAAUUAAAAAAAUGGUGUCAAAAUCCGCAAGCUUAUUAAAGACAGAGAGAGACCCAGAAGGAUCUGGAAUCAUCCUUGUUCUUAUUUUCUCACGUCAAUAUUCCUCCUUUCGUAGAUAUACCACAAUCCCACAAAUACAAUCUUUUUUUUUCUAGUUUCAAAGAAGACAGUAUCAGAAAUUUUUCCUUAUCGCUCUACUUUUGUUUGUGCUUAACGGAGAUUAUAUCUGCGGUUGAAGAAGACUCGAAGGUUAACAAAACGUGCUUAAUUUCUGGUAUUUUUUUUUUUUGAGUUAGGUUGUUCUUAUUUUCAUCAUUUACUCGACACGGCUGAUUUAGGCUAGCAAAUGGGUUGUUUCCGAACGCAGAUUCUUCUUUCUUCUUUCGAAAAUUUUUUUUGUUCAGUUUUGAAAAAAAAAUCAUUUCUUUCUUCUUUGAGUCCGAGGACUAUCAUACAUCUAUGAUUAAUGACUUGGUUUCAAAAUAUUGUCACGAUUUCGUCCUUUUUUAUGAAUGUUGUGGUCGUGUUUAAAGACUUGGUUUCAAAACUCCAUUUAGCGAGGAAGAAACAUCAAACCAUAGAUUCAGUGUCGAUAAAAACGCAGUUUUCAACUCACUGAUUCUAGGGUUUGAUGUUUCUUCCUCGCUAUAUUUGGUUUGAAUGAAGUUCCUUAGCCGCCUGAUGAAAAAUUAAGUCUUUUUUGCUGUAUUUGAAGAUUGUUUUGUUAAAGCUGAGUGUUGUUUUUGGCUAUGAACAGGGUUACUACAAGUACAAGGAAUCGGCCAUGGAAGAAGCAAUUGCAUCGAGGUACUGGUGUCACAUGUGCUCUCAAACUGUGAAUCCAGUAAUGGAAGCUGAGAUCAAAUGCCCCUUUUGUCGGAGUGGGUUUAUUGAAGAGAUGCAAGAGGAACAAGAUUCUUCAGAUACCAACGAUCAGAGAGCAAACCAUUCUCUCU